AGGCGGCACCAUUGCUAUCACACGAGUGGCGGUAAUAGCAGCCAUCGUAGCGACAGCAUUAGCGGCAGUAGUAGCCGUACACCAUGAACAGCAGUUGUAGUCGCAGAACCAGUAGCAGCAGUAACGGCAGUAGUAUGUAGAUACCAUGGAGAGAAGUCUAAAAUUAAGCAUUAGAAGGACAGGGGAAGCUAGUAGGAGGGGUACCAGGUCUAUCAACGUUUUCACGUUAGGGUGGCCGGCACAUAACCGCAGGGCUUGGGCGGAGGGGAGGGGCCGGACAGCGCCAUGACGGGGCCGUGUCCAUUGCAUAUCUUGCUCCAGCAACCCCACAACCUUCAAGACUCGGGAGACCAAACGAUCACCAAAGGCAGCGAUGACGUGAGGAAAACGAGGCAGAAAACGAAACUAAGCCGCAUAAGGCCCGCGUGCUGAACCGAAAGUCCUUCAGUAGUUAUCCGGCAAAAGGUGUCUUGGGAUGUUGACGAAUUGGCAACGUGGGUCUUACUAAUGCAAGACUGCAAAGUGUCACAUAAUAUGGGUCACACAGGGAUACCUACUGAUGGCCGAGCUGUGAGAUGGGUCAGGAUACAAAAAGGCUAUAAAAGUCGAACGGCACGUGGAACUGCUUAUCCGGCCAGGCCCUUCACUUCUAUUUCUUCUCCAAUCUGCAUAGUCUGGGAAUGAGUCGACGGGGGCUGCGGACGGCUCGAUGGGGGCUGGGAUAAGCACAUAGUCAAACCAUUUCCGCUCCAAGGGUUGCCGUAAGGCCGCCUUUACCGCUGUCUUGGUCCAUAAGUGACCGCGCUAGCAUACCUGCUAAUUUUACAAGGGUUUGAUCAGAGGAAUCUUAGAUGGCAUGGAUCCUAGUUUCAUGGUGAACGCGGACAAGCAUAAGAAUGGCAUGAGGGCAUGCAACCUUCGCCAUGCUCCUUCGCAAUACGCCGACAAAAGAUACCUCAAUUUGUAGGGCAUGGCCAUCCGCUAGAGACCAGUCCACGGACGCUUCCCCAUCGCGCAGGUCGUGAACCGAAUAGCCCUCGUUGCCGCAGUCGGAAAGCCACCUCCUGAAGUCGUUGAUAUUCUCAGCGCGACCACGAAUGCGCCAUCGAUAGGACAGCACGGCAGCACUCUGGAGGCAAUCAUUUGAUUCAGGCAAAUUGUGACUGCACUUGGAGAAGGAUUCCGCAUGGGGGGCAGCGGGCCUGACCGACACUGAAUCUUCAGAGACAAAUCUUUUCCCAAAGAAUACAAAGGCAGCAUCAAAGUCAGAUUUGCAAAUUGCAUGCGUGUGGACCUUUGUUGCUUGGGAGUGGGUUUUGCCCGAAACAGUAAGCCAGUUAUUUGACGCACCUCUUCGGGCUCAUCCGUAAUUUUGCACCAUCGUUGUUGCCAUUCGUUCUUCUGAUAGGGCGUGCUGUCUCCAGUUCCUUGCAGUUCAGACAGUAUCGCAGGGACGUCCGCUAUCCUUAGGUAACGAGGCAUCUUGUUUCACUUCUUUCUUUAUAAGACGGAAACAAAACUUUGAAACUGGAAAGAGGAAAGAGCAUGUAUGCAUCUGGAAGAAGUUGCACCUAGCUUGUUUCACACGCCUAAUUACGGCAUUUACGGAUGGGACGAGAUCGGAACGCGACGUGCUUUCAGGCAGGUCCAGCAUCUCAAUAAUCGUAAUCGCGGUUACAUCCUUCCAUGCACGGAAUCUUUUGAGAUUGUUCUGGCCACUGGCAGCACUGACUGAGCCCAGUCUGCUCCCAGUCAAUAUUUCACCCACAGGGAAGAUCCGCUCGCUCCCCUUUUUCACUCGGAUACGCAGUCUCUGCCACGACCUUUUCAGGAAUACUGUCACACAUAUCACGGAUCGUUCCCCAAUGCAGAGAUACCUCAAUCUUCCCCCAGCUGCAUUUCCAACCGCAACCAGCGCUGCUGCUAUCCUAACUUCUUUCCGUCGGGGUGAUCGCGCCCUGUAACACAUCUCCACAAUUUUGAAAAGGAGCUCGCUUAAGUUGUUGCCUCUUCAGAAAGUGCUGCGGCACACAACCCAUCAUGUUCUAUUCAGAUCAUGUGGCAACGCCUCGCGGGUCAAGCCCUCCCCGUGUUUCGGCAAGCCCUGGCCGCUAGGCUCUUUAGUGCUCUUUCCCUAACUUCUCCGUUCUCCCGCUGAAUUCUCGCACAGCAUAUUAUUCCCAUUCCUGCCCUUCCCUUUCUCCGCUGCCCAUACGACCUGGGCCAACACCCAAGGACCAGCACCCAAAGCCAUUUGGCCCCAUAGUUUCUCUAAUGGAGACGUCAUGCUGCCCCUCCUCCCCCGUAGAAAACCCUCCUCCGUUUUCUAUCCCCGCCUUGCAUCUCCCCCCGCCACACGUCUUUUCCUAGCCCUAAGCCCCCUUUGCGUUGCUCUCCCAUUCGUCUCUUAUUCUCCACCGGACGCAUCUUCUUUCACCUCGCUGGACCGCGUCGGAAGCUUCUUUCACCUCGCUGGAUCUGCCGCCUCCGGUUUUCCUUUCACGGCACCUCGGCAGGAGGCGCGCACACUCCGUCACCCCAAGCCCCAACCAGCCAGGAUGGCCGAACUACGACUUUGCCCAGGUUCGACCACUUACUCCCCCAAACACCCCUACGUCAUCCGCCUCUUCACUCACACCGAAACUCGGACGGUUGUGCUAACCGGCAAUUAGCUGGAACCGGCAAUUUUCUUAGACAACCUGACUCACAUGCCCUCCCUCGCUCAGUUUAUUUAAACGCGUACUGGAUGAGGUUGAGCUCUUCGAGGGGAGUGGAGGGGGAUCGGGAAGCGCCCGCGGUUCAGCUGUUUAUUGACCAGGGGGGAUUGGGGGCCACUUUUUUCUGCCUCCACACGCCCCUCUCUCAUAUCCGCACUAUUCAGUUUCCCCGCAGACCCCACCCACCCUGACAGCCCUGCCCUGAUCCCCCCGACCCAUAACCGCGUCUUGUGUCGAUCCAUCCAUCCAUACACAGCUCACCUGUUUCCUUUCAAGUCAUAGUAGGCGCAAGGGGUGUGGCCUUAUUCUGCUGCAGGCCCCUUCUGCAGCUGUCUGUUACCAACCAACCAAGCUACCUAAAAACCAACCACAACUUCCCAAUGACCGCCAUUUUUACUACUGCUGAUGUAGCCUCGACACAACCUUACUUCCUUUCCGAACACCAAGGAGUCUGCGGCGGCGGCUGCGUGCUGCAGAACGUACGUCGUGCAACGUGAUCUUCAUCUGCACGCAUGUGGUGGCUACAUACUAUCCCAAAUCGAAAAGCACAUUAUAAUAUUGACUCCUGUAUGCGUGUACGUUGUCUCUGUGUGUAUAAGUGUAUGUCUUCAGCGCCAGGCACCGCUCCUGCUCCGCGGCGGCGGCGGUGGUGGUGGCGGCAACUCCUCACCGCCCUCACCGGACGCCUCGCUCUCCCCUAACUCCUCCGGCCCAUCACCCCCUGCAUCGUCCUCGUCGUACAUUGAGUCUCUGUCGUCGUCCGCCUCCUCCCAGUCAUCCUCGAACUCGCCGACGUCCCCCAACAGAUCCUCGUCAUCCAGAUCCACAAAUUCGCCAUCCUCGUACUCGUCGUCGUCGUACUCGUCCUCGAAGGGCUCUGGCUCUGUCGGCAGGCGUCGGGCCAGAAGCAAGGGGCCCCAACCCCCAUUGCCGCCGUAACUGCUGCUGCUGCUGCAGAUGCUGCUGCCUGCGUCACCACUGCCGCCGACCCAGCCGCCAAAAACCAUAUGGGGCUGUAGCAUCGUUGUUGUUAAUGCGAAAGGUGUUGCAAAGGGUGUGCAGGGAGGCGUUGACGCGGGCAGGGCACAAUGUCGGUUUCGUUGCAUGACAUACAUCCAUCCAUACAUACAUCCAUCCAUACACACGCACAGACGGUAGGUUAUUGCACGGUUGUCGUUGGAGGGCAUCCAAGGGAAGAAGAGGAAGAGAAACGAUGGAGCGAGGUCGCCAUAAGGGCCCGCCAGGAUAGGAUGGCGACCGCAGUAAACCUGAAUGAGGCUGUAUCGUUGUCGGUAUCGCUCGCGAAGAUGCCGCCCGGCGCAAUGCCGUUUGUCUUUUCGGACAAAAAAUAGUCAGAUAGACAGACAGGCUCUCAGCCAGUCUAAUAUGAUAGUUAAUUGACAGACAGACAGACAGACAGGCAGGCAAGCGUGUCCUGCACAUUACCCCGGUCUGGACCGCUCUAACCACUCAACGGCGUUUGGAACGGUCAGACGCCCCGACGCGGACAUUGUACGGCAGCCAUCAUACAGCCGUACGGGCCGCACGCUUGGGGGAUCCUGUCACCUACCGAAAGUGCAACCAUGGACCACCAGGUUGUCUGAAGGGCCCUAUAGAGGCGUGCGAAGGCCCUGUGAGCCCCGAGAGGGACUCCAGGGGGGGUUGGCAGCUCCUCAGGUUGGGAGAAAGGACUCAAACGGCCGCAUGAUGCGCGCGUUGCGGCCGCGUGGGCCCGGAAAGAUUUGGAUCCAAAUAAAACCUCGCGCGAUAGGUGCCCUGCCGUCCGCAGGCUGCUGUUGCAGCCGCCGCUGUGCUGACUGUAACCGCUGUUGUGAUUGCCACUGCGUCAUGUUUUGGGUUUGGCGGUUCGGGCUUAGGUCGUUCAUGAGGGGGGGAAAAGGGAACCGAAGGCAGGCAAUGGGCAACAUGUGCAUUGGCGAGGCGGCCGUGCAUGGUAGGAAGUACGAUGGUCAUAUUAUUGGUUUGGUGUAUUUGCGGGAGGGUGGGCGCGCGGGAAAUUGGCCUUGCUCACUCCUGUAUGACUGGGCUGCGCGGCGGGGCAUGUCCCUCGAUUGUCGCGUGUCGCAAGGAAAGGCAACCCCCCGCGAGCAAGGUGACCUGGAAUUGGACUGUCAAUCUUACCUCGUCGAGCAGAUGUUUGUACCUUGCACCUCGUCAAGCGGCACCACAAACAAACGGCGCACAACGUCAAAAGUUGCUGCUGCAGGGCUCUGGAGGAGGCAUAUAGGUAAAUCGGCAAGAUCAUCAACACAUAUACUACUGCGUAAGCGGGUUACCUGGCAAGUUCCGAACGCAAGCGAGCCUAGGCGAGCCCGACACAAGUUUGACAGCAUUGCGAGAGCUUACUUUGUCAACUCUAUAUUAGGCCCCUAAUAUAGCCAUCAAGUAUUGUAGAUGCAGUCAAAGUUCAGCACCUAAAAAAACAUUAGUACGACGCUGGAACAUCUCUUCGGCUUUACCAGGCGGUUUAAAUGUCCCAUGAUGCCAUUAUAAAAACGAAGCAUAUAUAGAAUAAAGUUCGCCUUUAACUCCGGUUGGAAAGUACUUACAUUCGUUAGGAUUCUGCGCUUCGAUUGUGUAGUACGCACGGUACCCUUCGCCGCGCGGACCUCAAUGGCCACUGCUUCUCACCUGUUAGCGUUUUAUGACACCUUAUGAGCAUUGUGGCAAGAGGAUCGGCACUUCGACUUACCUUAUUAAGUGUUGUCACGUCCAAAAUGAGAGCUGUAGUGCCCUUGGUUAAAUGCAAGCCGAACCUCACGGCCAGCGCUCAAGGAUUAGUGUCCUCCCGUGAACCGCCAGGAUAGGGCCCGUAUUAGGAAGGGCCCCUAUUGCAAAAGGCCCGUUUGGAUAGGAAGCCGCAGCCCUCGUGGCUACCGGCUCAUUGCAUCAGCUUGUACCUGGAGCAAGACGUUCACGGGGGAUUUUAGGGCUCGGUGUUGUCUGUGGGGGGUUGGGGCCUGGAGCCGCCCUCAAACCACCAGUAUGUAACCGGUGGCCACCUGUAACCUGAUAAUGCGGUUAAUGAAGGGUUGCACCGGGUGCGGAGGGUUUCGUGGACCGUAUGGUGCAUGUUUAUGCAUUUCCUCCAUCCUAUCUGGGCGCCUCUCUGAGGGCGCUGGUCGGCAAGUCCAGUCCCCUCAGCCUUAUCGCUGGGCUCGUAUAGGGUGCUGCGUGGCACACACGGCUCUGUGUGGUCUCUGUGUGCGUACUGGCUAAAGGGGCUGCACGCAAACACCCAAACAAGAGCGCCAAAGAAGCUAAAAUCCGACUCGUCUCGGCAUAAAUUCAAUAAAUAGCGAAGUAAAUGGGCUCAGGACGGACUGGCCCCUACAGGUUGGGCUUCCGGUGCACCAUUCUACCUUGCUAUUAUCACUUGUUUUAGUCCCAGCCGCCCUGCUGCCGCAGCCCGCCGCGAUUCAGUUCAUGUGCCGCUAUAGAUAGUCGCGCGUUCAUAUUGAUGCCAACACCGCCGAUUCUAGAUUGCCCCCGCCCUGCGGCCUGGACAUCUGGGCCACACCGUUUGAGGUGCUGUGUGCCGUACAUUAGGCGUCCUGUAGCUCCCACCGCAGGCGGCCUGUUUUGGCUGUAGCUCCCUCCACGGUGUGUGAGCCGCCCCGAGGAGCCGCCGGCAGGUUAAGGACGGCAAUUGGGUGGCGGCCCGCACUGCUAGGAGGCUGCACAGCUGCUGCUCACGGAACGACUCACGAGCAUGUCCGCGAGGCGACGUGCGUGAGCCGACGGGGUGGCUCCAGCAUCGCUGCUGCUACGCACCUUUCCUUCCACUUUGGCCGCACCGCUGCUGUUGCCAGCGCGCCACUGCAAGCUGGUGUCAGCUGACACAGCAGGUGCUGCAUCACCGGGCACAUCAUGUAAUUUUGUAAUGUUACAGAGUGGGAGGCUUCUGGGCCGCUUUAUCACAUUGUCAGUUCUAGAUCAUUUAUCACCUUACAGCACCAUCCACCACUACCACACUGUACUUCGCCAUACGAACUGUAAGUCCAAGGCGGCGGAUCCAGCCUUCAGGGACCCCUCCUCAUCCAUUCACCCGAACACCCGAUGAGACGGAGGGUUCGGCAAUCGCCACCAAUCCAGCGUGCGAAUCUGGUCCAUCAACUGUGACCUCAACUCCACAUCUCAGCAGCUAGCCAUAAUCUCGCGCUCCCGACUAAUUCGGGGGUCUCCCCAGGAAUCGAACCCAGGACCUUAAACUGCUAAUUGCAGUAGUGUCAAUCCAGACCAGACCAUCAUGUGUGUGGGAGGAUAUGCUGUGUCGGCCCUGGACCGCCAAAUGGGAGUGCGGGAGCAAGGAGAGGGUCUACAGCACCGGGCGGUGGAGGGGUCCUCUGCCGGAAAAUGCUCACCUUCACAACGCCCACCGUGAACCAUGCAGAUGUGGCCAGUAGUACAGCGGCAGGGGACCCCAGCAGUGCACGCCACGUGCUCACCACUCCUGGAAUUGCCUGGUAGUCAAAACGGUGAUACAGCGCAGAUCGAGCCCCCCGUGCCCGGGCACGGCAUGACCAGGGCCAAGGUGUGGCUCGCUGAGGCGCCGCCGGGGGUAUAGGAAUGUGUGUGGGUCUGGCGUCGUGGCAUUGGCGGCUCUGAUGGUGAUGGAGUGUGCGUGGGUGGGGUUCAGGGCUGCGACACUGCCAGGGGCAGCGGCAAAUGCAGCCCUUGGAAUAUGUUGGUAGGACCUGAACCAAAGAGGAUUUUGAAAAAUCUGCUGAUGAAACUGUUUCGCGCGAAUGCUUUGUGUCACAGCUUUGCAUUCCGGCAUGGAGUGUCAACCCGAAGACCAGCCUGCACAACAGCAAGGUUUUCCACUUCUUCACCUGCACAUGAUCACUUCCACGGUAAUAAGGGGUCCAUGAGGAUCUGCGAGUGCGAUAAACGGAAAGGUGAGACAGGUUCGAUUUGGAACACACGCGGGAGGCAAGCCUGCAUGUAAUCACCGUUCAUCCAUCCUUGUUGGGUGCAAUAUGGAAUGAGAGCCGGUGGUCCUUACACACGACCGGACACCCCACCCCGGGGUUGAAGUUGCCAAAGCGCCCGCGAUCAUAGAGGCGGUCCAAUGGCAGCGGAUGAAGAGCUUUGCAGAGCUCGGAGCGCCGCGACGUGGGUGGGGCGGGGUGGGAGCCGACCACCCCAUCAUCGCCGUAGUGGGUGGCGGAAUGCGUUGCUAUGCGGCCACCUAGUAACAGUGUAACUGAUAGCUAGGGAUAGGCGGGGUAUGACGACCCAGGUGCUGGUUGCUCAGCUUGCUACUGCGGAGAAGGGAAAGCCCAGGAAUUGAAACCCGCACAGCAAUAAGGGCGGUGCUGCAGGAGUAGUGUGAGUGAGCAAGACGGAGUGGUGACCUGUGGUGAGGUGCUGCCACGGAGCGAGCUAUAGCCCCACCAGGCAAGCUCCCGCCUUGACACCUUGGACCCCCUGCCUGACGCGUAUAAGGGCCACCCCUCGGACUGAAACAGGUAGUUUCGUUGAGGAGGGGCGUAGUGUGGACAGUUUUGGUUGUAGGGUUCAGCUGUUGGGCUUAAGGCGCCGGUAGGGGGGGCCCUCAUCACGGGGAGGAGGGUCCAGGUGUCGUAAGGACCCACCCGGGGUGCGCAGCCGCGCCUGCUCAAGGCACAGGCUGCAUGGACGGAGCUGUGCCGCAGCGCGUACUGAGGAGAAAUGUAUGUUUUUGAGGGCCUUGGUAGCCACCGCUCUCUGUCCUCUUGACGAAAGGGGGAAACGCGGGGGUGCACACGCCCUCGGUCGAGCAGGAGGGGAUAGUAGCCCCUCACGCCCCUCUUCCCCCACAAGGAGGAGAGCGCUUCGGUGGUCGUUUCCGUUGGGUACGGUCGCUUCCGUUGGGGUACUGGCCAAUGCCAGGCCCGGUUUGACAUGUAACAUAGAAAUACACACAUACACACAUACACACAUACACAUGUGUACCAGUGGACAGCUGCUACUGUCCAAAAGUCGCCGCCACAAUAGAUUGACCGUACCGACCGCACCCCAACAUCGCAACCACCCGUUGUUGCUGAUGAUGCCCCACCCACGAGCAGUGAUGCAAGGAAACAGCUACGUCCGCGCUGCUGCUGCUGCUGCUGCUGCCAUAUGCAUGCUUUGUGACCUCGAAACCCACCCCUGCUGUUAGCGGCGGUGGGCGAAUUCCUCUGCUGCCGCCAGCCACCAGCAGUGCCGUCCUCCAAGCCACCGCCAAGCUAGAUCCCCGUGAGGCAUGCUGACGAUGUGCUUAGGGUCGGAAUGUGUUAUACAGCUCCAUUACGGAUCAGUGGUUCGUACCUCCGGAGGUACAAAUCAUCACUGCAACCUCUGUCAUCAUAUGUUAUACAGCUCCAUUACGGAUCAGUGGUUCGUACCUCCGGAGGUACAAAUCAUCACUGCAACCUCUGUCAUCAUACUCCGUUCCUUGCGGUAAUGGAAUUCCUCAGUCCUUAAAUUGCGGUUACCCCUUGACAGAUAUUCGUAUGUAUAGCCGUUGGGUGAAUACACUGCUCUCCCCGCACCCUUUACAUUAUCACACGCAGUUGGAACGUACAUAUGAUGUGUGGGACAGGGGGCCACAUCUUCACCCUGUGGCCGCUACCCAGCGAAACCCUGCCUUCCCCGGUAUUUCGGGGCACCCUCAUCCAGUCACCCUAGUCAACAUCUCAGUGGAUCGCUCAGGUUCCGCACCCACCACCGGCAUCCAACGGAAUCUGCCGACAUCAACGGCGUCCUAACUCCAUUCCCGGUCAGCUCGCAGGUCAACUUUAUCCCAGGUAACCACCGUCCAUCAACUAGGGGCAUUCUUACUAUACAUCAUCGAAAGGAUUUUAGACCCUGACAGGUCUCAAGAUAUGCUACACGUUGAAAAUCCCCCAUGUACACGUAUCCAUUACAUUCACUUCUGGCAGUGCUUGUAGUAGCUAAACAGUCUGUCACACACAUCAUCUACAAAUACGCGUGAUGCGCUCGACCAGCAUCGCGAGAGGCUUUUCCAGCGCCCAGCUACUACAGCGCUCUAUCCUGAUCUAUCGCUGUGCUCCUUACAAGGGCAGCCGCAGGCAGCAGGAUCCCCUCUGUGCCCGCUACCGCAGCCGCAGGUUCGCAGCCUCAUCACUUGAAUACACACGCACCAUGCAGGCAUACAUACACUCGCUAUGCAAGGUGGCUGACGCCAUACUAUACAUCGGUAUCGGUAUCUGCACCGCCACACCUCUUUACACCGCCACAUCGUAGACCGGUGCCGCAUCUCCCUCCGCACCAGGUUACUUAGGAGCCAUCCGUGAUGCUGCUGCCGCCGCCACCGCGUCUGCUAGCACCAGCAAACCGAGCAGUCAUCCAUGCUUCCAUGGUGCUAGCGACACAGGUAUGGAUGGCCUCCACCACCGCAUGCUGGCAGCACGUUCUGGCUUUUCUUGGCUGCUGCUGCUGCGGUAGGUAGGUCGGUAGGUCGGUAGGUCGGUAGGUCGGUAGGUCGGUAGGUCGGUAGGUCGGUAGGUCGGUAGGUCGGUAGUCGGUAGGUCGGUAGGUCGGUAGGUCGGUAGGUCGGUAGGUCGGUAGGUCGGUAGGUCGGUAGGUCGGUAGGUCGGUAGGUCGGUAGGUCGGUAGGUCGGUAGUCGGUAGGUCGGUAGGUCGGUAGGUCGGUAGGUCGGUAGGUCGGUAGGUCGGUAGGUCGGUAGGUCGGUAGGUCGGUAGGUCGGUAGGUCGGUAGGUCGGUAGGUCGGUAGGUCGGUAGGUCGGUAGGUCGGUAGGUCGGUAGGUCGGUAGGUCGGUAGGUCGGUAGGUCAGUAGGUCGGUAGGUCGGUAGGUCGGUACGUCGGUAGGUCGGAGGUAGGUAGGUCGGAGGUAGGUAGGUCGGUAGGUCGGUAGGUAGGUCGGUAGGUCGGUAGGUGGGUGCGUAGGUAGGUAGGUAGGUGGUGGGUAGGUAGGUAGGUGGUGGGUAGGUAGGUAGGUGGGUGGGUGGGUAGGUAGGUGGGUGGGUGGGUAGGUAGGUGGGUGGGUGCGUAGGUAGGUAGGUGGGUGGGUAGGUAGGUAGGUGGGUGGGUGGGUAGGUAGGUAGGUGAGUCGCUAGGUAGGUGGGUAGGUGGGUAGGUAGGUAGGUAGGUGGGUAGGNNNNNNNNNNNNNNNNNNNNNNNNNNNNNNNNNNNNNNNNNNNNNNNNNNNNNNNNNNNNNNNNNNNNNNNNNNNNNNNNNNNNNNNNNNNNNNNNNNNNNNNNNNNNNNNNNNNNNNNNNNNNNNNNNNNNNNNNNNNNNNNNNNNNNNNNNNNNNNNNNNNNNNNNNNNNNNNNNNNNNNNNNNNNNNNNNNNNNNNNNNNNNNNNNNNNNNNNNNNNNNNNNNNNNNNNNNNNNNNNNNNNNNNNNNNNNNNNNNNNNNNNNNNNNNNNNNNNNNNNNNNNNNNNNNNNNNNNNNNNNNNNNNNNNNNNNNNNNNNNNNNNNNNNNNNNNNNNNNNNNNNNNNNNNNNNNNNNNNNNNNNNNNNNNNNNNNNNNNNNNNNNNNNNNNNNNNNNNNNNNNNNNNNNNNNNNNNNNNNNNNNNNNNNNNNNNNNNNNNNNNNNNNNNNNNNNNNNNNNNNNNNNNNNNNNNNNNNNNNNNNNNNNNNNNNNNNNNNNNNNNNNNNNNNNNNNNNNNNNNNNNNNNNNNNNNNNNNNNNNNNNNNNNNNNNNNNNNNNNNNNNNNNNNNNNNNNNNNNNNNNNNNNNNNNNNNNNNNNNNNNNNNNNNNNNNNNNNNNNNNNNNNNNNNNNNNNNNNNNNNNNNNNNNNNNNNNNNNNNNNNNNNNNNNNNNNNNNNNNNNNNNNNNNNNNNNNNNNNNNNNNNNNNNNNNNNNNNNNNNNNNNNNNNNNNNNNNNNNNNNNNNNNNNNNNNNNNNNNNNNNNNNNNNNNNNNNNNNNNNNNNNNNNNNNNNNNNNNNNNNNNNNNNNNNNNNNNNNNNNNNNNNNNNNNNNNNNNNNNNNNNNNNNNNNNNNNNNNNNNNNNNNNNNNNNNNNNNNNNNNNNNNNNNNNNNNNNNNNNNNNNNNNNNNNNNNNNNNNNNNNNNNNNNNNNNNNNNNNNNNNNNNNNNNNNNNNNNNNNNNNNNNNNNNNNNNNNNNNNNNNNNNNNNNNNNNNNNNNNNNNNNNNNNNNNNNNNNNNNNNNNNNNNNNNNNNNNNNNNNNNNNNNNNNNNNNNNNNNNNNNNNNNNNNNNNNNNNNNNNNNNNNNNNNNNNNNNNNNNNNNNNNNNNNNNNNNNNNNNNNNNNNNNNNNNNNNNNNNNNNNNNNNNNNNNNNNNNNNNNNNNNNNNNNNNNNNNNNNNNNNNNNNNNNNNNNNNNNNNNNNNNNNNNNNNNNNNNNNNNNNNNNNNNNNNNNNNNNNNNNNNNNNNNNNNNNNNNNNNNNNNNNNNNNNNNNNNNNNNNNNNNNNNNNNNNNNNNNNNNNNNNNNNNNNNNNNNNNNNNNNNNNNNNNNNNNNNNNNNNNNNNNNNNNNNNNNNNNNNNNNNNNNNNNNNNNNNNNNNNNNNNNNNNNNNNNNNNNNNNNNNNNNNNNNNNNNNNNNNNNNNNNNNNNNNNNNNNNNNNNNNNNNNNNNNNNNNNNNNNNNNNNNNNNNNNNNNNNNNNNNNNNNNNNNNNNNNNNNNNNNNNNNNNNNNNNNNNNNNNNNNNNNNNNNNNNNNNNNNNNNNNNNNNNNNNNNNNNNNNNNNNNNNNNNNNNNNNNNNNNNNNNNNNNNNNNNNNNNNNNNNNNNNNNNNNNNNNNNNNNNNNNNNNNNNNNNNNNNNNNNNNNNNNNNNNNNNNNNNNNNNNNNNNNNNNNNNNNNNNNNNNNNNNNNNNNNNNNNNNNNNNNNNNNNNNNNNNNNNNNNNNNNNNNNNNNNNNNNNNNNNNNNNNNNNNNNNNNNNNNNNNNNNNNNNNNNNNNNNNNNNNNNNNNNNNNNNNNNNNNNNNNNNNNNNNNNNNNNNNNNNNNNNNNNNNNNNNNNNNNNNNNNNNNNNNNNNNNNNNNNNNNNNNNNNNNNNNNNNNNNNNNNNNNNNNNNNNNNNNNNNNNNNNNNNNNNNNNNNNNNNNNNNNNNNNNNNNNNNNNNNNNNNNNNNNNNNNNNNNNNNNNNNNNNNNNNNNNNNNNNNNNNNNNNNNNNNNNNNNNNNNNNNNNNNNNNNNNNNNNNNNNNNNNNNNNNNNNNNNNNNNNNNNNNNNNNNNNNNNNNNNNNNNNNNNNNNNNNNNNNNNNNNNNNNNNNNNNNNNNNNNNNNNNNNNNNNNNNNNNNNNNNNNNNNNNNNNNNNNNNNNNNNNNNNNNNNNNNNNNNNNNNNNNNNNNNNNNNNNNNNNNNNNNNNNNNNNNNNNNNNNNNNNNNNNNNNNNNNNNNNNNNNNNNNNNNNNNNNNNNNNNNNNNNNNNNNNNNNNNNUGCCACCACGACCGCCGCCACCACCACCACCACUGCCAUGACCGCCACCGCCGCAGGGGUUGCGGAAACGACCGCCAGCACCACCACUACAGUCAUCGAUGCCGCCACUGUCAUCACCGCCUCUCGCGCAUCCAGCGCAUUCUUGAGGUCUCUGCAGAUUGCAAGCCUGCAGCACCCGCAGCCGGGCCGCUCAUCUAGCGGUAGAAGCAGUCGCUCGGCGGCAGGGGACGUGGGGAGCUGUGGAACAGGUGAUGGCGGUGGCAGUCACGCGCACGAGUGAGGGAAGCCGCUAUGCACAAUUUUACGGGUGUUGGAGAAUCAGGGAAGAGGUUGAAGGAGGAACAGGGAGAGGCGCGAGCAAUAACCGACAGUCCCAGAGCGCAUUGACUGAGGUUGCACACCCCAGUCAGAUAACUGGGUCAGCCGGUAGGCCACAUUGUUAUUACAAAAUAAGCACAAAUCGCAGUAACUUCACAGUUUCUUGACAUAUUUCCGUUCCAUCGACUUUCAUGUUCUCGUUUCGGGUGCAUCGACAUUCAGUCCAUUACUUUACUUGCCAUGUUCACCCGUGCAUAUCCUCACCCAAUUUGCGAGUUCGUCUUUUCUCUUCUGCAUCCUAACAAGUCAGUGUUGUUGUUGUUGCAACAGAGUGGCACCAGGCUUUUGGGCCAAUUCAACACAGACCAGUGUAAUUUGGUCGUCUCGAUCGUACACACAGCGCAUAGUGUCGUACAUGCAUGUGCCGUACGCAUGACACACACAGAUUAGAGGCGUAUGUGAGGGAUCAGUAACCAACAGGCCCACAAGACCGUCCUCGCCAAUGUUGAAAAAAAUCCUGCUCAUCAUCACGUAAAAAACAUUAUACAGGUUGGAAUCAAGUUGCCGUGGAGAGAGGGGGUUGAUUGUAAGCAAGAAAGCAGGUUAGAUAUCGUGCGUCAUGGCCGCCCAACCAGUGCUACUCCUCGCAUCGACAUGCGGAAUUUCAAUAUGACAUCAAGACUUGAGAUAUUCACGGCCUGUCGCUCGCUGAAGGUCGGCUGCAGGUAACGGUCGGCCGUUACUAGCGACUCGUAUCUUUGUGUGUGUGUGUUACAUGGUUGGGGGUGCGUGACCCCAUACCUCUAAGACUACCCAUACGAGCCGAAGGGGUAUCUUUGCUUGUAAGCCCGGUAAGCCAGGGCGGUCGCCACCGGCCGCAUGAGAGACCGUCUUCGUCACACUUGGCAAAGUUGAUGAUUCUACAUGGUUGAUCUACAUGGGGGCCUAGGAGGAUAUAAAGGACCCGAGCUCAUAAGGCCCGAGAUGUUGGGAGGUUCAUGUGACGAAACGGACGUAACGCGGAAUCAUGCACACAGCCGACACGCAGAUGCUUACAACAAUGACGUUAUUUGCGAAUGAGGAGUGAGUGCCCGCCCGUAUGCAUUUAGGCAUCCUCCGUCCAUCAUUAUUAGUAUGGACGUGAAGUACUUGGUCGUACGUCUGUGAACAAAGAUUUACGUCCGGUUCUAUCUGUGUCUAGUCUGCGAGGGAGUCAAUAGCUUUAUUGCGGGUGCGGCUGCAAACCUGAAUGCAGUUUAGUUAAUAAAACUGCCACCAUGGCUAGUUGCCCCAGCGUGUCUGCUGGGGCGGCGAACGAACGGCCUCAGGUCUCAGCAAAACUACUUAGCAAAGCCCAAUUUUCAUUUAAUAAUGGAUCCAAUUAAGGGAAAGCGAACAAGGUCACACUCAUCCUCGCGGCCCCAGCUGCGGUUGGAGUAGGUGAACAGUCAUAGCUUAAACAGGCAGCAGACUACCGGCUGGCGCCCUUUUCAUUGGGCGGGGCCCCAGCGCGAAGCGCCCAGGGGGGCCCCGACCUGUAGGAUUGCCCAUGUCCGUGUGUGUGUGUGUGUGUGUGUGUGUGUAUGUGUGUGCGUGUGUGUGUGUGUGUGUGUGUGUGUGUGUGUGUGUGUGUGUUCGUGUGUGUGUAACGGACCAAACAUAAUAUCUCGCCCGGCUGAAACGCGUUACAGGUACUAUACAGCAUUCUUUAUUGCAAGGUAUCUCGCAUGUAGCCAACAAAAAUCGUAUGAGCACAAACAAGUUUGGCUGCCGCAAUUGACCGAGGCCAAAGUCACAUCAACGCCUCUCGCGCUAAAUUUCAUCUCAAAAAGGUGCCGUGUAUCUCAUCAUUGAUUUCCGAGAUGACAGCGUAUGAUAACUUGAACACCCAGCUUGUGUUACCAUUUGCCCGCACGGGCAUUCCGACUUGCGGUCUGCCGCACUGUCCAUGCGGCAUGCACCCGGGAUGGAUGCGAUUCGCGUGGAGCCCGCAGGCGGUGCUGACGAUUCCGCCGGUGCAAGCUUAGCUCUCACACCAUCAGCACUGCUGCAACAAAGCACAUCUCCCACCGCGUCGACACUACCCAUUAAUUGUCACACGUGCCGCGCUAGCUACCGGCCUGUACGGAUGCAGGGGGGGCCCGCCCUUUUUCACCCGACUUGUCGUUUUAGCGCAUUGUUGCCUGUUUAGCAUGUUUGACUUUCCAAGUGUCUGCAACUGCCGGUCAUCGGUCGAGAGCUUUCGUUUAGUUUAUCGCUUAUGUGUGUAUGUGUGUUACAUGGUUGGGGGUGCGUGACCCCACACCUGUAAAACUAUCCAUACGAGCCGAAGGCCCAAGGCAAUAUACCUAUACGCCUAAAAGCCACGGACAUUGUCGCGCCAUGCAGGUAGCCAGCAGGGCGAAGGGCCCAGGAGGGGAAGCGACGAAGAGCGAGGUGUAGAGGUAUGGCUGCGUCCCCAAGCCGUCGGGACCUCUGUCGUUGGGGAGGGCCAUUUGUACCGAGGCUCUCUCCCCCUGGGGAGCCUAAGAAUCUCCUCAAACGAUUUUCAAUGUAGCUGGGAGCAUUUCGCCCUGGCUGAAGCACCCCCACCCGACGCGCCCAACGAGGUAUACCGCACGGAAGAAACCGGGGACCGGUGUUACGGUACUACGUGAUACCGCCGGGAGCUGCUGCUUGAAGAACGGCGAACUAGUGUAUGCACAAGGCCGCCUGGCAUGCACCAUCACGCACGCGACACAUAUAUACAAUUAUCUCUUUCGCGCGCGCGAUUUAGCUCUAAAAUUCGAAGCGCGCUCCGGUGCAGGGCUGAUUAAGGAAAGGAAGUAUGUACGCAAUUAAGGGAAUUGAAAUGGAGAGGCAUCGACAUGCGAUGAUAAUGAAGCAAGCAAGGGCUACUGGAAUUGAUUACAGCGCUCCCAAAGCAACAGCUUGUAUAAGUUAAAUACUCUAUAACCCUCAAAAGGCAAACCGAAGAACGCAAUCUUAAACGAGUUGCGGAUCCUUCAGCAUCCCUUAUGAGAAUCGUAUCGCCCGCUGCUGAGUCCGUGCCAGGUACGACUGCCGUACCUGCUGCUGCGGCAGCUCCAUUUAUUAUUGAGCCUGGCCUACCUAUCUAACAACCAGUAGCAAAUCCCGACGCAAACUACCUCAAGAGAGCUCUCAGAGACAUCAAGGCGCCUGGCUAUGCGAUCAAGCUUUGAAACUAUCGUCUUGCACUACUACUUCCGCUGCGACAAGCAAGGUAAUAGGGCGGCAAGUGGUAAAUAAAGCAGGCUGAUGCGGUGUCUGGAGACCAACCUCGUGCGAUGAGGCGGCCGCAAUGUGGGCCACAUAGGCGAACAAGCAUCGAGCCGCUCGCCGCAACCACCACCACCACCACCACCACCACCACAGUCGCCACCUCCCUACGCAAGUACUUCAGCCCAUUUAUCACCCGUCGUCGCCAUAACAACCAAAUGUAACAACCAACUACCAACAUCCAGACGCCAACUACCGACUAUCGACAGUCGCAAUAACAACCAACUGCAACAACCAACUACCAACAUCCAGACGCCAACUACCGACUAUCGACACCAGCCACCUUAAGGUCAAUGUUGUCAACAGGCAAAGAGGAACGAUCGAUAAAUUGCCAGCUAACGUCGAUGACCUAAGCUGCUUUUAUAUUUGCACACGCACACCGCGAAUCGUGAACCCCUAACUGCUGCUGACAACUGCUGCUAACGACUUUUAACGACUGCUGCACUGAACUAGUAACGGUCGCUGUUAAGCGACAGCCCAUGCCAAGAUCAGAACCUGCUGCGACAACUAACACCCUAUCCUAAUAAAUCCGCCAACGACGGGACAACAACGGCAACCUCUAACAACAUAGGGACAACCAACAACCGCUAACCACCACAACAAUGGCAGUACCACAACUGCAGUAACGUGACAUUACUGCGAUGCCAAGUAGCUAUCUUUUGACUAUGACGACGACGAAAAUUAACCUUAUUCGCAUAAACCGCGUGUUCCUAAUCGCGGCAAUUGCGACGGAUUACAGAGCUUUAUAUGCUACACGCAAGCACGCACACGAGGCAACCGAACAUCCCCACACCACACAACCCGUUACCAAGAAACGACCGCACGUAGCUGAGUACGCAGUGGCGAAGACUGUAACGUUCAACGCAAAAGAUUAUACUGCUAUGGCCAUCAUCUGACUAUGAUUCACUUCCCAUAUCGGACAACGCACUUCAUGGUAAAACCGCCAACGACAACUGCCAAGGCGCGACUACUUGCUUACACCGCUUCCGCCAUGUGUCCACCUCCUCCUCUAAAUUGAUAUGUAUGGACCAUGUUGACCAGAUAAGCCUUCUGUAAGCUCUUUCACGAGGCCGCGCACGUAUACACACGUACAUACAUACACACACAUACAAGCAUACACAAGCAUACAAGCAUACACACACAUACAAGCAUACACACACAUACAAGCAUACACACACAUACAAGCAUACACACAUGUGCGCGAGUUCGACACCUCCCACCCUCCGGGGGAGGAGAGUGGAGCUAGCGGACCUGCAGCUCUCGGCUGCUUAGGAGGGGGCAGAGUCCCCUCGCGCCCCUCCCCCGUCCACGGGAGAGAGCUUAGGCGCUCCUUCCGUUGGGGCUGGGCAGCAGCCUCUGGCCCGUGUCAUGUCCGGUCAGAUAUUUGUAACAGACACACAGACACACAGACACACAGACACACAGACACACAGACACACAGACACACAGACACACAGACACACAGACACACAGACACACAGACACACAGACACACAGACACACAGACACACAGACACACAGACACACAGACACACAGACACACAGACACACAGACACACAGACACACAGACACACAGACACACAGACACACAGACACACAGACACACAGACACACAGACACACAGACACACAGACACACAGACACACAGACACACAGACACACAGACACACAGACACACAGACACACAGACACACAGACACACAGACACACAGACACACAGACACACAGACACACAGACACACAGACACACAGACACACAGACACACAGACACACAGACACACAGACACACAGACACACAGACACACAGACACACAUCCUGUACCAUGGUACCCUCUGCUCAGCGGUGCCCUCUGCACCUUGACGCUGCCGGUGGAUCACCUAUACUGGUCGAAAGGCCCAUUUCUGCCGCACGCAGACACAGGGGUAGGGCUAACUGUGAUUUUACGUGUUGUAGUAGCUGCUGCCCCCUCAGGCCGCAGUAUUGGGCACUCAAGAGCGCUUGAGCUCCAGGUCUCGCGCGGCGGCUUCCUCCCCGGCCGCAGCCGCCUGCUCCAUCUGGAUGUGGGGGAAGGCACUGAACCCGGACUUGACCCACUUCUCGUAGUCGGGGCCGGGCUUCAUGAGGGAGGCCAUCCGCUGGUCCUGGAGCAAGACGGCCUGCAUGCAUAUGUGUAUGUACGGCAGGGAUGGGUGUGCCGGCGGUACAAUAAUGCGGAUGCGGACAUGAGGAUGAUCCGCCAUGGCGCGGCAGUGUGUGGCGCGCGCAGUGGGGCGUGUGAAGAGGCGCCCCAUGGAUGGCGAUGUACUCCUGAACCUGACCUGGAGAUGAGCAAGAAAUAACAAAGAAACACUACUACCUGCUGAAGCCUGUGCCUGCGUGGAGCACAUGUGCGCCAACAGCAGCACGCAAAGUUGGAUGAACGAACUUCAGCAACGCAAAGAGCUGUCACAGUUGGCCUGUUGACGAAACCAUACUGCGCACCUGCUGGUAGCUGUGGUACUCCGCAAGCUCUCGGCGGUAAUCGGAGAGGGGGAAGUUCGUCGCAGCGGAAGAGCCACGCAGCCGCAGCAGCGACCUGUCGUACGAGGCCGCGGCGUCACGUUCGCUCUCGAACAGCCCCAGGUAGAUGUGCUUGCUUCCAGGGAUGCCGAUACGCGCCUCCCAGCGCCCCGACAGAUGCGCAGUGACCCCCCUGUACGUGGAACUACCGCGGCUGAAGCCCUGCAUCCACAUGGCAAUGUGGCCAAUAGAGUGCAUCAUUGUACGACACCGGUCAGUACGGCACAAGAUGAUGAAGUACAAGGAGCCAGCUGGCUUGGCUCCCUUGUUUCUCGGUGGUUUAACCAGGAAACACACUAUUGGCCAAUUACUAGCUACGCACGUAAUGAUUGAUGUCCACAACAGCAUAAUGAGCUCUUUCAACCUACCUGACUUUGGCGCCGAACGGCCAUGAUAAGGUCCUCCAGUUCGAUGUCCUUCAGGGACGGAAGCAGGCCCUGGUACUGGCUGAUCGGGAAGUUCGUGCGCACUCCCUGCCGGGGCGUACGGGCAGGACGGGUCAAGGGAAAAGGCGUCCGGAGAGGAGGUCAGUUUAAUUGGCGAAUGGGGAGAGAUGACGGGGUUGGACAGGGGGGACUGUUAACCUACUAUGUCGUAAUGUCAUUUUGUGCAGACUGAAGCUGACAAUCCGUGUUUGCGGUAUCUGGCUUUAAGGGUUUCUCAUAUCAGACGCAUCAACAAGAAUCCUCCACUACGGGCUACUAGAAAAUACUGUUCUCUGGAAGCAACAUCAGGUACAUCAGCGACUUUGCUGGGGUGGUGGCGGGGCCGCACUUUGGUUCCCUUGCACUUCAGCACCGCCACGUCGUACGCCUCCGCCGCGUGCACCUCCUCCUCGUAGCCGCCCAGGUAAACCUGACGGCCGAUCUCCUUCACCCAGAUGUGCGCCUCCCACCUGGCAAAGUCACGUACGUACGGCACAUGUGCAAUAGGUGCUGGGUGGUGCGGAUACGAUAGUGAGCAAGUACUGCAGUACUGCAGUACCUGAUGAACACCUGAUCCCUGCCAGUACUUGCAUACACAGAUGCGCCCGGUGCUGCUGCACUUUCUAUUGAUGUUGAAGUUUGACGGAGAUAACGAUGCAAGAAGCCAGGGAGUCGCCCUGGGAGCCAUUGUCUCCUCACCUGCCGCUGCGGCGGUGCUUCGUUACCCCUCGAAACCGGGAUGACCGCCGCUUGCCGUUCCCCUCCUCCCCGCCCCCUUCCUGUUGGCCGUCAGCAUCACCGCCACCGUGGCUGUCCUCCGCCGCCGCCGCCACCGAGCGGCUGUCGCCGCUGGACGAGCGACCCUGCCGCGAGCUGUGAAACUUUGCUAGGGCCGCCAUAGCGGCGCUGCGCUUCGGUGCGCGUGAGCUCGUCCCUGCCGCCCCCGCCUCCGCUGCCCCUUGCGGCCCGAGUAGUGUUGCGUGCAGCGGCGGCGCAUGUGGCGCUGCUGGCAACGGUGUUGCAACCACCUCCGCCACCGCCCCACCACGACGCGGUUUGCCUUGGCCCUUUAUGCUGAUCCUCUCUGCAGCCUCAAUCACAGGUCCAGCUCCGCCGAAGUCGUGGGUCGGCUGAACAUUGCCCCCGGCAGCUAGGGCAGCAGCUGCUUGGCCUUGCACCUCCUCCCCUACCCACGCUGCAGUGCGGCGAUUACCGUCGCCCAUGGCGAUGGCAAAGGUAAGAUUUGGUAAGGAGCUCACGGUGGCGGGUGCGGAGGCGCUCCGCAUGGGUGCUGAGUCCAUGCCGUCUGCAGCAGCGGCUGAAGGGUUGUCGGGGGCAGUCGGCGGGUACAACAGGCGGGCUUCACCAAAGGCGGCCGCAGCUGCGGCGCCGGUAGAUCCACCAUGGUGCAGGUACGUCAACAGGACAUCAUCGGUAUCCUCGUUGGGCUGUGCUGGCGUCAAGCCGUACACGUCCAUGCUGUUGCCGUACAUUACACCGCCCUGGUCGCCGCCCGGAAAGCCUCCGCCGCUGUCUUGGAGAGCCGCCGAUAAGGGUCCCCGCCAGUCGAGCGACGACAGCGCCCGGCGCUCCGCCCGCAGCCCUCCAGAACUGUGCCCUUCAAUUGGAUCCGCCAGGUCGGCAUACCGGGAGGCAGCGGCGGCAGAGGUGCUGGGCCGCUGUUGGCUCUCCACGGCGGGCUGAGGAAAGCCAAGUCCCUGUCCAUGCACGCUGUCGUACAUGCCAAAGCGACCGGCGGUGUCAGCACCGCUGCUUGGGAUGUCAGCGGAGGUCUGGAAGGCGGUAUUUUGCAGGUGGUGGUGGUAUUGGUGCGGGUGGUAGUGCGGCGGGUUAUGCUGCCGCUGUUGUCUUUGUUGUUCGUACAUUCGGAGUCUCUCGCUGGAUUGGGUUGCAGGGUACCGCCCAUGACUUUGAGCCGCAGUAGCAGUAGCAGUAGUGAGGUGCGACUCCCCCCCCGCCAUAGCACCCGGCAGCUGCGGUUGGAACUGCUGAUGCUGCUGCUGCUGCUGCUGCUGGAAUUGCUGCUGCUGGUGAAGAGGGCGACGGUGAUAGUCUUGACGCUGUAGGUUGGAGCGAGGUUGUUGUGUGGGGGGAUGAAGAUGGUUUUGGGGAUGGUGGGGGUGGUGAUUGGACCGCUGCUGCUGCUGCUGCAACAAUGGUGGUGGUGGGUGCUGGUAGGACUGAAUGGCUGCAGUAUCGCUGUACGGCAUAUGGCUAGCCUGUUCAGGCAUUUCCGCACUGCUGCAGCCCAAAUCCUUCCGCUCGCCACCCCCGGUAUUCGCGCCACCCCCCCCGGGGGUAUUCGCGUGCAGCACACCCAGUGACCCCCCGCAGUGCAACUGGUCCUCAGCAGCCGCCGCCGCCGCCAUCGGGCCCCGUGGCCCUUCUCCCGUGAGGAUGGAGAAAUCCUCAACGGGCUCUGCGGAGUACGCCGUGCCGUGCGUUGCUGUGUCGCGCAUAUACAUGUCGUACAAGUCGUAUAUUGUUGUUCCCUGCAGCGGUGACGGUGAAGAGUUUAGCUCCUGUGGGCCUUGCCCCGGUGGCUGCAUGUGUUGCGGUUGAGGUAGUUGCGGCGCUGUCACAUGCUGGCGGUUCAUCAGCUCCUGUGGCGGCAGUUGUGUGGACGUUCCGCCGGCUGCGGUGGCACCCGCGCCGUUGGCCGGCUGUCCGGGCUGGGCAGCCGCGGGGGGCCCGUACCCGGGGGGGCCCCACGGAGCAGUCCCGCGGUCGUUCCCGGGGGGGAGGAGGUGACUCUGAUGGAGAUGAUGGUACUGGACAGUGUACGGCUGCCGUAGGUGAGAGUCGAGUACGACACCAGUGCUGGGGCUAGAGGCCUGCAUGCUCCUGCCUCUUCGACCACCAUCAUUACCUCCACCGCCAUAACUACCACCACCACCACCACCACCAUCACUAAUGGGUCUCCUUCUCGCAGCUGCUUUGCCAGCUUCGGCACUGCCGGCCUCAAACGUUGCGGCAGAGCCCGCAGAUUCCAACCUUUCCACAGCUGCGUGCCCAGCCCGGAAAUCGCUGCUAGUUGCACCGUUGUUGUCGGUGACACCGUUUGUGGCAUACAUGGCCACAUCGUACGGGUGCAGCGGGGGAAGCACGCGAGCAUGAGCGCCCUGCACCGCUGGCAGGCACAGUUGCGGCUGUAAUAAUUGGUCGUAGCGGUUAUAUUGGUUGUGGUUGCUCUGGUGGUUGUAACCGAGGUCCAGUACUGAAUGUUGGUUAACCUGGGUGGUUGGACAGGUUCGCCCUCCAGGGAGCCCGCCACUGCCCCCGGGGCCCGAUGGCGGCGGCUGCGGCGGCUGCGGCGGUGGUGGCGGCGGCGGUGGUGGCGGCAGCGGUUCUUGGUUGCCGAAGUCCAGGGAAGUUCCCGGAGAAGUGAUGACGGGCGCCUGCCGCGACUGGUCGCCGUGGAUGGUGAUGGUGGCGGUGGCAGUGACGUCGGUAUCACACUUGUACGGCGCGAUAUGUACGGCACUGCAAUGAAGUUGUCGGGAGCGCCGCCGGAUCCGGUCCGUGAGGUUGCCGAUAUCCUCUCCUGCGACUUGGCUGGCAGGUGGUGGUGGUGGUAGUGGUGCUGGUGGCGGUGGCUGCUCCCCAGCAACUAGGGCGCGGGAUGACGUCCUGGCGACGGCAGCGGCAGCGGUCGGAACACCAUCUGCGGCGCUUUCAGGGUUGUCAGGGUUGUCAGUAUAAGCGGUGGCGACUUCAAGGGCGGUGGCUGCGUUGAAAUGUACGGCAUGAGGCAAGCCACUGUUGUCAUCAGCCGGAAUGGCGGCGGUUCCGCCAUUACCAAUCUCAGCCAAUGAUUGAACGCUGUUAUGCGCGGACAGCAUAGCCACGUUCGCGACGACUACAGGUGCGGCGCUAGUGCGGUUCGAAGCCAGUAUCACUGUCCCUGUGGUUCAGCGUUGUCAGUUCCGCCGUGUAGACUUGCUGCAGCCGUCCGCCGUAUCGUAUCACCUGGCACCAACGUUAUAAGGAAAUACAUAUUUAAGGCAAAUCAUACUUGAAUCUAUGAAUUUAAGCGCUCGACGUGAAGCGCGUUCAUCAAAAGAGUCGAUAAUGGGUCGAUCGCGAAAGGGUUAUCGUUUUCGCAAGACUUGCGUGCGUUAACGUUGCUUUCGCACUAGGUGGCGCUCAUACAACCUGGAAAUAUGACAGUAACACCAGCAUUUGCUUACUUCCGCUUUGUUUACAGCUUAAGAGGCAGCGUAACCUCAAACGCCAGGUUAGAGGAAAUUCGCCACAGAAACGGGGCCAGUUCGACGCGCGCGGCGACAGUCGUCGGCCUUGAGCUUAGCUAACAGCCUUCGUAUGCUUGUCAAGCGAGUUAAACAGAACCGUCAAGUAUGGCAAGUUUAUUUUCAUAUUCUCCAACGGAAAACACGAAAUAUGCUUUUGCCGAAUAUGCUAAGCACGGACAUUACGCGCGCGCGUAGCGAGUCGAAGCAGCGAGCGAGCGAUGCCUCCGGCGGCGAGCAAAAACAGACAAACGAAGGCCAAACGAAGUCGCUUGCCUCACCAGAUGACUGAUCUCAGAUAGCACGACCUGUGUGACUUGGACGCAAAGCUGUGCCGCGCUCGCUGCGAGCGCGAAUGCUGCCCACACGUUUCAAACGGAUCGCGGAGGAGCAGACGAUGUGGCGGGAAUAUGCCUUACGCAUUCGAACGCGAAGGGGAAAUACGCAUAAGAGAGCUAAGCUGCACACUACUAGAUCUUAACUGGCCAAAAGUACAAACCAUAUCCUUUUCACGAUUACAGUCGAUGUUUAAAUACGACGGAUUAAAUAAAGUUAGCGAUUGACUUUUCAUAUCUUGCCCGUAGCCCGGACGGACUAGCCGAGGCGCAAAAUCUCACAUACGAGCCAGCCGAGGCACAAAAGCGCGCUCGAACGCACGAGGCACGAGAUGCACGAGGCAAAAAAGAUCUACUCAUCCCCGCUAAUAAAACUGCAUUUUUUCUCAUACUUUGCUUUGAUUGCUUAUUUUUGUUACCGUUCGGCCCUAGUAGAGUGUCGUCAUUAUGGGCGUUUAGUAAGGUCAGAGCGUUUCGGAAAGGCGGCUCGUAGCCUAAGCAGGCAGUUGCGUAGAAGCUAAGUGGAUGCACUGUUCGUGUCCUCCGAGGACUCCGAGGACUUUGAGGACUCCGAGGACUCUAACAACUUACCUGCUGACCGCUCCGAGAACAGUUGCCCAGGAAGUUGCGCCCCCCUUUCCAGCUGCCCUGUAAAACGAGGCACUGCGUAGUGCCUCCCUGUAGUGCCACAAUACACAGUCCCAUAUACACAGUCCCAUAAAGGAGAAACGUUAGUAUCCAAUAUUGAAUAUAUAUGCAAUAAUCAAGCAACGUAAUUAAGCAGACCGGAAAUAGGGAGAAAGGUUAGACUCACUGCUCUGCAGCACCUAACAUAAACCACAUAUCCUCUGCUCCCCUGCCUUCCUAAGGCACGGACACUCGCGCGGCAGCUGAUAGUGUUCAUGAUGCGCGCGAACUCACUUUCCUCUUCUGCCACACCAUGCAUGCUAUGCCGCUCCGGCUAGUAGUAAUUCGUCCAUCGCGGCCUCUUAAUGGAUUCGGCUCCUUGCAUGGCAUGCGGCCUUCUUUCACUCCCUAGCUAACUCCCAAGAUGCAGUAGGCGAGGUCGUCGGUGCAAUUGGUGAUCCUUAAACACACAUUUCAUUUUUACCCCGCUGCAGAAUCACGCAUCCCUUUACCUCUUGUCGCCGGAAAGAUAAACGAAUGCUGUUACAUAUAUUCAUAGGCCUGCCAGGGUCGAGAAACCUUCCAAUGGUGAAAGGUAAAAGUGCCCCUAGUCGAUGGACGGUGGUGACCUCGGAUAAAGUUAAUCUGCGAGCUGACCAGGAAUGGAGUUGAGCAGCUGUCGACCCGGCAGAUUCCGUUGGAUGCCGGUGGUGGGUGCGGAACAUGAGCGAUCCACUGACAAGUUGGCUCGGGUGACUGGACGAGGGUGCCCCAAAACACCGGGGAAGGCAGGGUCUGCCGGGUAGCGGCUGCAGGAUGAAGAUAUUACCCCCCUGUCCCGCACGUCAUACAUGCAUACAUACAAGUUUUUGGCACCACUGGUAACGCGCGACCAUUGCCCCCGGGAGAUCCCGGGAUCGAUACCCGUUAGGGUCAGAAGACCUUCCGAUGGUGGAAGGCAUUGCGCCCCUAGUUGAUGGACGGUGGUGACCUGGGAUAAAGUUAACCUGCGAGCCGACCAGGAACGGAGUUGGGCCGCUGUCGACCCGGCAGAUUCCGGUGGAUGCUGGUGGUGGGUGCGGAACCUGAGCGAUCCACUGAGAAGUUGACUAGGGUGACUGGAUGAGGGUGCCCCGAAAUACCGGGGAAGGCAGGGUUUCGCAGGGUAGCUGCCACGGGCGAAGAUACACCCCCCUGUUUCACACAGCAUACAGUGAAUCCCGCCGGCAGAUCACUGCUGGCUCCGCAGCCAAAAGCACUGUGUAAGCCAUGGAAGACACUCAUAACAACAUUAUUAGGUACUACUAGACCUCAAGGUGAACCCCGUAACACAGCUUGGACAACAACACGCGACCAGGGACACUCCAAUAAUGCCCUGCACGAGGGUGCGGGUGUGCAAAGUAAAGGCCAUCAUAGAGAGAGAGAGAGUAUACAACAUAUUGCAAAACUGGAUGCCGUUUGUUCGAACAUGCAAGACUUGCCCUUACAACUAUGCUACAACUUGAUGAGGUAGUGGUUACCAGGAUUGGAACCACUGCCACUGACGUUGCUCGUCAAAUAAAGUAUGAAUGUACGGCAUAUGUAUGGCACUCACCCAUACCAUGGCUGGGUGGGACAGGGUCAGGUCAGGGGUGAGGUGAAGAGCCGUUAGGUGGGUUGGUGAAACGAACUGCAGGAUGGCAACCCAUGCUGGUGCCGUACUUCUGUGCUGAGGAGACCGCAUAGGUCGCUGGAAUCACAGUCUAACAGUUCCAAAGUUCAUGCUUGAUCCCCAGGCGGCGAUGUUUUCUCGACAGAACGGGUUUGUCGUACAAUGAUUACAUUUAAUGCACCGCCAAUUACACGUCACGUGCAUGGUGUGGGGGGAUUGGCGGCAGUACGGCAGUUUGCUGGUUGUAUAUGUGUGUGUGUGAUGAGUGUGAUGAUGUGUGUUUCAUUCAUUUUGUGGCUAAUGUUGUGUGCCUGUUACAACGGCUGUCGGGUGUCUGGGCCCUAUUGGGCCUAUUGUGUUCCCCAGGACCACAUGUUUAGUUACAUGCAUGCAUCCUUGCCACUAACCUGCUUACUCGAUCAUACGACCAGCCUUUGCCAAGCCCUAUCAUAGAGGGUCCCCCUCAUCGGUAGCCCUCUGUUCAAGAGGCAUGCAGGUGGAGGGCUCCCACGGUCCAUAAUCCGGAUAAACCGACUGAGUCGGGCGCCUGUACAUACACUGUGUGUAUGUAAUGUGUUACAGAGUGGGAGGCUUCUGGGCCGCUUUAUCACAUUGUCAGUUCUACGAUCAUUUAUCACCUUAUAGCACCAUCCACCACUACCACACUGUCUUCGCCAUACGAACUGUAAGUCCAAGGCGGCGGAUCCAGCCUUCAGGGACCCCUCCUCAUCCAUUCACCCGAACACCCGAAGAGACGGAGGGUUCGGCAAUCGCCACCAAUCCAGCGUGCGAAUCUGGUCCAUCAACUGUGACCUCAACUCCACAUCUCAGCAGCUAGCCAUAAUCUCGCGCUCCCGACUACUUCGGGGGUCUCCCCAGGAAUCGAACCCAGGACCUUAAACCGCUAAUUGCAGUAGUGUCAACCCAGAUGUCAACCCAGACCAGUGUGUAUGUGUGUGUUACAUGGUUGGGGGUGCGUGACCCCAUACCUGUAAAACUACCCAGACAAGCCGAAGGCCCAAGGGCAAUGCUUCAACGCCUAAAAGCCAUGGAGAACAGGAAACACCGCACAUCAGCCCAGACUAGCGACUAAAAAGGGUAACUGAGUUUCGGUGAGCCCACAUACGUUCCGGCUGGCGGCUGGCAGAAGUUAAGGCCUGACUUCUGCUCCCAGUCGAUCCAGUCGACCCGGGUUCAAAUCCGCCUGCCAGCUCCUCGGGUGUUUGAGGAGUGAUGAAAUGGGAGGUGGCCCCCCAUCAUAUGGACGGUGUAGGACGUGAUAAUAUCAACUUGCGAGCUGACCAGGAACUAAGUUGAUGCGCCGUCGAUCCGCUAGAUUUGGUUGGAUGCUGGUGGUGAGUUGCCGAACCCAACGAAUACAUUCUGAAGUCGGAUGGGGUGACGGAUUAGGGUGCCCCUCUAGCAGGGGAGAGCAGGGACUGCCCCGGGAAAGGGGGCCGCUGGCGAAGUUAACCACCCUGUAACAACAUACAUACGUUCCAACAUCCUCGCCAGACGUACUGGUUCCCAUUCCAUGGCCUCUAAACGCUCUGAUAAUCGAAUCCCUCUUCAGCACAAAUAUCAUUAUAGGCUGGGCAUUCCAAUAACACGUGUUUUUCAUCCUCGAUUCGGCUAUUAGUACCACAACAGCGGCAAAACCGCUGCCCCCUGGGAACAUGGUACUUGCCCCUUCGUGCUCUGUUUGCCUCCAGAGCCCAGCAACAUAAACGAAACUGCAGUAGCUUACGAUGUGCUAAACGAGGAAUGAAAACCUUAGCAUGUGUUGGCCACAUUACGGCUGCGGCUCCCGAAAAGGGCAGCCCCAUCCAGUGCUUACACUUCGCCAUUUGCACUCCCGGUUGCCUCCCAUCUGAUGGGUACUCCUCUGGCAAGGCAGUCAGACGCGUAUGGUCCCAGCCGCUCACCAAACGCUCUCUUUGUGCCGUUAUCAUCGCUCCUUCGGGGAGAGGCCUGCUCAACAACCAGUGUAUGUCGACUACCCCGGGAAUAGCAGCUGGCCUGCUGCCAGCAAAUGCCAGUGGUGGCCGUCACGGUCUUGCCUGUCUGCCGUACAUUUAUACAUACAGACAUUCAUACCAUAGGCGGCUGGCAGAGGAUUAGGCCUGACUCCUGCUCUCGGAGUGUCCGGGUUCAAAUCCGCUUGCCGACGUCUUAAAGUGUAAAGGGUGGUGAAUUGGAAGGCGGCCCCCCAUCUGGUGAAUGGAGAAGGACGCGAUUACAUCACCAUGCGAGCUAACCAGGAAAUAAAUUGACGCGCCGUUGAACUGCUAGAUUUAGUUGGAUGCUGGAGUAAGUUUCUGAACCUAAUGAAUACACUCUGAAAUCGGAUGGGGUGAGUGGAUUAGGAUGCCCCUCUCGCAGAGGAGAGCAGGGAACUGCCUCGGGAAAGGGGGCCGCUGGUGAAGCUAUACCACCCUGUAACGACAUACAUACAUACAUACAACACAGUGCUCCUCAGGGCUCCCUCAACACAUCCUGGAUAAAUAAUGCUUCUACACGGCCUAGUCAAGUCCUUAACUGUCAACAAGUCGCCGACUGCAGUACAUUGGCAUGGCUAGCCGUACAACCGCUGUAUCAAACAUGAAUCGCCAUUAAAAAGAAAGCUAAGCCUGGAAUGCCAUGGAAAGAAUACUCCGGGACAGAAAAGGAAAUAGAUAGUGAUGUGUGGAAUGUGCUGGCCGCUGAAAACGCCUCUCAAGAUAAUGGCAGAGCGCUUUUAUAGCCAUAUUUAUGUUACAGCAUGUGUGCUGCUGUACUCUGUAUGAUUGCGGCCCCAAAAUCCCAAAACCGUCAACUGACAUUGGUCACACCAUUCUGAGUGAAGGCGCACAUAUCGGGGCUGUUCAUUUAUUAAUCGUGAACAAGGCAACUAAUAACUAGCCAGAUGCGGAAUGGGAGCCCACUGAGUCCCUAAACCACUUCGCUCCGACCCAAUUGCCCGAUGUCCUUUUCCUGAUGUGUGUGGCGGCAGGUCCUCCAGUGCCGGCUCCUGCUGUUGCGGCGGCUGCUGUAGGUGAUGCUGGUAGUGGCGCUGCUGUGGUAGGAAGCUCUCAUGACUGUACGAUGUUCCACAAGCUUGUGCAGAGGUCAUCUUCCUGUUGUCGCAUGCAGCCUCUUGUCCGCCCUCCAGACGGGGCCCCAGCAGUUGAACUUGUGGCUCGCCCAUUGACCUGUUUUGCAACUGCUGGUCAUGGGCCGCUGCUGCUGGUGCCUCAUCAAGCCCGCCCUAUCCCUGGGGCAGCUCCACGAUACCCAGGGCGACGACUGUCCUCCCAUGCGGCUGCAGUUCGGGCCACUGCUGGCGGCCAGAGACUCCAGUGCCCGUGUCUCCAUGACUUCACCCACAGCGGAUCUGGUCUCGGUCCUAAAGUGCGACAUCUUGGGGGCUGCAGGUCUGUAUGCAACAUAAAGAGCAAGAUAUGAUUACACGCAGGGAAAGCCAGGCCAACAAACAUCAGGAGUUGCAUGCACAUUACUUCGGACCUACCCUAAGACAGUCACAGGAAUAAUGAGCAAAGGAGUAAGGAGGGGUUCAAACUGGUUCGCAGCCAUGCGGAUUAUACAGCAUCCGACGGGACGCUUAGGGGACUAUGCAUUCGCCAACAGUAAUGGUGAUCCGUCCGCUCAAGUUUGAUAAAAGGCAUGUCACGCGUUGCACAACUUUGAGGUCCUCUGGAUCCCUUUAAAAAUUUGAGGACUAAUCAAUUUUGUUUCAUCGUACUGCAAAACGUUGUGCAGCAGAGCAUGUCAGCACGCCGUGAGCCCAAAAGAGCCCAAACGAACUGGGAGACUUGAAUGAAACGGCGAGAAAUGCUUCUGGGUCAUAGCGGCAACUAAAAUUGAAUCACCAGAGAAAUUUCAUUCAAACUAAAAUCCAGAAAUGAGCGCGUUAACGAAGGCGUAUAUAGACUACUCCUGCUGCUGCGCUCUAGCUUCGAUGGAUGGCAGCCAGCAGCCAGGAUAACUUACAAGACAAAGGAGAUUGAUAAAGUGGAAUUGGAAAAGAUUUAGUGUCAGCAUACUCUGGUAGCCAGUUUGGCUUUUAUGUGGUUGCGGACUGCUGGGCCGGGGUGGCCAGGGGAGGUUGGUUGUUUGUAGUAUCCUGGGUAUAGCACGGAAUCUGCAUCCACUUUGGUUCUUCCUAAAAAUGUCGUGGUAUAAGAAAUGGUAUCGAGCAGGUAUCUCGGUUCUGAUCCUAGUUCCAUUUUCAGCUAAGACUUGGGGCAGGGGACCGGGGAGAGUACAAGUGCGGGGGGAAGUGGGGGCGGCAACCCCACGACCCCGCACGUACAUUCACUGAAACCCCCACCUGGCCACCGACAUGCGAUCAUGAUAUGGAUGAGCGGUAGCCCUGGCAAUUAAAAGCAUGAAUUUGGAACUCCCAUCGUAAUAGAGUCCGAAAGUACGUGAUUUAUGAUGUACAUGAUGCAUGGGGUGCAUAGGCUAUCGCCAUGGAAAGACACAGAAGCCAAGCUGCUGUAACUCCAUUUGGGCUAUCUUUGUCCUAUCUGUUGCACCAUGCCAUCCAGAGGUUCAGAAGCUUCUUGAAAGGAAUGAAACCAACUUGUCGUCACGUCCUAGACCGCUGCUGGGUGACAAGAGUCACUCCCAUGCAACAUGCUUCUAAAAGCAAUUCCGCAGGCAAGCACGAGCGUGGCGCUGCGAUGUCGACAUUGCUGAUAUACGUGACUUAAUGCUCAAUCAUUUGACGGCAUGCUGAAAGAAGAAACAUGCUUUGUAAUACCUGCUGUAGAGUCCAGGGCUUUCCUUGUCAACUGUAAUGCCUAGGCAUUAUAGGAGGCCUCCUAUUGCCUCGUACUCCUAAAUUCGUUCGAUCCUAUGUAGUAAAAAUCAACCUCCCCAGGCAACCCCGGCCCAGCAGUCCGCAACCACAUAAAAGCCAAACUGGCUGCCAGAUUAUGCUGACACUAAAUCUUUUCCAAUUCCACGUUAUCAAUCUCCUUUGUCUUGUAAGUUAUCCUGUCGCCUGACAGCCAUCAGUCCAUCGAAGCUAGGGCGCAGCAGCAGGGAUAGAGCGGGUCGUCUAUAUACGCCUUUGCUAACGCGCUCAUUUCUGGACUUCGUUUGACAUUAACAUUCCUCUGGUGAGUUCAUUUUUAUUGCCUCAAUGACUCAGAAGCAUUUUUCGCCGUUUCAUUCGAGUCUCCCAGUUCGUUUGGGCCCACGGCCGCAGCGAGUGUGACAAGUCCUGCUGCACAACGUUUGCAGUGCGAUGCAACAAAAGAGAGUGGUUCUCGAAUUAGCAAAAAUGGUCCCCAGGACCUCAAACUUGCGUGACAGCCUUUUAUUGAACUCGAGGCAUAUGGAUAGACCACCAUUAUUGCUGGCGGGUGCAUAUCACCCUAAGCGUCCCGUCGGAUGCUGUAUAAUCCGCAUGGCUGUGAACCAGUUUGAACCCCUCCUUACUCCUUUGCUCAUUAUUCCUGUGACUGUCUUAGGGUAGGUCCGAAGUAAUGUGCAUGCAACUCCUGAUGUUCAUUGGCCUGGCUUUCCCUGCGUGUAAUCAUAUCUUGCUUCUUUAUGUUGCAUACAGACCUGCAGCCCCCAAGAUGUCGCACUUCAGGACCGAGACCAGAUCCGCUGCGGAUGGAGACACGGGCACGGGAGCGUCUGGCCGCCAGCAGCGGCCCGAACAGGGAACUGCAGCCGCAUGGGAGAACGGUCGUCGCCCUAAUGAUCGUGGAGCUGCCCCAGGGAUACGUUAGCGGUGGGCUUGAGGCACCAGCAGCAGCGGCCCAUGACCAGCAGUUGCAAAACAGGUCAAUGGGCGCGCCACAACUUCAACUGCUGGGGCCCCGUCUGGAGGGCGGACAAGAGGCUGCAUGCGACAACAGGAAGAUGAUUUCUGCACAAGAUUGUGGAACAUCGUACAGUCAUGAGAGCUUCCUACCACAGCAGCGCCACUACCAGCACCACCUACAGCAGCAGCCACCGCAGCGGCUGCCGCCACCGCAGCAGCAGCCACAGCAGCAACAGCCACAGCAGUGGCAGCAGCAGCCACCACAGCAGCAGCCACCGCAGCCACCGCAGCAGCAGCAGCAGCAGCUGCCGCCGCCACUGAAGCCGCAGAAAGACCUACUGUCACACUAUGAGCUGCUGCCACCACCGACGCAGCAUCCGUAUCCGCAGCAACGGCCAAUGCUGCAUGAGCUUCCGCCACUGCAGCAUCUACAGCAUCAUCAUCUGCAGCAGCAGCAUCUGCAGCAGCAGGAGCUACUGCCGUCACUUCAUGAACAUCUGCAGCAGCUGCUGCAGCCGCAACAGCAGCUGCUGCAACCGCAACAGCAGCAGCUGCAGCCGCAACAGCAGCAGCUGCAGCCGCAACAGCAGCAGCUGCAGCCGCAACAGCAGCAGCUGCAGCCGCAACAGCAGCAGCUGCAGCCUCAACAGUAGCAGCUGCAGCCGCAGCCGCAGCAGCUGCAGUCGCAGCCGCAGCAGCUGCAGUCGCAGCCGCAGCAGCUGCAGUCGCAGCCGCAGCAGCUGCAGUCGCAGCCGCAGCCGCAGCCCCAGCAGCCGCCGCAGCAGCAGCUGCAGCCACAGCAGCAGCAGCAGCUGCAGGCGCAGCAACAGGCCAAGCGGCGAAGGCUUAGUGAGCUGCUGCUAGAAGAGCUACAGCGGAGAUCCUUACCGGGCCCCACCUAUGCCUCCGCCAUUGGUGACGCCAAUCACUGUACUGCAGCGCUCCCAGGGGAGGAUGUGCAAUGUGAAGCAGCUCCUGCCCCAGGCGUCAGGCAGAACUACCGGCAGUACAAUGCCAAUGCUACUAAAACGGUUAAAGCCAUUUUAGGUCCUCAAAACAUGGCAAUGGAUAAGGUUGCGACACCAUCACCCGCGCCAGGGAUGCGAGGACUGCAGGCGCCGGGGUUGCUGCUACUAGCGCAGGAGGCAGAGGCCGUACAGGUGAUAGAGGUUGCGGACACGGAGCAGGCGGCGAGGAUAGAGAAGGCGGCAGUAGCGGCGCAGCCGGCGGAGGGGGCGAAGGCGGCUGCAGGAGCACCCUACCGAGCUCUGAGCCGCAGUAAUAGUGCCACUGUUGCAUCGUUGGAUGACAGCUCGCAGCGGCAUCGCACGCCCAGCGUUAGCAACCGCUUGGCGGCGGAGGAGGAGAUGGACUGCCACGGUGGCCGUGAUGCUGUUGCCGACAGAGGCGAAGCGGCGGCUGAUGGCGAGCUGCAACUGUCCCAACUUCACAGUGUGACUAAGGAUGCGGCCUCCGGAAGGCAAGAGUGCGAAGUGUAAAGGCGCGAAGUGUAAAGGCGCGAAGUGUAAAGGCGCGAAGUGUAAAGGCGGGAGCGCGUCCAACCAUCAUCCACCGUUAAUAUGUAUAAUUUAUGUUUCAAUAAGAAAAAACUCUACCAUCUAGGGGAUCUUGAACGUCGGCUAAAACUCGGGGCUUGUGAUGGGUUAUAAGGUCUGGGAGUCACAGCUGUCAACCAUCCGUAGCUUGCAAAAGCAAACAUCCAUUUGUAAUCACUAUCAGUUCAUCUUCCGAAACCGUCCCCGGCCAGACAUGCAGUCAGGGGUCGUCAGGCACAUCCGCCUUUGAGAGCACAUUUCUUCUUGCGAACUGUUACUGCAUUUGUACCGGCAUAAACACAACAUGGCACUUUACCCAUCGCACAUGGCAAGUGGUCCCCUUCAUGCGGGAAGGGCUUUCCUUGCUGUCAGCAUUAUUUUAUACACACAUAAUUAUUUGCUCAUUAGUCCUUGAAUCAACCAUGUAUGUCGUACAUGCAUCACACAAUGCUGUACAUGCGCCGUUUUGUUCUUGGGCCAUGCAUGAUGCAGGUGGCUUGCCAACGUCUAUGUGGAGCAGUUAGGUGGCAUAGUUGACCUGGGCAGCUUUGACAACGCGGUGCACGCUGCGGAAGCGUACGACAUUAUGAUGCUGCGGUUCCAGGGGAUCGAGGUACGAGAAGCUGAUGCCGCUCUGCACCCGAGAAACCAUCGGUUGAUGUUUGCGUAUACCUCGCUUUCAGAGCGUGUGCCGCCAACUAGCUAGGCCAUAACUUUGGCAUGUGUCGCAUUAUUCGCUAUCUAUAGCACAAAAGAAUAUGCAAUCUUAAAUCUGUAUGAUGGACGACUGAUGAAGUGGCUUUGCUUCGCCGCAUUUAAUGCUUCAACUAUAGCUGGCUAGCAGGCAAUCUUGCCCGGCAGCCAGUUCGUUGUUCCAUUAGUAGUUAUGUUACCCGGGGUUUUAUGGUUUAAAACCCUAAAAAUCUUGCGUACCUUCCGACGCCUUCAUGUAUAUUUUCGCCAACGAUACAUUCCCCACCCUUUCUGACAUGCACGCACGCUGCCGGUCGAUACCCUCUUCUUUCCGAUUCGCCUGCUGCCGCCGUUUUAUUCUUCCGACACCAUCCCACGGCUGCGGCAGGGCGUCCAAACUAACUUUCCACUCAAGCGCUACGAGAGGCUGCUCCCCUACCUUGGAAAGGUGUGGCUGCAAGACCUCGCCGCCGCAUUGAAGAGCAGGUGCCGGCAGGUGCGUUUGAUACAGCUUUAUAUACCGUAGGUUAAUAUUUUUAUCCCAACGAAAAACUGAAACCGGAGGAAAUGCAAAUGGAAAAUUUAAUGACUCAAGGUAAAUCGUUAAACGAUCAUGAAUUUGCUGAUAGUUAAUUUAAAAAAAUGAAAUCGUUGUUUUCCGGUUUAAGGUUUACUGCUUGUUAAUGUAUUCUAUACAGGCCGCCUGUGUAUUGACAUGUAUGUGUGCAGCCAUAAAAAUGAUUCAUAGCCUUGUGUGCAGCGGUGUGAGGAAUACUGCUCCUUUAUAUGCGGCAUGAGGAGGGUGGACUGAGCAAGAAGCGCCCGCUAGGAGAAUGGAAGCCUAGUGGUUGUUUGUCUGUCGACAUUUCGGUCGUCUACAUCUCGCACCCCGGUAUAAUAGAAGGGAUGGUCCCUAUCUAAUGUACAUAUACCAGGACACGACCUGCAGAUGAUCAAAACGUUUAAGACGCUUGGUGUAGCUACACCAAGCGUCUUGAAUGUGAAAGAGGCUCAUCAGUCGUACCAUGAUGAUAAUGAUGAUGAUGAUGUAGAGCAUUGCAGCAUGCAAGCAAACAGUUUCCACUAUCCGUGCCAUAAAUUGCUAUACAUACAUACGUGUAGUGUACAACUUCGAGCUGCUGCUGUUCAUAAUAUGGCUUGCUGUGUCUAUCUAUUUCGGGUCGUGUGCAUACAGGAUGUACAACCUGGCAGAACCCCAGUCUAUGUGGGCGUCACUCAUUGCUCCGGAGCUUGGCAGGCACGCCUGCAACUUUCCGAGCGCUGCCGCCUUGACUUGGGAGUUUUUUUGAGUAAGCGUGUGGCAGUUGCUGCGUACGAUAAGGCGCUGGUGCGGGUACUUGGUCCUACCGCCGCUACGAACUUCCCCAUCGUUGAGUAUCUGCAAGAGCUUGCAGAAUACCGUACUUACCAGCAGGUAUGCGUGUACGUCUUGUCGUACUCGUCGCUCUUGCUCCAACUGUAUCGUUUCGUCCGGGACAACAUUGUACGAACGGACAGGUGCAAGUAAAACUAUCAGUUUUAGAGUGACGUAGUAUUAUAAUUCGUAAACAGAUGAGGUGGCGUGUUAACAACAUGCUGAUAUAAAUUAACCGAUAUCAAACAAUUAUAAUUUUUUUUAAAUAACUUUCAAAUUAGGUAAAUUAUGAAAAAGUCAGUUAUUUUUUUGUGUUUUAUUAUUUUGUAUGCAAGUCCUGCCUUUGCCGAUCAAUGGUUUAUUUACGACACCGCUGUUGAUUGUGUAAAGCACCGCCAUACCGCAAUCACGUUGUGCAACGGUGAAAUAGUUAGUUUUGGUGCUGUGUGAGCUCAUGUGGAAAUACUCACUGCUGGACAUUUCGUCAUUGUCGUCAGCACAUUAUUGACUGGCAAUGGAUGGCAAGGCGCGUCGCACCUCUGCUUCAUCGUAGUGUUGUGAUGAUAUACAUACAUACAUACAUACAUGCACCACUUGAAGACCUCCGUCUGGUUGUUUCCACAUGUAUGAUGUGUGAGACAGGGGGAUCAUGUCUUCUCCCUGCGGCCGCUACCCGGCAAACCCUAAGCCUUUCCCAGGUUUCCGGGCACCUUCGUCUAGUCACCCUAGUCACCCGAGUCGGCUUCUCUCUGGAUCGCAUAGAUUCUGCACGCACCACCGGCAUCCAACGGAAUGCCGGGUAGACCGCGGAAGGAAACUAUCGGCUAAGAGCACCUUACCCUCCACCGUCGUAAGGGGUUUUGCCCUUAACAGGUCUCGAUCCAGGGAUUUCCCGGGUCAUUGGAGCGUGCCCUACCUGACCUAUGCAUGUGUGUAUGUGUGUAUGUAUGUAUGUACGUAUACCCAUAGCACACAGGACGCCGCCGUGCAUCCCACCGCCAAACUGCCCAUGCAGGCCCUUUUACGUCAGGACCAGCGGCUGGCCUGCAUCUUAGAGUACGGGCGGGAAUACAGGUUGUGGUUCAGGUUCGGGUUCAGUGCGUUCCCUCACCUCCAGCCGGAGCAGGCGGCCGCGGCCAGGGAAGAUUAAGGGCUGUACCAGUGUCUAUGCUAAAGCGUUGGCCAUCAUCGCAGCCACAUAUAGCCGCACGCCGGUGCGUCACAGUGAAGGUGUUGAAAUGACGGAGACCUGAACAAGACAGGAAUGGCCACCACAUGCUCAUCAUCAUCAGAAAUGUGUGCAUAUGUACACUGCAUGUUUGCGCAUAGUCGUCUCUUAACCUGCCUUCGUUGCAGCAUGAACGUCUGCAACGUCUGUAUGUCCAGCUGUAUGUCCAGCUGUAUGUCCAGCUGUAUGUCGUUGCAGCCACACCAACCAACCUAGCCGAAGUGGCGGCCGCGGGAUGUAGAGGACGAUAUUAAAGGAGGCAGCAGCAUGGCAUGAGGAAUAGUAGUACGGACGUGCGUGCGUAUUUGUGGCCCUAGCUGUAUGAAGGGCUCGGCUCCCUUCUUUGCCUUAUGUUACAUUGGUGCGAAUUGCUAGGGUGUGAGAACUCCCCGGAUCGUGUCCGAUUUUGACCAUACGCACUUGAGGCAUGACGCAGCAUAUUUCUUGCGCAAGGGUAGAUGCCCGGGUGGCCGAUACAACUACCAGCUGAGGUAAACAUUAUGGACCUCCAUUUUGGACGGGGACCGACCGGCCGUAAUCCCACUGGAUAUCAAAUAACCAUGAUCCCUAUGCCCGGGGGCGCCCGAGGGCGUUCGCUCGGAGGGGGAGGAAUGUAAGAAGGAUUCGGCUCCCGUGGCAUUUCCCUUUGCCUGGUGUUACACCAGCGCUACCUGUUGUUGCUGCUGCUGGCUAUCUGGCUACCUGGCUAUCUUGGCCCUCGCCGAUUUGGCACCCAUACACACCCAUACGCCCGCAGCCGCUCGCUGCUCGUGCUUCAAAACUCACCCGCAAAGCCGUUCUCGCUCUCUCGCAAAGCCGUUCUCGACAUCUUUACUGGUUCAUCAUGAGAAUUAACUUCAUUAUAGUAAUAAGCUUGUCGGCCGCCAUAAAUCUCGAUAAAUAAAGUCCUGUUAACAAGCACAGCCGGCAGGACCAAUGAUCAGAAUGCACAUUUUAAAUCUUCUGGAUACUUUGCUUUGCAUGCAGGAAACAAAGUCAGCAAGCACGCCAGGCAGGCAGGCAGGCAUGGAGUUAGAGGAUGAACAAACGAAAACAAGGACAGCGUUUCGCUUAAGCGCCCCGCAAGGCAGUGAGGUUCGACAAAUCUAAAGCCAGAAACAGAAUAUCUACCAGCAUCUACCUUGAAAUAAGUCAGGAUAGAGUGCCUCGAUCUCAAAACAAGGAACGCAAGACCGAGCUCGGUGGGCCGGACUGCAGUAACGCCAAGCAGCAGUGAAGCCUUCGUCGCCGACCUGCUGGUUUUCAUGAGUUUUUUGGCUGCCACAUUGUGAAAGUCAUUGGCAGGUCGGCGUCCAGCUGCCCGCUGGGGGUCGGGUUGGCGAUAAGCAAGCAGGCAGUGCCAGCCUGCGAUCAUCCCCAUUUCAUUGUUGAUUCAUAAUCAUCGCAACUACGUUUCAAGUAUGCAACUCUUGCGGAUUGCAAAGCCACAUUGCGGUCAGCCGGCACCUACCAGCCGCACCUCGUCUCCCUCGUUGAUUGGUUUGCCAUGGCAACCGCUAGCUGAAGCCAUGUUUUAGCAAUACAAGCAGGAAAAAGAUUUUUGACAUAAGCACCCUUUGACCAUGAUAGCGUCGCGGGCAUGAGAGGUUGAAAGGGCCCAGCAAAGCUGAUAAGGCCCAAUAUUGCCCAAUCAAGCCAGCGGCAGCAGGAAGCACCUGAAGCUACACAGAAUGGAAACGAGCACAUGUUCACAAAAGCAUCAGCAGCAGCAAAUCAGUGAAUGGUGAUGAGUUCCGUCUCGUCUCCAAAAUGUCCUUUUGCUUAUGGUUGCCUUGCUCACCAAGCAGGAUGACAGCAGUAAUAGGAUGACAGCAUUUUAAUGAAAUUAGGAGCACACUAUGUAUAAAGCAUACUCGCGCACAUGUCAAGUGGUAAUCCCUUAUACUCAUCAAUCUGUACGACAUACAUGGGCUCCGUACGCCAGCAACCACGGCGUUCCCUGCAGCCUCAACAGUCUGGGGGAGUCCGUUCGUCCAAAGCGAGCUGCCUUUUCAUAGCGCAGGAAGUAUGCAGCUUGCAGUAUGAGAUCUGUCGUUUCGGGAUGAUGAUUUUGCACCGGGUAAAUGCACCGUCGCCCCUGGCUUGUGAUAUGUUGGCUUAAGCAUGCGUUGGUCGGCGGGCUGCUCAUACAACAGCUGGAAAGCUAAUAUAUGACACAGAGCAGCUGGCAACCAAUACAUUUGAGCUAUCCAACGACUUGCUAACGGCCAUGUGUGGUAGUUACCCGUCGUGGGCCCCGCCGGCAGUGUAUCCACCAGCAGACCGUAUCCAGCAGAUCCGAUCUAGCUGCUGCUGCUGCUGCUGCCCAGAGCGAGGAGGGAGCGGCGCAGUCAUCAGCAUGCGUGUGUGGGGGGGGGGCCUGUGCGCAUGUGCGUAUGUGCAAGCUGUGCAAGCUGUGCAUGCAGGCAACGUAUCUUUUAUAUAUUGCAUGCCUCAUACUAAUAUUUAAAGGUAGAUAUAUACGCCUGUAAAUCUGUUACGUACCUUUGGCGGGACGAUGCCGCAAGUACUUGAGCAACUUCUUCAUUGCUUGAUGUGGACAUACAUGCGUCGAUCCUACUUUGCUUGGCUUGCUGUAGGUAUCCGUAAAUUCAGUGUUUUGACGACAUAUCUGUAAUCAGCCUUGCAGCACUGUUGAUUUUUACUUCUGCCAGAAACGUUGAGUUCGCUGUUGCCUGUUUGUUCGCUGAAAAUCUGUCUGCUGCCUGUUCGACUUCCCAAGCCGCGUGUGCAACUGCCGAUAUGCAUCCCAAUAUUCCGGCUGUGACUUCGCGACAUGUUGUAUUACAUACGUAGGGCCAUGUAGAUACGUAGGUUGCUGUUACAAUGCCAGCCUCUAUCUGGCGCGGCCACAUAACACGCCCGCUGGCCUGCUGAUGAUGACGGCAAACAGGCUGUACGAGUCGAAAGUUUUGAAUUAAUUGAUUGCGCCGUUACCUAUCAACAACAGUAACAGUAACAGUAACAGUAACAGUAACAGUAACAGUAACAGUAACAGUAACAGUAACAGUAACAGUAACAGUAACUGGGAUGGAGCAAAGGCCAAACCCCAAAGCGGCUUACAUCACCGUCAUCAAGCCGAUCGAUCGAAACCAGCAGCCCAUAUGGCAGCUUGAUGGCGCCUACCCACCUAUGGUUUACACCGCCCAAGUAGUAGCUGCGCACUGAUGAAAAGGACUGCUGCUGGCAGCAGAUCACCUUAGCGCGUAUUGAUCAACGCCAUGUGUGUCGUACGUGUCUGGUGCCCCUAAUAAUAACCACCAGAACAUUUUCCUCACUACUUCAGAGAUACCAGCUGCUGGCUAACACAUACAGCUGCAAACACAAUUGGGAGAUAGACACAGGCACCUAUCGGCAAGGUACAUCACGAUGACCUAUGAUGUGUGGGACAGGGGGGGGCCAUACCUUCACCCGUUGCCGCGACCCGGCGAAACCCUGCCUUCCCCGGAAUUUCGGGGCAACCUCAUCCAGUCGCCCUAGCCGACUUCUCAGUGAAUCGCUCAGGUUCCGCACCCACCACCAGCAUCCAGGGGGCCUAUGUAUGUAUGUUGUUGUUGUUGUUACAUGGUCGUGGGUGCGUUCCCCGUACCUGCAAACCACCCUAGUACGAGCCGAGGGCUCAAGGGCUGCCAAAUCGCCUAUAAGCACCAUCCUACCUCGCACUUCCAACGAAACAAGUGAUGAAGGAUACUAACGACCAAAGGGAACGAUAGAGUUGCGGUGGGACCAUAUGCGUUCCAGCAUCCUUGCCAGGCGUUCAGGUUCCCACUUCAUAGCGUCCUUCAUAUGCUCGAAGCGUGGAAAGCCCAUAUCAGAUCUGAUUAUGUCGUACGCCGGACAGUCCAGCAAAAUGUGUUUCUCAUCCUCGAUAUGGCUAUCAGUGCCGCAGCAAGGGCAUACUCGCUCCUCCCUAGGUAAAUAACGCCGUCCCUUACGCGCUCUGUUAGCCGCCAGUGCCCAACAGCAAAGCCUAAACUGCAUAAGCUUGCGAUUCGCUGGACGCGGGAUAAACAUUGUGAUAUGCGGGAGCACCUCCUUCCUGCCCGCUUGCUCGGCCGCCAGACCCAUCCAAUGCUUAUACUUCGCCAUGUGGAUUCCUGGUUGCUUGCCGUCUGACGGAUACACGUCAGGCUGGACAUCUAAACGGGUAUGCUUCCAACCACUCACUAAUCGGUCCUUGAACUCCAAAAUCACACCUUCUGGCAUUGGCCUGUUCAUCAGCCACUCCACUCGUUCGUCUACCUCGUGUAGCCCUUGCGGGGCCUCUUUCCAUACGUCGUGCCCCCAAAAAAACAUAGAAAACGGAGUAGUGUCCCCCAUCCGGCCCCUUCGGGGUUGGAGAGGGACUCUGCGACCUCCUGUCGCAAAACUUGGUGUGCCACAGACCCACGCUGUAAACGGACAUGGUUCCAAAACCUCACAACCUGCUUGAGAACGUGGUAGUGUAGGGGUAGCUGCGAACAAACAGGAGGCGGUGUGUUGGUCUGGCAGCUCCUACCAUUUGCCGCAUGAAAGAUAUCUGAAGCUGCACUGCUCUGUCCUUUAGGCAUGCCUCGAAGGGCCCCUCUGCAAGGUUAUUCGCAUCACUCCGCUUCCUGAGCCUGUCCAAGACCUCAGCUAGCAUAAACGGCCCCCACGCUUGAAAACCAUACAACAGUAUUGCUCGUACCUGCGUAUCGAAACACCUCAUCCUCACAUCUGGGGCGAACAACUUUAGCUUAUCUAAUUUUGCAUUCAACGCGAACAUAGCUGCUUUAGCUGUGUCAUAGAACUGCUGACGGCAGGCCCAGAACUGCCGUUCUGGCCCAUACACUAACCCCAGAUAUCGUGCACUAUCCUUAGCCGGUAUGGCCUCUCCAGCCAGCCUGAGCUCAUCACACGAUGCUUGAACAGCACUUCUAGUAUCGCUGUCGCUUGCAAAAACGAGGCGUUCACAUUUCGACACAUUUGGGCGCAUCCCAAAAUCGUCACAGAACAUGUCCACAAUGUUGAGCAGCUCCCCCAUGCGUCCCGGUGUUGUUGCCAGAAGGCUAACGUCAUCGGCAUAGAGGAGGAUGGACACUCGCUCAUUUCCAACCUCCGGUGCAUCCUCUGGCCGUGCCCCGGUGUUAAUACCAUCGUGCAUAUCGAUGACGUCCGCGAGAGUUUCAUUGUAGAGCCCAAACAGCUCAGUUGAUAAUGGACAGCCUUGUUUCACACCCUGUUUUGACUCAAUUCACCUCCAGCCUUGCCAUUCGUCUUGAUGACCAUUGUAACCUUAUCAUACGCCCGCAUCAGCGACCGCAGCAUGGACCCUUCAAGCCCUCUCUCUUGCAAACGAAGCCACAUUAUCUCCCGCGGCACCUUGUCAAACGCCUUCUCAAAGUCAAUUUGCGCAAUGAUUAACGGCCGCUGUCCCGGUUGGCUGUGCCUAGCAGUAAGGUACUGUGUAGCAGCCGGUACACAGUACGGUGCUAUAAAUACGCGCAGAGCGCGACCGCCAGCAACUCGAGAGACCUUUUCAGCGGUCAGCUGCUACAUUUGGUAUCGAGACCUCGUGAAAAUUCACGAUCCUGAAGUCGUCGGUUCAACCCCCACCGAUCACGUUCGGGUGGUAUUCGGGUGUGGCGACUCAGUGAGCGAAUAUCGCACAAAGAUAUAAAAAAUAAGUAGCUGAACCGACUGGACUGUCUCUGUGCCUGAAAAACCUGAAGACGGCUAGGCGCAUGUGAGGGCGGCACAUGACGUGACGUGGGCUUGGACCACCCACUGCCCGAGGGUAGGCGACGGUAGGCACAGGCUGGCGGUAUACGAGGCUCUAAGGGCCCGGGACGGUUCCCUUCAAAGGGGGGGGAAUGUAGCAGCCGGUAUACAGUACGGUGCUAUAAAUACGCGCAGAGCGCGACCGCCAGCAACUCGAGAGACCUUUUCAGCGGUCAGCUGCUACAUACUGCUUGGCAAAGAGAUGAUGUGUAGUAUCGAAACCUCUUCUGAAACCCGCUUGGCCUCGGUGCCUAAGUGAGAGCGUCUCCCCUGUGCGAACGAGCCUAUCCAGGAGGACCAGCGCGUAACAUUUCGCCAAGGCGCCCCCUACUGCCAUGCCCCGGUAGUUACUCGGCAUGCUGGGGUCCCCCUUCUUGUAAAUAGGGGUGAGGACGGUACUUGUAAACUGCCGUGGGAAGUCCCCAGUCGCCCUGAUAUGUUCCAGAAGCACGUGUAGUACCGGAACAAGCUGAUUCACUUCCCCUCGUCGCCUGCCCCUACUAUUACCCGACGCGGAGCCUUCUUCCUCUCGGGGCAAACGCGCAUAGCGGUAACAUUCCGACGGCGCUACUUCCAAACCUGGUGCCUUACUGUUAGGCAGCCGGUCAACAGCACGUGCGACUUCCUCCAGCGUGAGGGGGGGUCUAGGAUUUCGCAGUCCUGCCCAAAACCGAGUGGGAUGAACGCCAUUCCUGCCCCUCUAGGAACUCCCCAAAGUUAAUGAAGUUCAAAAGCCGGUUCGCACCAUCAGGCCCUGUCUCCCCUACACCUGCGUUUAAGAGCCCAGCAAAGUGCUCCCUGAAGACCUCAAUAUCAUCUAUCGCACAUCGCUCCCUCAACUUCCCUCCUAAAAGCCCACCACAAAGCUCGUUGAUCAUGCCGACAUUUGGCCACAAAAUCUCUCAUCCUGUCCUCCCCAUAUGCCGCCUUUGUGUGUCUUUUUGCCCGGUUAUAAUCCGUCCGCGCAUGGCGGAAAGCCUCCCAUUCCGGACCCGAUUUAUUACUCACCCGGCCUGGACCCAGUUGGGCCCUACUCUCCAACAUGCGCUGCCGUGUUUGCUGACAUUCCCGGUUCCACCAAACCGUAUCCCCACCUGCCGUCAUGCCGGUAGGUCGGUGGGUAUCGAAGGCCCUCACCAGGACUUUGUACAGGGCACCUCCAAUGCGUUCGACAGCUUGUGUUGUGUAUGUAUGUAUUUAUGUAUGGAUGAUGUGUGAAACAGGGGGGUGUAUCUUCGCCCGUGGCAGCUACCCUGCGAAACAUUGCCUUCCCCGGUAUUUCGGAGCACCCUCAUCCAGUCACCCCAGUCAACUUCUCAGUGGAUCGCUCAGGUUCCGCACCCACCACCAGCAUCCAACGGAAUCUGCCGGGUCGACAGCGGCCCAACUCCGUAUGUAUGUAUUAAUAUAUGUAUGUAUUUAUGUAUGUAUGUAUGUAUGUAUCAUCGCAAGGAACGCACUGAACUAGCCAGCAAGGCGCACCCAAAGGAACGAAUAACACAUCGCUCUGGGGACUCGCCUCAUCAUCGGCUCCCUCAGCAGGUUCGCGCACGCAUACAUACAUACAUACAUACAUACAUACAUACAUACAUACAUACAUACAUACACCAAGUGAUGAACCCCGGUAUACACUGCAUGCGUGAGUGCCACUCUUGCGGGGAACCGGCCCGCCUCCGGCUUCCCGGGAAUCCCUUCGAAUUCAUUUGGCGUUCCUCAAUCAUUGGCUCCUCCGGGAUGAAGGGCCCUCCAGCUCACCACCGAAUGUGACAGUCGAGCUGCCGUACAUCACAAGUAUUGAUGUGAGCUGGUGGGUCAUAGCGUUGAGUCCUACGUAUACGCACAGGAAAGUGAUGUUUGUGGCCGUAGUCGUCAUCGUGGUGAGUGCGUGCGAGCACCCCACACGCCGAUGAAGAACUCCAGAGCAAAACGGCCGUCAUGAUUUCUAAUUAAGCUACCCUUACCUCGGAAUGAUGUUCAGCUUUAAACCCCAUCUUUAUUAAGAGCGCAUGCCGUACUGUACGACAGUCGUGACAUCGACAGCGGGAUCCGAGGGUUCCGCUGCUGCACUACUAGAAACAAAAGCUCCUACAUAAUAUGUACCGCCAUAAAUGCCGUACUAUACGUACACCUGGAGCAUUCAGUGUCUAAAAUCUUCUACUUCCCCCAGCACAUGCACGACGUAUGGAAAGAGGCCCGGCAAGGGCUACAUGAGGUAGACGAACGAGUGGAGUGGCUGAUGAACAGGCCAAUGCCAGAAGGUGUGAUUUUGGAGUUCAAGGACCGAUUAGUGAGUGGUUGGAAGCAUACGCGUUUAGAUGUCUAGCCUGACGUGUAUCCGUCAGACGGCAAGCAACCAGGAAUCCACAUGGCGAAGUAUAAGCAUUGGAUGGGUCUGGCGGCCGAGCAAGCGGGCAGGAAGGAGGUGCUCCCGCAUAUCACAAUGCUUAUCCCGCGUCCAGCGAAUCGCAAGUUUAUGCAGUUUAGGCUUUGCUGUUGGGCACUGGCGGCUAACAGAGCGCGUAAGGGACGGCGUUAUAUACCUAGGGAGGAGCGAGUAUGCCCUUGCUGCGGCCUAUGUGCCCCUUCGGCACUGAUAGCCAUAUCGAGGAUGAGAAACACAUUUUGCUGGACUGUCCGGCGUACGACAAAAUCAGAUCUGAUGUGGGCUUUCGACGCUUCGAGCAUAUGAAGGACGCUAUGAAGUGGGAACCUGAACGCCUGGCAAGGAUGCUGGAACGUAUAUGGUCCCACCGCAACUCUAUCGUUCCCUUUGGUCGUUAGUAUCCUUCAUCACUUGUUUCGUUGGAAGUGCGAGGUAGGAUGGUGCUUAUAGGCGAUUUGGCAGCCCUUGAGCCCUCGGCUCGUACUAGGGUGGUUUGCAGGUACGGGGAACGCACCCACGACCAUGUAACAACAACAACAACAACAACAACAACAACAACAACAACAACAACAACAACAACAACAACAACAUACACCGAUGCCCCCGGAGGGUCCGGGAUCGAGACCUGUCAGGGUCGAAAAUCCUUCCAAUGGUGGAAGGUAAGAGUGGCCCUAGUCGAUGGACGGUGGUGACCUGGGAUAAAGUUAACCUGCGAGCCGACCAGGAAUGGAGUUGGGCCGCUGUCGACCCGGCAGAUUCCAUUGGAUGCGGGUGGUGGGUGCGGAACCUGAGCGAUCCAAUGAGAAGUCGGCUAGGGUGACUGGAUGAGGGUGCCCCGAAGUACCGGGGAAGGCAGGGCUUCCCCGGGUAGCGGCCACGGGUGAAGAUAGGGGCCCCCUGUCCCACACAUCAUACACAUAUCUGCAUCACUCAUGCGCUGCCAGCCCUUCCUAUAGACAUGACGUGUGCCGUAUAAGUCUAUCCACAUUGCUUCAUCAAACCUAUGCAGGUGUCUGCCAAAAUGCGUCGGCUGGAAAUGAGUUGGUCGCCGCUCUGUCCGCGCUUGUGGGUGGCUGCAUGCGGCAGUAUUGCAUCAACAAAUACUAAAGGUCUCCCUGGACUGCUACACUAGGAGUAUAUACGAGCAGGCUAAUAAAACAUGUGCGUCUGUAUGUAAGAAAACACCUGGUGCGGCCAGAUAGAUGUUAUCAAAUAUGUAAGGCCUAAUUAAGGACAUCGCCGCUUGUGAAUAAUCUGCUGGGCACUCUCAAAUCAUCAUAUCCAGUACAGUUGCGCCGAUGCGUCAUCUUGGCUUUGCUAGCCAUGAAUUGGUACGACAUCGUAAUGCAUUCCCCCCACACCUACCCCACUGUUCGUUACGCGCCAUAGUGUCGGUUUCUGUUUAAUUGACGUUGCUUUCAACUUGGCUGCGCGCGCGAGCUCUGACUGCCACGUUGCAUGCCGGCAUUCCAAAACCCAAAUAAGCUCCCAGCCAUCCAGCAGUGCACCACGUGCUCAAUCUAUGGUUGAUGGCAAAGUGUAUACCUCUUCCUGCCGGUCCAAUAAUGUCGUUACAGGAGCUAUUAUAACCCUGGGAGCAUGGGUAUUAGGAAACCCUGUCAGUGGUCUUAUCUAUCCAGCAGAUAGGAAGCAACCUGGAAGCCAGCUGGAGUUGUGGAAGAGGCGAUAUGCCGGAAGCUGGAACGUGCGGAAGGCAUUAUUGGGCUGUCGCACGCUUACGCAUCCAUACCCAGGCCCUGCUGCCAGCUAGCGACAUAAAGUAGGGAGGCGGGGACUGUCCGUUGCUUCCAUGCAAUUGCAUGAGGGAGUGUUUGAUUCCAUUGUGCGAACCAUCCCACCCACAUUGCCACGCCUCUCAACUAAUCCGCACCCGAACCUCCCUAUUCGUUCCUGCUCUGGCAUAGGGCUGAGACGGGGCGGUCCCCAUCGUGCACGCCAGGCAUCGCCUGUCAAAGCGGGUAUGCCAUGCAGGAUUCAUGGUAUAAAGCCACCUUCCAAACUGUGUUAUUGGAAAGGUAUCAACUGACUAAUGAUACCAGCAGACAUGCCUUUUUUACUCCUGGACAAACUUUUGUGGAUCAUGCUUCCAAACGGACAGGUCAUAUCUACAUCAACUUGCUUGAGCUUUCCUGCCUUUAUAAAUACAGCGGCCACGCUUGGGAUAUGCUAAGCAUGGCAUACAUAUACACAUGACUUAUUCACUUGGUCCCUACAUUGCAUAAACGUGCGAGCUCGGGCUCCGACUGAUGGGGAGGACCAAGCUAGCCGUACUCGACGAAAAAUCAACUCCUUUGUCACAAGGCAACUUUCUGAGUCGUAGGAGGCAGUUAUCAUAAGCCAGAGUAUGUUAUGUUAGUCAGAAGCUGAAUUUAAUUUCGGCAACUUCAAAGUAAGCUCGCAAAUCGAGAACUAAUUGUAUGUUAAUCGAUUUUUCCUCGAUGCUUUUGGCAGCAAUAAUUAAAUAACACAGCGUCUCCAGUCUGACUGGGGUCUGGGGUGAUGGCGUUGCGGACUUACGGCACCGAUGGCAAGACGCCAGUGCAGCAGGUUGUCGCUCAAACAUGGCAUACCAAAAUCCCGGUGCAUCUGUCCCUGGCGCCGGACAAUAUAAGCAGCCCGGCAGGUGUCCGACCUAUUUAUGUAGGUCCGCGGUUCCUCGUGUCUCUAAAGAUUUCUUUACGGAUGCUCAUUCCUCGGGUAUCACGUGAACGGGUUUGCUGGUGCCGAUUGUCGGGCAUGUCACGGGUUGCCUGCUGGAAGGGUUUUCGGAGGGAGGACUCCUCCCCUACAGCAGCUUGCAUCUGCUGCUGCCUGUCAUCAUUUCCCAAUCAGAAUUGUCACCUUCCCCAAACCGUGUAAGCAUCAAGCAGACUUCGGCAGCUGAGGUUUUUCUUUUUCUUUAUUCAUUCACAAUUCAUUUUCAUUUGCAAGUAGUCCCCCACUUCCAUCCCCACCUACACAUCAAGGAAGAGGCAAUGGCCAGUUACGUAGUUGUUGCUGUUCAUUUCGGCAGUUGGUGCGCGGGACGACGGUGAAGUCCCCCCACCCAAGCAUCAAUACUUGGGGGUUUAGCGGUUUUAGAUGUUUCGAUUCCGGCAAACGAUUCCCCUCCGCCUCUCCCUCCCUCACCCCCCUUCCCCCCACCGUUCGUUCCCGCCAGCUGAUGGUUCCCCGCCAGGGCUACUUGCAUGUAGUGGCCUCACAAGCCUGGCCACAUCUGCAGGUAGGUAGGUAGGUAGGCAAGUAGGUAUGUGUGUGUAUGUAUGUAUGUGGGCCAAAUAAGGCGGUGUAGGGGUGGCCGCCUUUGCAGCGCACAUUUGUAAUACUCCAGUUGGAUGGCUGUUAUUGUAUGUCGUACAACUGACACCGCGUGCAAAUAAGCCCCCGUCCCACCUCACCAUGCUGCCCAAACCCCCCCCCGUGGGACCCCCUCCGCAUCGGCAGAGCUGAUUUUCAGGGUGGGGCUUGGAUGUGGGUGUAUGUAUGUAUGUAUGUAUGUAUGUAUGUAUGUAUGUAUGUAUGUAUGUAUGUAUGUAUGUAUGUAUGUAUGUAUGUAUGUAUGUAUGUAUGUAUGUAUGUAUGUAUGUAUGUGCAAUAAUUCAACCCCACCCCCGCCCACCCCACAUACACUUACGUCCCAUUCCCUCACCAUCAUUAUCCACUUUUACACUAACGCGCUAGGAGUUAAUGCGCAAAGCAGCACCUUAGCUUUCGGCCCAUACUUCGGACCUAAAGAUUUGUUAGGUAUCUUGUUUUUAGCGUUAGCGUUUAGCGUUCUAGUAUUUUUUUAUCCUGAUUGGUUAGGUCAUUCAGAUAAUUUAAUUAAACAUUUUAGCAUCUCUCACAGAACCAUCUCCACGUGACUGGGCGACUUAGAGUAACAACUUGCAGUAACUACGUAGGGUUCCGUACAGGUUCCGUACAACUGCGGGGCGGGGUGGGGUGGGGGGCUGUCCGUAAGAGCCCGAGGGGGACCGCCGGUGUCGCCUCCCUCGCCAUUGCCGUACGGUGGCUCCAGUACUUGAAAACCCCGCACGCGCUUGCACUCCGCCUCCCUUAUCUUUGCUUCGUCUGUGGCUCGUCGUACACCCCCUAUAACCCGNNNNNNNNNNNNNNNNNNNNNNNNNNNNNNNNNNNNNNNNNNNNNNNNNNNNNNNNNNNNNNNNNNNNNNNNNNNNNNNNNNNNNNNNNNNNNNNNNNNNNNNNNNNNNNNNNNNNNNNNNNNNNNNNNNNNNNNNNNNNNNNNNNNNNNNNNNNNNNNNNNNNNNNNNNNNNNNNNNNNNNNNNNNNNNNNNNNNNNNNNNNNNNNNNNNNNNNNNNNNNNNNNNNNNNNNNNNNNNNNNNNNNNNNNNNNNNNNNNNNNNNNNNNNNNNNNNNNNNNNNNNNNNNNNNNNUCGGUGCCCGGGAGGUGAGGGGAAGGGGGGGGGAGGGCCUCAGAGAUGACCAUGGGUGCUCGUCCACUAACUGAAUUGGUUGUUAUUAACGGUGGCUGCGGUAGCGGUGGCCUUGUUGACUGUUGUGCCUGUCGUACCAUGUCGUACCUCGGUAAUUGAUUUAUUGGUGUUUUAGGCAGGGGGCUGUCCGCCACCCCCCCCUGCCCGGCUGCCCGCGGCUUUGGGCGUCGGCAGUAGUGUGAGUCCUGGGAGUGUUUUGCGGUAUGUGAUUAUUUCCCCUGCGGAUUCAGGUACCUGCCGUGCGGAGUGCUGUACGACUUGUUGAGUACGGAUAUGGGACAGCUGCCGUGGAGGUUGACGGUGAGGCGGCUUUGUUGAAGAGGAGGGAGGGGAAAGCUGUGUUUUAAUGGAGGAGGGGAGGGGGGAAGGCAAGAUGAGGGGGCGACCCCCCAGGAGUGGGGAGGAGGGGGGAAAGGAGGAACCACUUGAGCGAGAGUGAAGCUGCUGCCAAGUGGGGAAAGAGUGCUGGGCGGCAGAUGUACAGGACGGUAGCAGAACUGACCAGUCGGCGGUUUUGAAGAAGCAGUCCUCGGGAUGAUGUAGUGAUGGCGACAGCGGAAAACUACCUACCUAGCCGCCAAGGCUAAAAUAAGAGCGGGAAAGGAGCAGUAGAGCCAAACCGUAAAAUAGUAAAGGUAGCUGUAGCGGCAGCGAAACAGUAAUAAAAACGGACGUGAUGGGGAAGGGGGAGGAGCGCGUCCGAUUCGGCCCAACCCGCGACUUACAGACAAAGACAGACAGACAGACAGACAGACAGACGGAUAGAUGGACAGACAGGUAAACGGGAUCUGGGCGGCUGUAAGCGCCGCAGCACCGGAGCUUUACUAAGUGCGGGAGUAGACCCGGAGAGUUGAUUCCCCGGUGUGUUUGCUGUGUACGUGUGUGUACAGACGCACAUUCAGCAUACUUACAGACACACAGACACACAUACGACUAGAUGCACGUCCGCCAGUUCUUACUCGUGGCUCAGUUCCUUCUGAAGACACACGUACACGUACAUGCAAAAGCGCACCGAAUCUCUCUCCCACACACCUUCCCCCCCCCUCAUACAUUUCCCCUCGCACACACACACACAGACACACACACAGACACACACACAGACACACAUUCUCCCCCCCUCCCCCUCAGAUUCACUACACUCACCCCCCAGAUACGCUGAUUGGCUCUUGGGACACGGGGACUUCAACCCUGGCCCAGUACAUGAACUCCAUAAAGGUGUGUGUAUGUAUGUAUGUAUGUAUGUAUGUAUGUAUGUAUGUGCGCUGGGUUGGAAGGCGGGGGAGGCGGGUGAUCACCUCCCCUCCUCCCAACUUUGUACUCCAGCAGCUAGCGCUCUUUUGACUGUACGGCAGUUCAUACACCCGUUGCUCGUUGCACGUGACUCACACCGAGCUAGGGCCUCUACCCCCCAACCCUUCUCUCCCCCCCCCAGCUUCACAUUAUUCCCACUAACUCAUGCGGCAUAACCCCCCACCCAAUCGACUGUUGACUGGCUUUGGGGAGCAUAAUUCCAACCCCCCCCUAAUUCACUCCCUCGUGGUUCGCUCGCUCUCCUCUCCCCCCCCCCCCCAAUCCGCGAUCCCAGGAGGCUGCGUACAUUUGUCGGGGAGCUGAGGGCAGUGGGGCGGUGAUGAGGAUGGGCAGUGCCGCGCAGGAGGAGUUGUGGAGUGCCGUACAGGCGGGUGACGUGGCGUCGUACAGGUCAACUCUGGAGGGCCUCAAGAUGGCGCCUACAUCGGUGAGCGUGUCUGUCUGUGUUGUGUGUAUGUAUGUAAUGUUUUUGUGUAAUGUUUUUAUGUAACGUAUGUAUGUUUGUAUGUAUGUAUGUGCCCCCACUGUCCUCCUUUGGCGCCCACCCCCGCUGAAAGCCCCCACUCACCCCCUCUUGCAUCAUGUGUUUCCCCCUCCUUUCCUCCCACCCCUCGCCCCCCCGCAGCGCCAAGGCCAGCCCCCCAACAUCCCCGUACGACUAUUGCUACGGCGGAGAGCUCCCACACCCGCUCCCAUACCUACACCCACUUCGGGCACCACCACCAUCACCACCAUCCCUGCCGCCGGCCCCUCCGCCCCCGCCCGCAAUCACAGCGGCGGCGGCGCUGGCCCCGCCCCGAGCCACAACUCCGCCCCAGGGGGAACACCUGCCCCAACUGCUACAACCACCACAACCACCUCCGAUACGGGCCCCAUAUCGGGGACAGUCACAUCGAGCUCCAUACCCGGGCCCGGGUCCGGGUCGGGCUCGAGGCAGCAAACCCCAACCUCAGCAGCCUCUUCCGCACUGCCGUACACACCAGUCGUACAUUCAUCCGGGGCCGCCACCGGACUUCCUUCUGCUCCUGGCAGCUCUGUUCAGACCCAGGGUUCUGGGUCGGGGGGGGGAGGGGGAGGGGGAGGGGGGUUAGGUCCAGGGUUAUGGGAGUCCUGUAUCCUGGCCACCAGCCGACCCAUACCCGCACAGACGGGUUCUGGAGGCGGGCUCACCACGCUGGGGCACAUGCUGCAUAUGGUCUUGCCACACAUCUUCCCACCUCCUCCACCUCCUCCACCUCAGCAGCAGCAGCAGCAGCAGCAGCAGCAGCAGCCGGUAUCGCAGCAAAUACCUCAGCCAUCUUCCUCUUCAUCUCCGUCACCGUCUCGAGGAAGAGCUGCGACGGCGGCGGCGGCGGCGGCGGCAGAGGACGAGCCGGUCGGAAGCUGCGGCGAUGCCAGUGGUGCAGCAGCAGUAGCAGUAGCAGUGGCAGUAGCAGUAGCCGGUACAACGGGGGCAUCAGGAGGAGGAGGAGGAGAGGGGGGGACAGUUGAAGGGCCGGCUACGGUGGAGUCUGGGGGCGUGGGGGCGGUCCCUCAGGCCGCUGUGGGGGAUGGGGAACAGCCAGAGGGGGGUUGUACGGCGGUGGCGGACGGUGGCGGCGGCAGCGGCGGCAGGGCCGGCUCGCCCUGGCGGCACGUGGCGGCGCCGGGCCGUACAGAGCCGGCGGAGGCGGACAUCAGGGGGGGAGGGAAUGGUACAGUUGGAGCUGUGGGUGAUGAGGAUGAGGCAAGGCGGAUGAAGGCCACUGCGACAGGGCGGUUGGAGGGCGCAGAUGCCACGGCUGUGGCUGCGGCUGCCGGGCCGUUGGGGGUUGGUACGGCUGCGGCGCCGGGUGGGGGUACGGCAAGUCGUGAGGAUGCGGGAGGAGGAGGGGUUCAGGACUGUGGAGGUACGGCAGAAAGGGCCGGCGUGACGGCGGGGAACGCGGGGACGGUACCGUGGCCUUCGUGUCGAGUGCUGGUAGGCGGGAUAACGCCACCGCUAGCGGCGCCGAUUGCCUGGCUGCAUGCUGCGAUGCACUCGCCCGAUCUGUUUUUGUACGUGGUUGUACGGCUGGAUUUGGAAGGUAGCGGUUGGGAGGGCGGGUCGCUUGCCACCGCAGUGAAGGUGUAACUUCAGGUUGGAAAGGGAUCAAUGAAAGGAGUCUCCUUUUUAAGUGCUGGAGAAGGGUUACCGGGUUUUUGGCGGAAGGCGAGCAAAGCGAGCAAGUGCAGGAGCGGUCAUCUUGUUACAGAAAACAGGAGGAGAAAUUGAUGGAAUGAAGGCGGGGGGAGAAUUACAACUGCGCGGCGCUGCAGAAUGCGGCUAUCGUCAGGAAAAGUCAGGGAAACAGUUGGGUUUCCCUCCGAAACCUCUAGAUUGACGAAAGGUAAUGAUGAGGACUUUCAGCAAUACAAUUUUCCUGUUAUCUAAACAUCAACGCCAGCUCAAGUUUGGCGUAUAGCAGUUCUCGUUGUACGGCGGCAGCAUAUGCUCGCGCAUUUGUGGGUUAUGGGAGCAUAUGUCCAGUUAGGUGGCAAGUUCAUAACUCGUUGGCAGCUUGUGACGUGGACGAAGGCGCUGCCACUUAGAGCAGCCCGUUAACGUGGAUUCUGCGAUCCCUGCUAUUUAGGAAACGAGUGAGCUAUUACCCGCCAGUAGCCAUGACAGACUCCGCAAAUAAAAGAACAUAUUACAAGCGGGUCCUCCCAUCCCCACCAGCGAUAUCGUUUUCUUCUGCCGAAGGUAUAGUUUCUCUGGUUGUUACCGUUUCUCCUGGAUGCCGCUCAUAUAGGCUCCAGUUAGUAGCUUUGAACUAUUAUAUAUCAUGGGUGUGGAAUUGCUUUAACCGGGUGUUACAGUGGUUGGUCUAAUCCCAAACCGUUCUUGGUUAUUUUGACGCAGGGCGCCAGAUAUUUUCCGAAGCCCUGCCGCAUGGCACCAUGGUUGGCUUCUUCAAGCUCAUCGAGCAAUUCACGUGCGUGCUGUUCAUCUAAGGAUUUAGUAGGGCUUUGCGCCUACAUCAUGGCACAUCAUCGCACACGUAGCUGAAUCGUAUUCAAUUUCUCUUCCAGACAUAGUCACGUAUGAAAACUCGAAAUGGUUCCCACUAUUCUUGCCGGCAAGCAAUUGGCCAAUUUGCAUACGGCAUGCCCAAACUCGCUGCCAUCGCAGCCAAAUUCCCACGCCUUACGCUUCCAACGCCCAAUCCCAUCCCCAAUUCCCCAAUUCCCCAAUCCCAUCCCCAAUUCCAACGCCCAAUCCCAUCUCUCCCCGUCUCUACCUCCUCUUUCCCUCCAGCACCCAGGAGGAGCCGCAAUACUGCGGUCUCGCGGCGCUGUCCAUGACGCUCAACGCCUUGGGGAUUGACCCUCGCCGCACAUGGAAGGGCGCCUGGCGCUGGUUCUCCGAAACCAUGUUGGACUGCUGCAAGUCCAUGGAGGAGGUCAAGAAGGAAGGAAUUACCCUCAGCCAGGUGAGCCUGGCAGCUGCAGGUUCGGGGAUCAAUUACAUCAACGCGAAUUUAGUACUUACCUGACACCCAUUACACCUUUGGAAGGUAUCGCAACGCAAGGCGUAACAUACACGUACACACGGACAUACAUAAUUACUUACUUACAUAUAUACAUAUAUGCAUACAUGCAUGCAUACACACAUCUCUGGCCCCGGACUUGUCUGGCCGAUCGUAGUGCAACUUGCAUACAGGGUCAGUACAGGGGGUUACUGCUCGGGCCCACAUCGGCCUCUAAACAACACCCCCUCUUCCAACUAGUACUUGUCGCGGUCUCUGUUCCCUCUACACACGCAGCCAUCUCCUCCACCAUCCUCCCCGAUUCGGGCGGCAGUUGACAGUUGGCAGUUGAUUGAUUUGCUUCCUGCGUCGUUAUAUCAUUAUUAUCUUAUGAUUUCCCUGAUCGUUGUACUCCCUUAUCCCCCCUCUUAACCCCCCCUUCCUAACCCCCCCUCUAGGCUGCCUGUUUGGCCCGCUGCAACGGUGCUGACGUGUCCCUUCACCGACAUGGCAGCUUUGACGGGGCCACCUUCAGGCGGCUGCUGAGGGAGGCGUGUGCCAGCGAGGUAGGGGGGAGGGGGGGAUACGGGAAGAGGUUUUUUUUUGGGGGGGAGGCAGAGUUUGAGCGUGAGUGUGUGGCACUGUGAAUGUGAGAUUGCGACCGAGUACGGCAGUUGCUGAUCGCUGCUCGGUGCCGCGGCUCCGUGCCGUGCCGCCAUUGUGCUUCACCCAAGCUGCGCCAAAGUAUACACAUGCACAUACAUACGCGCAUACACACGCGCGCAAACGCACAAACGGACAUGCAUACAGACCGCCGGGGGCGACGGAACAGACAUCGGGAUUCAUGACCCGGUACCGUUUUGAUGUCCAUGACGUGCUGCUGGGAAUGUUCGGGUUUUUGCUCCCCCCACACUAACCCCUUCGCCACUUCUCCCGCCUCCUCCUGAUCCCCCCUCGGCACUUAGUACGCCCUCCCGCUGUCCCCCUCCUCCUCCUCCUCCUCCUACCCCGGACCCCAGGACCGCCACAUGGUGGUGUCGUACAGCCGUAAGGCCUUCAAGCAGAGCGGUGACGGGCACUUCAGCCCUAUCGGCGGUUAUCAUCCUGACCGGGACGUGGUGCUGUUGUUGGACGUGGUGAGAGCACGAGGGGGAUUUGGGGGGGGAGGAAAGGGCCGGGGGGAGGAAAAGGGGAGGGAAGGGAGGAGGGAAGAAGGGGGGGAUUUCUUUGCAUUCCGCACCCUCACCCGUACAUACAUACGCGCAGACAUACACGCACAGGGGGUGAUAAUGUCGCCCCUGUCCCCUUCGACCUCCCCCGUGGCUAGCAUCAUCUUUAGGGUUGAGCCGUCUGCGCGGCUUAGGACACGUUGAACGAUUUCCCAACCCCACCUCACCUCCCACCCCUUCUCUCUCAAGUCUCUCUCCCCCUCUCCCCCUCCCUCUCUGGGGGUUUGGGAGGAGCACUUGCAUACCGACAGCUUAUCAUUAGCAGCUAAUCAGCUAGUUCUCCAGGCCAGCAGCAAACUUUAUUCCAGCUUUACGACAGCAGUGCUUUACUACUUCUCCGCCGCCUCUACACCUACUUUUCUACCCUACUUCUUUACGGCUUGGCAUUACUGCUUUUCCUGCUUUUUUAGUCCUGGCGGCUUAGGUAGGUAGUUUUUCCGACAUCAUCUUCACUUCGUCAUCCCGAGGUCGCGGUCUUCACGGACGCCAUUCGGUCAGUUCUACGUCUGGUACACUCUUGCCCUGGCAGCAGCUUCACUCGUUUGUGGUUCGUCUUUGCUCCCUCUCCCCCUCCCUCUUUCAACCCCUUCAGGCCCGGUUCAAGUACUGCCCGCACUGGGUGGCGGUGGAUGAGCUGCUGGGGGCCAUGGGACUGCUCGACCCGGUUACCGGUAUGUGGGGGGAUGGGGACGGGUGGGGGAAGGGGGAAGGGGCGGCUACGUACUGGUUCCGGCGCCGGUUGUGCAGCUAAGGUUUCCCUGCAGCUGGUUUCAUGUGUCUGGGUUGCCGGUGGUCGGGAGAGGGAGGAGGGAUGGGGGGAGGGAUGGGGGGAGGGACGGGGGGAGGGACGGGGGGAGGGAUGGGGGGAGGGAUGGGGGGAGGGAUGGGGGGAGGGAUGGGGGGAGGGAUGGGGGGAGGGAUGGGGGGAGGGACGGGGGGAGGGAUGGGGGGAGGGACGGGGGGAAGGACGGGGGGAGGAACGGGGGGAGGGACGGGGGGAGGGAUGGGGGGAGGGAUGGGGGGAGGGAUGUUGCUCUGUCUGUUAGCACACCCUAUGAUAACGCCCUCGUGGACUUUAGAAACCAGGCUGUACAGCGUAGGACGGGGAGCGGGGGAUUGGUGUGCCAUAGAAAGGAGGGCGCUGUGUGUGUGUGUAUGAGAAGCGGGGAACAGAGGCUGUGCUGGUGAGAGUAGACACCCCCAUCAGGUCGACUUGGUUCACCACCAGUUGGCAUUUUCCGUCACAACCCGAAAUGAUCCUCCCUUAAUCCCCUCCCUCUCCCCCCUCCCCCUCACCCCCGUCUGGUACACUCUUGCCCUGGCAGCAGCUUCACUCGUUUGUGGUUCGUCUUUCCCCCCGCCCCCUUCCCGCUCCCCCCCGCUCCCCCUCCCACUGUCAACAGGUCGCCCGAGGGGCUUCCUCCUCCUCAGCAGUCGGCAACCCAGGGAAUCCGCACUGCUUGAGAUAAAUCCGGAUCUGGAUAUCAUGAACGAGCCCGCAGUGGAUCCGGGUCCAAAGCCGCCCUUCCCGGUCGUGGCGGCGGCGGCGGAGGAGGGGGCGGUACGGCUGUACGAUACGGGGCGCCGGCUGGAACCUGCCCUAACGCUACAGCGACCAGACGGCACCAUCCUCGCAAGCCCCUUAGCCCCCGCACCCGCACCCACAGCAGCAGCUGAGGUGGAGCCCGUGUGGGCCCCGGCUUACCGCUUCAUAAUGGUGGAGGGACCUGCGUUGCUGAGGCGGCAGCUGAGCAGCAGGACGGGGGGAGGGCGGGGGAGGGCGGAGGGCGGUGCGGAGGGGGGCCGGGGCAGUAGUGGUGCAAUGGACCAAGGGGGCGGCAAGGAUGGCAAGGAUGGCGAGGAGGAGGAGGAGGAGGAAGAGGGAGAGGGAGAGGGAGAGCAGCACGAAGAAGGGAAGGUGGCAGCCGGAGGCGACGGCUGUACGGCAGAUAUUCCUACCCUUGAGUCUCUUGUUGGGAUGUUGGUGGAUGCGGCCCCAAUGGAGAGUGUGUGUGCGCUGCUGAGCAGGAAACCGACCCGUGGGUCAUUUGGAGAAGCGGGAAGGCUGGGGGAGGCACCUUGUUGUGGCUGCUGCCUCGGAGGGGGAAGUGGCCCUGGGUCCGGGGGCGGGGGCGGGGGCGGGGAUGUGACGACGGCGACGACGACGACAAGGACAGGGGGGACAGCGGCAGUAGUGGCAUCAUCGGGGGUGACGGAGUGGGGGCCGGCUACGGAGGGAAAGGAGCUGUUUGCGGACAGAGUCGCUGCUCCGGGUGCUGGAGGUGCUGGAGGUGCUCCUGGUGCGGCGGCGAUGAUGUCAUCGUCCUCGACUCUUCCCCCCCCCGGUGGCCCCCGGCCGCCCGUGCCUUGUGUGUCCCCCCCCCUCUCCUCCCUCUCCUCCCCCUCGCCCUUCAUAAGGCCCCUGGCGCCCUGCAACAGCUCCCAGCNNNNNNNNNNNNNNNNNNNNNNNNNNNNNNNNNNNNNNNNNNNNNNNNNNNNNNNNNNNNNNNNNNNNNNNNNNNNNNNNNNNNNNNNNNNNNNNNNNNNNNNNNNNNNNNGGGGGGGGCAUCAAGGGGCCCGGCUUACGGUGGAGGCGGUUGCAGCCGUUGAGGCGGCAACCACCACAACCGCCACUUCCACGACCACCACCUGCUGCAACCGUCACAACAGCCAUACACAUAACCACAUCCAGGAUUCAUCAGCAGUAGCAGCGGCUGUAGCAGAAGGUGUUGUUGCUGCAGCGGCAACGGUUGGGGACUCCGAGGGGCCGUACGGAACGGCGAGGUCGUCCAACCCCACCAGUACAGCCAUUGCCAGCAGUGGUGCCGGCAGUAGCGAUAACAUAGGCGGCAGCAGCACUACGAGCAGCGCCAUUGCCGUUACCUGGAGCACGACUACCACUGCUGUUGCUGCUGUUGCUGCUGCUACUGCCCCUCUCAGCAGUGCGAGUAUCAGCAGUACUAGCGAUGUGGGUUCACUGGAGUCAGGGGGGUGGUCGACCGGCAGUAGCACCACCACCAACAACAACAACAACGGCAGUAGCAGCAGCAGGAGCAGCCACAACAGCAGUCGCUUGGGGUAAGUCAGUGAGAAGUGGGCGAUGAGGGGGCGGGAGAGAGUUAAUGCCGGCGUCCGGGGGAUUGGGGACCCGGGAAAGGAAGUGGUAUGAAUAUGUUAUAUAUGUAUGUAUGCAUGUAUGUAUGUAUCUAUGCUGGCAUCCAAAGACACAAACAUCUGCCGUACGAAAUUUAAAAGGGUGACGGAGAGUACGGCACUCCAGGCAACCGGAAAGGGCGCGCAGGCCGCCACUGCCACUGCUACUGCCACCACCUCCUCAGUCUGGCCGCCCGGAAUAACGGUGUGACGUUGGAAGUUCUCCCGGCCCCGCACAUAUAUACAUACACACGCAACCUCCCAAUUGUAAUAACUGUAUGCAGGUCGUUGGGCGGUAUUGGCACCAGCAACAAUAACAGCGUCAGCACCGCCACCGGCGCCACCUCGGCGUCUGACAGCUUCAACAGCAGUUGCGGUGGGGCCAGUAGCAGAAUGAGUGCCCCCCCCUUGGGCCCCCCCGCCACGAUGACGGGGGCCGCCCCGGGUUGCUGCCACGGGGAGCCCCUGGACCACCAUUGCGUGCCGACACAGGUGUGUAUGUGUGUGUGUGUGUGUGUGUGUGUUUGGGCGCAUGGGUGUGUUCGGGCGGCUUUUUGGGUGGGGAGUACUUACGUGUAUGACGUGUACGGCUGUGCGUGUAUGGGUAUCGGGGGGAAGAGACUGGGAAAGGGGUGGUGGGGCACGACACAACGACACGACACGUCGCUCUCGAGGCUAUCCCGGAGGCGCAGAGGUGGGGGGAAAGGGGGAGAUACAACCCAUCUGCCGGGAACCUGUGUACAGUCCCCCUCACCUCCCCCCGCUGCCUCUCCCCCCUCGCCCCUCGCCCCUCCCCCCUCCCUCCUCGCCCCUCGCCCCUCCCCCCUCCCAUUCAGGUCCAGGCCCUGGUGUUUGACGAACUCCGCUUCACGCACAUGUUCCGUCUGGUGCGCUACAGCCUCGACAAGAGGGUUCACAGACCCGGGUGUGUGCGGGUGACCCCGCCCGACCUCACUGCCUUCAUGAAGCCGGCGUAUGCUACAGCUACUGCGGGGGGCGGAGGGGGAGGGGGAGGGGAAGGGGGGACAUGUGGCGGUUCGGGGAGGGGAGGUACGGAAACAGCCGUAGCUCAGACCAGGCCCAGCGACGAUUCUACCAUUGCGCCGUCGGGCACCGACGCUGCGGCAGUAGCAGUACCAGCAGCAGUAGCAGUAGAUGGUGCAGUACCAGCAGUAGCGCUGGCAGCUGUAACCACUAACCCCCCCACUGCCCCAACCUGCGACACCUCCUCCAGCGGUGACGGGGCCCCGGCCGCCGCUAGCAGCAACCCUCGUCCCACAACUCUGGGGAAUGACGGCAGUAGCAGUGGCAGCGGCAGCAGCUGCGACUAUUGUCAUGCCGACCUGACUGGUAGCGGUGGUGGUGGUGCUGCCGGUGGUGGUGAUGUGGGCCGUACUGAUGAGAUGGCGGCGGAGAAACUGACCAUGGCUCUGCUGCUCAUGAUGACGGGGGGGCAGGAGGGGGCCCAGGAGGAGGAGGGGGGGGAGGGGAGGGGAAAAGGCGAUACCCCAACCUCCAUUACCACCAACGCUGCAGUAACAGUAACAGCACCGGCUGUGCGGGUGUGCGGUCGCCCCCAAUGCCUCAAGUGCCGACGGAAGCGACGGACCGCUAUAGCUGCUGCUGCUGGUGCUGCUGCUGGUGCUGCUGGUGGUGCGGUGGAUGAGUUGGUGUUUCUUCGUGAGCGAUGGCAGCAGCUGAUGCGGAUGGUGCCGCUGGGGCUGUUUUCCUCGGCACCUGUACUGCAGGAUGAGGUGUCGUAUUUGAGGCUGCAGCUGUCGAAAAUCCGUUUGGGUGACGGCGGUGCUAGGUAGGUAUGGUGAUGGUGAGGUGUGGGGCUGUAGCGCAGUAGCCGCUCCUCGGUGGGGCAGUAGCAGUGUGCCGUACUCAAUGUGAGUCCACGUAUACUGCUAGCAGUACAAACAAACAAAUUUACUGCAUGUCGUACGUGAUUAGCCGGUGUGUCAAGCAGACGGACAGGCAGACAGGCAGGUAGGCAGACGGAGAGACAUACAUACAUACACGUAUGUGUAUGUAUGCAAUCAGGAGCUCCUGAUGAUGAGAGGGAUGUGAUGCUGAAAACCGGCGAUGAUGGGGUGGGAUGAUUCAGCCAGGAGUUGAGGUAUUGCUGCCUUUUUUAUUCCGUUAUCGACUGCCCUGACGAACUAGCCGUAAUUGGCCCUCAUUGACGGCGGUGGUUUCGCAGAAUAUUUAUUGUUCUAUAUGUCCGUUGUUAACUUGUGAGUGGCUGGGGGAUGUGUGUACGGCGCGUGUGUAUUGGGGGGCCCGGUAUGGGCGGGAAGGUUGGGUCGCCUCUGCAUUAGGUCGCCUCUGCAAACGGCGCCAAGUGCAUGUAUGUAUGUAUGUAUGUAUGUUUGUAUGUAUGUAUGUAUGUAUGCAUGUAUGUAUGUAUGCAUGUAUUCCAUUCGCCCACGUACCGCCUCCUUUCCCGCGUGUGCGUGGUCUUAUCGCAAGCGUAUCGGUGGGUACGGCACUGAACAUUUCCGAAGUGCCAGGUUCUGUGAUAUGUGCAGGUAUGUAUGCAUGUGCUCGUGCGCCCUGUAAUGUAUUUAUAAACGGCUUGCCCGCAGUUGGGACGUUGAGUAAUGAAUGAAUAUGGUGGUCAAGUAGAGCUAAAAUGCCUGUUUUAAAAUUUUGGUCGCUGUGGCUGAGGACGCUGGUGAGGAUGGUGGCGAUGGUGAUGAUGGUGAUGACCUGAGGUAGGAGGGAGAGGGGCAUGUAGCGCCGUCAUCAGGCCCAGCUGUGCGUGACGAGCUGAAGGAUAAAUGCGGGUAGCGAUAGCGGUGCGGUGCUAGAUAAAGGGUGAUUAUGAUGACGAUGUCGUACGAUUGUACGACUACAUCCGACGCGUCUUCGGAAGAUGUUUUGUAUUAUGAGCGGCGGGGUCCUAAAUAGUGUUUUUUUUGCCGUGAUCUCUGUCCCAUGCGAGCGGUGGGUCAGGUGCGACCCGGGGGUCGGUCGGUGAUGCAAUACGUUCCACCUGUGUCGUACCAGUUGGUGAACUUUACGUUGCAAGUCGGUGGGGCCGUUAUGUAUAUGGCCACUUGAGAGUCGGAGUGGGUAGUGCUUUGUGGAAGGCGUAGCAACUAGCAGAUGUACAUAUGAAAUAGAGAGAAGUGCACACCGAGAUGUGGGCGGGUAGGUUCACUUUGUGUAUACGCACAUACGUUGUAAUUGCUGGAUCCGAACGAUCGUCAAUUACUGGUUGGUUGACGGGACGUCAACAGUAGUCAAUCCGCAAGAAGCCUGCAAAAGUUCUCAACGAGAGAGGUGUGCUUGCGGGAGGAAGAAGGAUGCCAGCUUGUCCACAAGGAAGGGGUUUGAGCAGCGCUGGAAACGUCGCUGUGAGGCGGCUGGAACGAUGUGGUUUGCUAUGGGAAGGGCUGCCGGUCCUGUCCUAAGUAUGCGGGUACUGUCGACGCGCAAAAACGUCAUGAUAAAGAGAAACAGUUAAAUAUCGCCAGCCUGGCUGAGUGAAGGAUUGGAAGGGAUUGGUGGAGCCAUGGACCACACCCUUUUGGAUUGAUUGUAACAUGCUUAGCACAAUACUGCAUUUGAGCGGACAAAUUGUAGGUUUAUGAUCUAGCUGAUGGUACCUUUCCGCAGCAGCAUACUGGUAGUUCGUACGAGUGGUAACCACCAAAUUAAGCUUGCGCCGGCAGAAUGAGCCGACUACCGACUGGAAAAUCGGUAUGAUGUCGUUACUCUUACUGUAUGUGCAAUAAUGGCAUCUAUGUAUAAAUCAUUAGCUGCAUAGCUCUUUCAAGUUACUCUUGGCAUGGUCUUUAUGGUGGUUGGUUCCUCUUCCUCAAACGUCCUUGGCAACGCAAGCUCUGCUAAGUUAAUAUCAGCACAAAGGAGACGCGGACCUUUGUCACUGCGUACUCGAUCUCUCCUAACGCACCAGCACGCGAUAAGGUCUACUGCCUCGCCUGGGAACUCACACUGCCCAAGUUACGCGAUUGCCUCACUCUUCCAGCGAUUACCUCAUCAUCGUCAAAAUCAACACCAUCGGCAUCCUCAUCACGGCAAAUACAGGCCCGCCCUCGCAGCAGCCAGCACCAUGACCAGCAGCGGCCCCGCUCCCCUCCUCCUUCCACGGCGGCCCCUUGGCUCUACAGGCCUGGAAAUUUCCGUACUUGGUUUUGGAGCUUCCCCUUUGGGUGGCGUGUUCGGGGUAAGGCACCCGCUUGGACUAAUUGUCGUAAUUGGUUGGUUAGAUGGUUGUUCCAUAGCGGCCUUAUAGUAUCAUUAGUCCGCAGCACAUCCACAUUAAAAAACCGCCAACUGUGGAUAGCUAAUCAUGGGCACAGCUGCGAGCUUUAGGGUGGAGCCUUUCGGUGUGAGGCCGUUUGAGCGGUUCGAGGUUGGGGGUCGCGGCCGCACCGCACCCAUAAAGCCCACGCUCAGUGCCUCUGUGUGUACGGCAAUCUUGCCUUCCUUCUUCCCCCUCCCUCCCCUUAGGGCCCCCCGGGGGGAAAUCCGCGCUUGGGUCCUCCCUCUUCGUCCCCUCCUCCCUACAUCCCCUUAACCCCGCACAACCAUACACAUACACACACACACCCUUCCACACCCUCCCACGUCCUUCAGGAUAUCGACGAAUCCGCUGCGAUCGAUACCGUACACCACGCCGUCCGACGCGGGAUUAACUUCUUCGACACCUCGCCGUACUACGGACUGACCAAGUCUGAGACGGUGAGGAUGGGGCUGCUCUGAAGGGGGUGUCGUACGCAGGGGUGUCGUACAUAGGAAACACCGAGUAGUUGGGUGUCUACCUGCGCUGUAGGGGGAGCUGGGGGCCCAUGUGCUGGCGUUAGGCGGACCCGCGCUGGUUGCGUAUGUAUGUCCAAAUGGGUCGGAGGGACGCGAGGUGAAGUUCUCGGGUUAUGAGGGACCGCAACAUGGGGUGGGACGGAACAUGGGGUGGGACGGAACAUGGGGUGGGACGGAACAUGGGGUGGGACGGAACAUGCAGCUCCUUCGCCUUCCUGACCGUCCUCAGGGCAUAGCAGCGCCCUGCGACUGCUACUGCUACUAUUGCCACUGCUACUGCUCACCCCAGGGGUAGGCAAGGGCUGCGUCAUCGGGCCCGCACUCGGGCACUCUCCUCACUUUACACACCGCACUCUGGCUCCCUGUACAGUUGCCCGCCGCACAGGCCGGGCCGGGUGGGGCCCGGUGGGGCCAGCUCUUGAGCGCUUCCCGUAGGAGCCCCGAACCGCACCCAUCCCACAUUCCGGAGGGGGAGAAGCGCUACCCGCCGUUAUUAAGCACUAGCACCAUCAUGACCCUCACCACCCUCAUCACCACCCUCACCCUCACCAUGUCGCUAGUUGAUAUUAUCACGUCCUACACCGUCCAUAUGAUGGGGGACCACCUCCCAUUUCAACGCCCCUCACACACCCGAGGGGUCGGCAGGCGGAUUUGAACCCGGACACUCCGGGAGCAGAAGUUAGCUCUUAUGUUGUUACAGGGUGGUUAACUUCGCCAGCGGCCCCCUUUCCCGGGGCAGUCCCUGCUCUCCCCUGCUAGAGGGGCACCCUAAUCCGUCACCCCAUCCGACUUCAGAAUGUAUUCGUUGGGUUCGGCAACUCACCACCAGCAUCAAACCAAAUCUAGCGGAUCAACGGCGCAUCAACUUAGUUCCUGGUCAGCUCGCAAGUUGAUUUUAUCACGUCCUACAUCGUCCAUAUAAUGGGGGGCCACCUCCCAUUUCAACACUCCUGAAACACCCGAGGAGCCGGCAAGCGGAUUUGAACCCGGGUCGGCCGGGAGCAGAAGUCAGGCCUUAACCUCUGCCAGAUGCCUGCCUGUAUGUAUGUGUGUGUGGUGUGGUGAUGGGGGAGGUGAAGGUGUACUGAGCGGGGAGCAGAAGUUAGCUCUUAACUUCUGCCAGCCACCUGCCUGUAUGUAUGUAUGUGUGAAACAGGGGGGUGUAUCUUCGCCCGUGGCAGCUACCCUGCGAAACCCUGCCUUCCCCGGUAUUUCGGGGCACCCUCAUCCAGUCACCCUAGUUAACUUCUCAGUGGAUCGCUCAGGUUCCGCACCCACCACCAGCAUCCAACGGAAUCUGCCGGGUCGACAGCGGCCCAACUCCAUUCCUGGUCGGCUCGCAGGUUAACUUUAUCCCAGGUCACCACAGUCCAUCAACUAGGGGCGCAAUGCCUUCCACCCUAUCGGGUAUCGAUCCCGGGAUCUCCCGGGGGCAAUGGUCGCGCCUUACCAGUGGUGCCAAACCCUUAUAUGUAUGUAUGUAUGUAUGCUGUUCCCUGUCCAUUUUUCCCCUUCAAGGAAAAGGUUAAUUCAGCCCAAGUCGGGGGUCCCUCGACUCUCCGUCGCCUCAGGUACUGGGUCGGGCGCUCCGAGACCUACCCCGUUCCGAUGUCGUACUUUCCACCAAGGUUGGCCGGUACGGCAGCGGCAGCGACCCAGCAGACUUUGACUUCAGUGCACAGCGCGUAACCACCAGUGUGGCGGAGUCGUUGGAGCGGCUGCAAGUGUCGUACCUAGAUGUCGUACAUUGCCAUGACAUUGAGUUUGGGGACCUUGACCAGGUGGGUGACGGGUGUGCUGAUGCGUGUGUGUUUGUGUACGGAACGUGUCAAACCCUAGAAGAAAACCCCUUCUUCUUCCCUCUGUUCUCCGGGGAAGAUGGAAGUUCGACAAUGCAGCGGGUGCGCGCUGGCCCAUGGAUGGAGCUGUACGGGCUGUACGGCGGGGAGGGGCCGUUCCUUGUGUUUCAUAGGCCGGGGAGCAAGGGCGAAGGGAGUCGAGGAGAGGGGGGAACUGUUACAAGGCAGGUAGGGGAAGGGGGGACGAGGGGGGAGGGGGGAGGGGGGAGGGGAACUGGGUGAUUGGGGGGUAUGGAGGGUAGCGCCAGGUAGGGUUUCAGGGGUCUGAGGACAAUAUCGGGAAGGGCAAGAGGAGGGUUACAUGUUGGGGGGGGGGAAAAGAGGGGGAGCCGCCAUAUAAGCCCCACUACAACGCCACUACAACCCCACUACAACCCCACUACAACAACACUACAACCCCACUACAACGCCACUACAAGCCCACUACAAUGCCACUACAACCCUACUACAACGCCACUACAAGCCCACUACGCCACUCACACUUCCCCCUCCCUCCACCAUCUCCUCUCACGAAACACACACACACACAGAUCGUCAACGAGACGCUCCCCGCCUUGGCCCAGCUUCGGUCCCGGGGUAUUGUACGACAUGUGGGUAUCAGUGGUCUCCCCCUGGAGUCAUUCCAUUACGUACUGGACAGGGCGCCGCCAGGUAGGUAGGGGGCUGGAUCUGGAUUCCGAUUCGGAUUCCGAUUUGGGCCGCUGAGGGGAAAAGUGUAAACUGCACGGCGUACAUGUGUGCCAGUAUGCGUGUAUGUAUAUGUACAUGUAUGCAUGUACGUAUGUACGUAUGUUUUGGUUGUGUGUGUAAUGUUGUGUCGCACCUGCACGUGCACGGGCGUGAGGGGGUACGCUCGGGGGGUACGCAGCGGCACAGAGGACGAACAUACACACGUACACACAUAUCACCAAAGAUAACUACUUGGGAGGAGGCGGGGGGUUGUGAAAGGCCCCUGCUUUCCAGUACACAUAUCAUCAUACCCCCACCCCGACUCCCCUAUCUUACCCUUGUCGUUCAUGUACUGCGGCCGUCUCCUCCCCCGAAGUAUUUCUUCUCCCCCUCCAAGCCUCCCUCUCUCCGUUCCUCAUCCCCUUGGUAACCAAACAGGCUCCGUGGAUGUCGUACUGUCGUACUGCCAUUACUGCCUGAACGACACCACGCUCCUGGGCAGCCUGCCGUAUUUCCGCUCCAAGGGUGUUGGUGUCAUCAACGCCUCCCCCCUAUCCAUGGGUUUGCUGACGCGGCAAGGCCCCCCCUCCUGGCACCCCGCACCCCCCCAAUUGAGAAAGAGGGUGGAGGCGGCCGCCGUACAUGCCGCGCAACGUGGCUGGGACAUCGCAGAAUUGGGGCUGGGUUUCGCAGUCAGGUGAUGAGAGGGGGAGUGAGUGGGCCCGGGGAGUUAAGAGGAAAUUCAAAAACACGUUUGGGUUUUGGGUUUCUCUGGUACUCGCCUCCUUCUCCCCUCUCCCCUCUCCCCCACCCCGCUCCCCGCUCCCCUCUCCCCGCUCCCCGCUCCUCUUGCACAAUGUAGGUAAGUCUGCAACCCAGUUGUACCACUGCUGCUUUACGUUGCUUCCAAAGUUGAGACGCCGCCGUACGACACACUCAACGCGCAUCACUGGUUGAGUUAGUGACCAAGUAGCCUGAUCUGACCAGGUUAACUCGUUGUACGAGAUGUACGACAAUUAGGACAUCCUUUCAGCAGGAAAAUACAACUCAUCUGCAUUACCCUGGAAGUCAAGGGCCUCAACGACAAUAUCACGAGACCCGACAACACAAAAACAUCUCGGAUAACGUUUUACGUCCGGAACCACGGGUCGGUGACUUCAUCGCUUAGGACUCACUAGGCAGUUUUAAACUUUGGACGGUCGCGUUUACUUCCUCUUGUUUCCUUGCAUGUGUUCCCGUGCCCCGCCCCUCCCNNNNNNNNNNNNNNNNNNNNNNNNNNNNNNNNNNNNNNNNNNNNNNNNNNNNNNNNNNNNNNNNNNNNNNNNNNNNNNNNNNNNNNNNNNNNNNNNNNNNNNNNNNNNNNNNNNNNNNNNNNNNNNNNNNNNNNNNNNNNNNNNNNNNNNNNNNNNNNNNNNNNNNNNNNNNNNNNNNNNNNNNNNNNNNNNNNNNNNNNNNNNNNNNNNNNNNNNNNNNNNNNNNNNNNNNNNNNNNNNNNNNNNNNNNNNNNNNNNNNNNNNNNNNNNNNNNNNNNNNNNNNNNNNNNNNNNNNNNNNNNNNNNNNNNNNNNNNNNNNNNNNNNNNNNNNNNNNNNNNNNNNNNNNNNNNNNNNNNNNNNNNNNNNNNNNNNNNNNNNNNNNNNNNNNNNNNNNNNNNNNNNNNNNNNNNNNNNNNNNNNNNNNNNNNNNNNNNNNNNNNNNNNNNNNNNNNNNNNNNNNNNNNNNNNNNNNNNNNNNNNNNNNNNNNNNNNNNNNNNNNNNNNNNNNNNNNNNNNNNNNNNNNNNNNNNNNNNNNNNNNNNNNNNNNNNNNNNNNNNNNNNNNNNNNNNNNNNNNNNNNNNNNNNNNNNNNNNNNNNNNNNNNNNNNNNNNNNNNNNNNNNNNNNNNNNNNNNNNNNNNNNNNNNNNNNNNNNNNNNNNNNNNNNNNNNNNNNNNNNNNNNNNNNNNNNNNNNNNNNNNNNNNNNNNNNNNNNNNNNNNNNNNNNNNNNNNNNNNNNNNNNNNNNNNNNNNNNNNNNNNNNNNNNNNNNNNNNNNNNNNNNNNNNNNNNNNNNNNNNNNNNNNNNNNNNNNNNNNNNNNNNNNNNNNNNNNNNNNNNNNNNNNNNNNNNNNNNNNNNNNNNNNNNNNNNNNNNNNNNNNNNNNNNNNNNNNNNNNNNNNNNNNNNNNNNNNNNNNNNNNNNNNNNNNNNNNNNNNNNNNNNNNNNNNNNNNNNNNNNNNNNNNNNNNNNNNNNNNNNNNNNNNNNNNNNNNNNNNNNNNNNNNNNNNNNNNNNNNNNNNNNNNNNNNNNNNNNNNNNNNNNNNNNNNNNNNNNNNNNNNNNNNNNNNNNNNNNNNNNNNNNNNNNNNNNNNNNNNNNNNNNNNNNNNNNNNNNNNNNNNNNNNNNNNNNNNNNNNNNNNNNNNNNNNNNNNNNNNNNNNNNNNNNNNNNNNNNNNNNNNNNNNNNNNNNNNNNNNNNNNNNNNNNNNNNNNNNNNNNNNNNNNNNNNNNNNNNNNNNNNNNNNNNNNNNNNNNNNNNNNNNNNNNNNNNNNNNNNNNNNNNNNNNNNNNNNNNNNNNNNNNNNNNNNNNNNNNNNNNNNNNNNNNNNNNNNNNNNNNNNNNNNNNNNNNNNNNNNNNNNNNNNNACCCACCAUACUAAUGCCCAUGACCAGAGCCGACUGGAGAAAGAGCUAAACAUGGCAUCACAGGCGAUGCACACCAGGGGAUGGAAAGUGGCUGCACACUCGUGGUCCAACUCUUCCCACACAGCAGGAGUUCUCAUCCUAGUCCGUCAGGAUCUGACUGCUAUCGUGGAAAACCCGCCGCCCAUCCCCGUGGUCCGAGGGAGAUUUGCCAGCUGUAUACUUUGCUGGGGAGGACACCGCAUCCACAUCUGCAACAUUUAUGGCCCCACGGGUACCUCAGCACACGUGAACCCCCUCCGACAACAGCUGUUCACAACCACGCUGCCAGCCACAACCAAGCAUGCAGCCGAGAACAGUGACACCAUGCUGGUCUGGGCGGGUGACUUCAACUUUGUGGAAGACCCAGGGCUGGACUCCACAGCAGGUCCAGGAGGGCGACGGGGAGAUGGCCCAACAGUGGACCUUCUUCGGGCAGCAUGGUGGACAGCCACCGCCAGCUGCACCCCCACAGUUGUGACUACACCCACUUCUACAGAGCUCCCUGCGUCGGGGCCUCCCGCCUAGACCGCAUCUAUGUAGACCAUGGCACCAUGCCGUACAUUGCUAAGACGGAGAUUGCCGUGCAAACACCGUCGGAUCACAAGCCAAUGGUCAUGCACCUGCUGCCGUGCCGACCAGAGAGCAAGGGCCCAGGAAAGUGCGGCUGACCUUCACAUCACACCAGGACUUAGCCGCAAGCAUGGAGGCAUGGAUCACCAGCCAGUGUGCCACAGCACCAUCUGCGGAGGACAACCCUUUGGGCCUGAUUGCGUGGUGGCCAGCUUUUAAACGCCGGCUCAGCACCCUGGCCCUUCAGCUCAACAAGGCGGCACAACACCGCAAGCUCAGACCAGGGGCCCGGGCUCGGGAAGUGUUACCGCAGGUCCAGUUGGCAAGGCAAGCGGUGGAUGCAGCCCCCACAGCACAACAGCCACUCCAACAACUGGUCGAAGCCCAGGCAAUGCUCGCACGAGCACAUCGGGAAGACUGCCGGAAGGAUGCCAUGGAGGCCCGCACCCACUGGCUGCGGGCAGGGGAGAGGCCGAGCCCAUCCCUUACAGCCUUCCUCCAGGCCCAGGCUAUAGACCAACAACCAGCCCCUGUCGCCCUGCAAGCCUUGUCCGGCCGACUUGUUACCAACCCCGCUCAGCUGCCCCAGGUGGUAGCCGACUUCUGGAAGGAUGUGAGCAAGGCCCCGGACUUCAUCUGCCCCCAGGCCCGCCAAGCCGUACUGAACUCCCUCACCGCAGCCAACAUUAAGCUCCCAGCAGAGGCAGAUGAACAGCUUGGAGCCAAAAAGAUCACAGCCACCGAACUGUGGAAGGCACUCAAGAAGAGCGCACCUGGCAAGGCCCCAGGGUGGGAUGGGAUUCCAGCCGACAUCUACAGGAAAUUCUGGUCAGCCUUAGGUAAUACCAUGGCAGGCCUGUUCACUGCCAUUGGCACGACCGGGCAGGUGCCCGCAGGCUUCCUUGAAGGGAUCAUCACAGUGCUCUAAAAAAAAGGCGACCCCAAGCUCCCCGGCAACUACCGCCCCAUCACACUGCUAUGCUCGGACUACCGGCUCCUUGCUAAGGUACUGGCGAACCGCCUGGGCCCCGCCCUGGGACGGGUCAUCACCCCCGAGCAAUCCGCCUUCCUCCCCAAGCGCCUGAUUGGGGCCAGCGUACUCUUCCUGCGCCACCUGUCACACCUCCUCCGCAAGCAGAACCGCCAAGGGCUUUUGGCAUUCCUGGACUUUGCCAAAGCAUACGAUACAGUGGAUCGCGGCUUUCUCCUAGCGGCCAUGGAGGCGAUGGGGGCAGGGCCACAGCUGUGUGCGUGGGUACGUCUUCUACUGAGCGAAACCCGAGCCCGGGCGAUGGUCAACGGGUACAAGUCCAGGCUGGUGGACAUGGAGGCUGGUGUCCGACAGGGCUGCCCCCUGGCGCCUCUGCUGUACCUCUUCGUCGCCCAAGCUCUCCAAUGCUGGGUGUGGGUGGGUAUGAGCGAGUCGCGGUUGGGGUCUCCACCGCGGUUUCCACCACAGCGGUGUGUGUGUGUGUGUUAUCACCCGGUGGGGGGUUAGUCUAGCGGGGGGGGGGGAGCUUUUGAAUCCGCUGUUGUAACGCUCUUCGUUUCAUUCGCUGCCGUGUCGCCCGCAGGAGUCGUUAGGGGGAUCUCCGUGUCCCCGUGCUCAAUGCCUUCAGGAGACUUUUGGCGUCAGGUCUUUAGGGCAGAUAAGUGUUGGUGGGUGUAUAGGCGGUUGUUGUUGUUGCUGUUGUUGUUGUUGUUGGUGGUGGUGGUGGUGGUGGGUGGCUGUACACCUGUACUGGAUAAGGGGGAGGGGGUCUGUCCUGCCUUGAUUGGCUGAGUGCUGCUGAGUGCGCGACCUUUCCCCCGACCUGACGGACGGCUAGCUGGCUGGCUGGCUGGCUGGCUGGCUGGCUGGCUGGCUGCCUUCGCUCAUGGCUUUACUUCCACCGGUCGGGUCGGGAUAGCAAUGGUUCGUGAGUUGGCUGGCUGGCUGGCUGCCUUAUUGGUGUACCUCCAGAAGGUCAUACGGGUGUCUGUACGUAUGUAUGUAAGUGAUUAUGCACGUACUUAUGUGUGUGUACUUAUUUAUGUUCAAGGAUGGAUUAUUGGCCGUUUCACCUUCCUUAUGCUUUCUGGCCGCGGCGGAUUGGGGACCUUGUCCUACCACACCACCUCACCUACCCCAGAACGUGCGGAUGUGCAGGCUGUUGGUUUUUAUACCAUCCAGCGGUGCACGCAAGAGCAUCGCGACAAUGUAUGUCUAUGUGAGAACAUAAGGCCUGGAAGAGUUUACUUGUGAAAGAGGUGGCGGGCGCCCACACGCCCACACACAACCUUCAUGGAAGCAGGGAAGCAAGGGGGAAAGGAAAGGAGUCCGCCUCUAUCGGCUCCUUCGAGAAAUCCUCCCGUGGCGGGCAGCGCUCCUAUCUAGGCUGGGCAGGGCAGCAUGUAGUAGCCUGGGUUGGGGGUUUGAACUAACGACUCACGGAGUCACACGAAACGCUCUUAUUGCUCUCUCGGGCAAUAGCAGCCCCUAACAAACCUGUGUAACAAUGCCCCCAUCAGCAGUUAUCUUAUAUUAAAUGCACUAGGUGGUACAUAAAUAAAUAAUAGAAAACUUGUAACUUCCUUCCUGGAGAACUGGAGUCGAACGCGCACCCACCCAGCCGGCCCGCAACCUCCCCUGCCUCGGUGGUCUCGGAUGCCCCGAGAUCCUCCGCAGCUGCAGCUGCCUGGUGCGCCUAGGCAACAUCUCGCCUAGGCUAGUACGCCCGGGCCUAACGGCCUAAUGGCCAUGCACAUAUAAAAUGCCAGUCCCUACACAGUUUUUGUAUUUUAGUAGUAAACUACCUCUCGCUUGCAGGAGGAGAAGGGUACUCCGUACGUAGACCUUCGUUCAUUAUCUUCACCUGACGUAAUAUCGUUGUCCUGCAUACUCAGAGCAUAGCGUACGUAGUAGCUCUUCUUCCGCGGCGGCGCGGCUGCCCGGCUGGCGGGUUAGUGUGCGCCGCUGGAUCGCUGACAUCCCCAUCCGUCCUUUUACUGCAGGCCCGCCUCCUCCUCCACCUCCUCCACCUCCUCCACCUCCUCCACCUCCUCCACCUCCUCCACCUCCUCCACCUCCUGCAGGCUCUGACAGCAACCUAGGGGGAGCGAAUGCUCACAUACAGCACCCUCUUACGGACGGGUAGCAGUGAGUCGUUCUGUUGGGAGGCCGGGAGCAGCCUUUCAGCUAGGUCUCCGUCUUAAUUAUUAGCUCAUAGUAGCAGUAUUACCAGCAUUACCAGUAUCAGUAUCAGUAUCAGUAUCAGUUUAAUUGCAGUUUAAUUGCAGUAUUAGCAGUAUCAGUAGCAGUAGUAGUCACGCCGGGUGUGUUGAGAGCUGGUCGCGCAACUCGAGGACAUCGGUUGUAUGGUAGGUGCGUCAGCGGUCGCGAGGGAUCGUGAUGGAUGGAUGUGGAUACCACCUCUGAUAUUUCCCACCUCGCUCACCUCACUACUGAAUGGGCUCCUCCCUGUAUGCGCAUGCAUGCAGCUGCUGUGCCUGUCGCCCCAGCCCGCCAUAUGCCUGCUGCUGCUGCUGCGCCGCCGCCGCCGCGACGCCAUGGUGCCAUUCGAUGCGGCAAGACAUAAUCUGAGUUGAGGCUUAAGGGUACACUACAACACUGUAAGGAGGUCGCGUAAGGAGGCGGAGAUCCACAGAGAUUGGACGCGGAAUGCGCGACGGCGUGUCGCACCACUUACUGUUGCCGCUGGAUGUGGAUGCGCAACUCACGUAUUGUGCAUGUCCAUUCCUGUCCACCAUCCACCUUAGGGUAUUAAGAAUACGAGAUUCCGCUUCCCCCGUAGGGUGGUCCCACUCCCCAUUCACUCUGUUAUUUCCGCCAGCUCCAUAAGAGAGUGUAGUAGAAAGUAGACAUGGAGAUAUAUCAACUCACCACACCUCACCACCACCAUCAACCUUACUCGCAUUACAUCAACAGAGGAUGUCAAAUCAGGCCCUCGCUGUCCCUCAGUUGACAGCGAAAGCGUUAUCGUUGUUUACGGGUUUGUGAGGAACACGAUAUGAUUGACUGAUGGCGAAUUCUUCUCCGAUUCUAUUCCCCGGGUACUAUUGUGGCGGGGGCGGGGGCGGGGGCGGGGGCGGGUACUUACCUGCCAAUAAUGUCCUACACACUCACGCACACGCAAAUGCACAUGCACAUGCACAAACGCACAUACACACAUGUAUACACACACACACUCUCACGCACGCGCACCCCGGGGUUGGGGGUACCAAAGUUAACACAUAACCCCGUCUUUGAUGCCAGCAGGUGUUACGGCGUACGGCAUAUAUACGGCUGGAAGGGUUAGACCGGUGGCUUAUUGAAGCACCGGGGAUUUGUUUAGCACACAUACACACGUACAUACACAUACAUACACACACACUUGGGCACACACACAUCAGUGGCGGCGGUCAGUCAUCUCUCUGAAGUGAAUGUCUGAAGUACGGCCAAGUGGGUCCAUCCAGUUCUGCAAUUUGCCUGAGGGUGCCGUACAAGGGGUAUCAUCAAUGGAGCCGUUGGCUGAGCUGACGCCCGAACAUCAUGACAGCGCAUUAGUGGCGGCGGCGGCGGUGGGGGUGGGGGUGGGGGUGGCAACAGUGGCUGUGGUGCCGCCGCGCCAGCCUCAACGAUCAAUGCGGGCACUUGAUGGGCUUGCGCUUUCCGCCAGCCAUGGCUACCGCGCAUUGGAUGAUGACUGCGACGGCGAACGGGCCGCCAUUCAGGGCUACUCCAGUCUACGACAUGUCGUACAGUUCAACACCGACGCUGACACCGCACCUUUCAACGCUGCUUUCACCGCCAAGGCUCCCAAUGCCUCCGCUGCCCCCGCCGCCCCCCCCGCCGCCGCCGCCGCCGGGGAGCCGCCUGCCUCCGUAACGGCCGAUGUUCCCUCUUCUAGGGAAGCGCCACCACCACCACCGCCACCGCCACUACCACCACCACCACCUGCCAGCCAAGUCGCAGGAGAGGAUAUCGGCAACCUCACGGACCGGAUCCGGCGGCGCUCCCGCCAACUUCAUUGCAGUGCCGUACAUAUCACGCCGUAUAAGUGUCAUACCGACGUCACUGCCACCGCCACCAUCACCAUCCACGGCGACCAGUCGCGGCAGGCGCCCGUCAUCCCUUCUCCGGGAACUUCCCUGGACUUCGGCAACCAAGAACCGCUGCCGCCACCACCGCCGCCGCCGCCACCACCGCCGCCGCCGCCGCCAUCGGGCCCCGGGGGCAGUGGCGGGCUCCCUGGAGGGCGAACCUGUCCAACCACCCAGGUUAACCAACAUUCAGUACUGGACCUCGGUUACAACCACCAGAGCAACCACAACCAAUAUAACCGCUACGACCAAUCACAGCUGCAUCUACACCAGCCGCCAAACGAUGUGGUUUCGUACGGCGCCAACGGCCUUACAGACGGCGACUGCACACCCGGCACUGACUGCGCCACUACGCCCGCUACACGCGGGCAUGCGGCUGUGGAAAGGUUGGAAUCUGCGGGCUCUGCCGUGACAUUUGGGGCCGGCAUUGACGAAGCUGGCAAAGCAGCUGCGAGAAGGAGACCCAUUAGUGAUGGUGGUGGUGGUGGUGGUGGAGGUGGUUAUGGCGGUGGAGGUAAUGAUGGUUGUGGCGGUCGAAGAGGCAGGAGCGUGCAAGCCUCUAGCCCCAGCACUGGUGUCGUACUCGACUCUCACCUACGGCAGCCGUACACUGUCCAGUACCAUCAUCUCCAUCAGAGUCACCUCCUCCCCCCCGGGAACGACCGCGGGACUGCUCCGUGGGGCCCCCCCGGGUACGGGCCCCCCGCGGCUGCCCAGCCCGGACAGCCGGCCAACGGCGCGGGUGCCACCGCAGCCGGCGGAACGUCCACACAACUGCCGCCACAGGAGCUGAUGAACCGCCAGCAUGUGACAGCGCCGCAACUACCUCAACCGCCACUGUCAAGAGAAACGUACGGCACGGCGUACCAUCCCCGCUCCUUUGGGAAUCCUUUCCGUGCUCGAGGCUCGUCUGGUCCUGUAGCGGUCGCGGUGGUUGCAGAUGACGAGUUGACAGACCACGGGCCACAGGGCCACACAACGACUGGAAGCGGGUCCUUGCUUGGUGAACGGGAGAAUCUAUACGGCAACAUAAACAUGGUGCCUUUACAGGCUGCUGGCCAAACAAAGUACAGUGAUGCAGUACAGUCAGUCGGUACGGCCGUGCAGCAUUAUCCCAUUGAGGAGCUGCCGUCGUCACCGCAACAACAGCACUACUAUCGCCACCACCAGCAUCAACCCCUACAACAGCAACGACACCAUCACCACGAUCACCACAAUCAACCUUGGCUGCAGCGCAACCAUCUUCAUCCCCCCACACAACAACCUCGCUCCAACCUACAGCGUCAAGACUAUCACCGUCGCCCUCUUCACCAGCAGCAGCAAUUCCAGCAGCAGCAGCAGCAGCAGCAGCAUCAGGGUCCCUCUCCGGGUGCUAUGGCGGGGGGGAGUUCGCACCUCACUACUGCUACUGCUACUGCGGCACAAAGUCAUGGGCAGUACCCUGCAGCCCAAUCCAGCGAGAGACGCCGAAUGUACGAACAACAAAGACAACAACAGCAACAGCAGCAACAGCAGCAACAGCAACAGCAACAGCUACAACAGCAGCAACAGCAACAGCAACAACAGCAGCAACAGCAGCAACAGCAGCAACAGCAGCAACAGCAGCAACAGCAACAACAAAGACAGCAAAGACAACAGCGGCAGCAUAACCCGCCGCACUACCACCCGCACCAAUACCACCACCACCUGCAAAAUACCGCCUUCCAGACCUCCGCUGACAUCCCAAGCAGCGGUGCUGACACCGCCGGUCGCUUUGGCAUGUACGACAGCGUGCAUGGACAGGGACUUGGCUUUCCUCAGCCCGCCGUGGAGAGCCAACAGCAGCCCAGCACCCCUGCCGCCGCCGCCUCCCGGUAUGCCGACCUGGCGGAUCCAAUUGAAGGGCACAGUGCUGGAGGGCUGCGGGCGGAGCGCCGGGCGCUGUCGUCGCUCGACUGGCGGGGACCCUUAUCGGCGGCUCUCCAAGACAGCGGCGGAGGCUUUCCGGGCGGCGACCAGGGCGGUGUAAUGUACGGCAACAGCAUGGAUGUGUACGGCUUGACGCCAGCACAGCCCAACGAGGAUACCGAUGAUGUCCUGUUGACGUACCUGCACCAUGGUGGAUCUACCGGCGCCGCAGCUGCGGCCGCCUUUGGUGAAGCCCGCCUGUUGUACCCGCCGACUGCCCCCGACAACCCUUCAGCCACCGCUGCAGACUCAGCACCCAUGCGGAGCGCCUCCGCACCCGCCACCGUGAGCUCCUCCCAGAAUCUUACCUUUGCCUUCGGCAUGGGCGACGGUAAUCGCCGUACUGCAGCGUGGGUAGGGGAGGAGGUGCAAGGCCAAGCAGCUGCUGCCCUAGCUGCCGGGGGCAAUGUUCAGCCGACCCACGACUUCGGCGGAGCUGGACCUGUGAUUGAGGCUGCAGGGAGGAUCAGCACAAAGGGCCAAGGCAAACCGCGUCGUGGUGCAGCGGUGGCGGAGGUGGUUGCAACACCGUUGCCAGCAGCGCCACAUGCGCCGCCGCUGCCCGCAAUACUACUCGGGCCGCAAGGGGCAGCGGGGGCGGGGGCGGCAGGGACGAGCUCACGCGCACCGAAGCGCAGCGCCGCUAUGGCGGCCCUAGCAAGGUUUCACAGCUCGCGGCAGGGUCGCUCGUCCAGCGGCGACAGCCGCUCGGUGGCGGCGGCGGCGGAGGACAGCCACGGUGGCGGUGAUGCUGACGGCCAACAGGAAGGGGGCGGGGAGGAGGGGAACGGCAAGCGGCGGUCAUCCCGGUUUCGGGGGGUAACGAAGCACCGCCGCAGCGGCAGGUGAGGAGGCAAUGGCUCCCAGGGCGACUCCCUGGCUUCUUGCAUCGUUAUCUCCGUCAAACUCCAACAUCAAUAGAAAGUGCAGCAGCACCGGGCGCAUCUGUGUAUGCAAGUACUGGCAGAGAUCAGGUGUUCAUCUGGUACUGCAGUACUUGCUCACUAUCGUAUCCGCACCACCCAGCACCUAUUGCACAUGUGCCGUACGUACGUGACUUUGCCAGGUGGGAGGCGCACAUCUGGGUGAAGGAGAUCGGCCGUCAGGUUUACCUGGGCGGCUACGAGGAGGAGGUGCACGCGGCGGAGGCGUACGACGUGGCGGUGCUGAAGUGCAAGGGAACCAAAGUGCGGCCCCGCCACCACCCCAGCAAAGUCGCUGAUGUACCUGAUGUUGCUUCCAGAGAACAGUAUUUUCUAGUAGCCCGUAGUGGAGGAUUCUUGUUGAUGCGUCUGAUAUGAGAAACCCUUAAAGCCAGAUACCGCAAACACGGAUUGUCAGCUUCAGUCUGCACAAAAUGACAUUACGACAUAGUAGGUUAACAGUCCCCCCUGUCCAACCCCGUCAUCUCUCCCCAUUCGCCAAUUAAACCGACCUCCUCUCCGGAUGCCCUUUUCCCUUGACCCGUCCUGCCCGUACGCCCCGGCAGGGAGUGCGCACGAACUUCCCGAUCAGCCAGUACCAGGGCCUGCUUCCGUCCCUGAAGGACAUCGAACUGGAGGACCUCAUCAUGGCCGUUCGGCGCCAAAGUCAGGUAGGUUGAAAGAGCUCAUUAUGCUGUUGUGGACAUCAAUCAUUACGUGCGUAGCUAGUAAUUGACCAAUAGUGUGUUUCCUGGUUAAACCACCGAGAAACAAGGGAGCCAAGCCAGCUGGCUCCUUGUACUUCAUCAUCUUGUGCCGUACUGACCGGUGUCGUACAAUGAUGCACUCUAUUGGCCACAUUGCCAUGUGGAUGCAGGGCUUCAGCCGCGGCAGCUCCACGUACAGGGGCGUCACGGCGCAUCUGUCGGGGCGCUGGGAGGCGCGUAUCGGCAUCCCUGGAAGCAAGCACAUCUACCUGGGGCUGUUCGAGAGCGAACGUGACGCCGCGGCCUCGUACGACAGGUCGCUGGUGCGGUUGCGUGGCUCUUCCGCUGCGACGAACUUCCCCCUCUCCGAGUACCGCCGAGAGCUUGCGGAGUACCACAGCUACCAGCAGGUGCGCAGUAAGGUUUCGUCAACAGGCCAACUGUGACAGCUCUUUGCGUUGCUGAAGUUCGUUCAUCCAACUUUGCGUGCUGCUGUUGGCGCACAUGUGCUCCACGCAGGCACAGGCUUCAGCAGGUAGUAGUGUGUCCUUGUUAUUUCUUGCUCAUCUCCAGGUCAGGUUCAGGAGUACAUCGCCAUCCAUGGGGCGCCUCUUCACACGCCCCACUGCGCGCGCCACACACUGCCGCGCCAUGGCGGAUCAUCCUCAUGUCCGCAUCCGCAAUAUCGUACUGCCGGCACACCCAUCCCUGCCGUACAUACACAUACGCAUGCAGGCCGUCUUGCUCCAGGACCAGCGGAUGGCCUCCCUCAUGAAGCCCGGCCCCGACUACGAGAAGUGGGUCAAGGCCGGGUUCAGUGCCUUCCCCCACAUCCAGAUGGAGCAGGCGGCUGCAGCCGGGGAGGAAGCCGCCGCGCGAGACCUGGAGCUCAAGCGCUCUUGAGUGCUCAAUACUGCGGCCUGAGGGGGCAGCAGCUAUUACAACACGCAAAAUCACAGCUAUCACAGCCACCAUGCAUGGCCAUGGCGGCGAUUGAAGAAAUGCCUGCGCCGCAGAGGUGUCGAGGUGGCCGUUACUGGUGGUGUAAAGGGGGCUCACGGCAGCUGGUGCAGGGUGCUGCAUGUGGUUUGGAUGCGUACGGGUGCGUACCCCGUACCCAUACAGCUGGGAGUGUGCGCAGGUAGCUUGGAUGGCAUGGAGAAGGUGGAUGACAUGGUGAUCAUGAGAGUGCAUUUGGGGAUGUUCUAUUUGUGUUUUUGGCUGCCAGCCCGGUCUUCCAACGUCCUGGCUAGUGCAUGUUGGUUGCGUGUCGGCGAUUUCAGGUAAAACCGUUGUUUUGUUUACCCCUUAAAUGGUCUAGGUCGUGAGUUUCUUUUUUUACUCUAGAACCGUCGCCUUGGAAAUAACGACUGCCUCCUUACGGCCCGUAAAGCCGCUGUGUUUGCCAUCAUUUCCCAGUGGCGAGUGAAGAGGGUGAUCCGUGUUGGCUAUUUGACGGUUGGAACAAGGCCAGUCGCUACUUGGAACAAGUGCAAAUUCGUACUAGUCAGUCAUAUGUUGCGAUGUUUAGGCAGUUUAGGAAGUUCAGGAGAGAGAAGUGUUGCAGCUGUGUUGGCUGUUGUCAAAUCAUCGUUCCGCCAACAGCUGAUUAGCAGUAGCCGGUUGUUAGCGGCAGCUUGCUUAGUUGCUGGCGAUUGAUAGUUGCUGUUGUGAUGAUGGGGCCGGGCGUUGGAGGCUAGCUGCAGCUGCUCGUACUAAAUGCCGCGGCUGUGGUGGCAGGCGUCUCGUUAUUCGGCUCUCUCCGGGGCGUUAUAAAAUUAGGCUAUAACUUUUAGGUUGGUAGGCAGGAGCUGCCCCCAUGGGAUUGAAGGAACAAAUCAUUGGUUGGGUUGGCUGCGCGGAGGCUGCUGGCUUUUGAACGCGGUUAUAUGUUUUCGAGGGUUUCAUUCUUCCAUUAGCUCGUCGUAAUAUAAUGCAGAUUCGUUUAUGUUGCUGGACUUUGGAGGCAAACAGAGCCCGAAGGGGCAAGUACCAUGCACGUCCCCAUGGGGCAGCGGAUUUGCCGCUGUUGUGGAACCAAUAGCCAGGUCGAGGAUGAAAAAUAUAUGUUAAUGGAAUGCCCAGCUUAUAAAUACUAUUUUACGCGGAAGAAGGAUUAAAUUAUUAACAGAGCAUGUUGGAGGCCAUGAAAUGGAAGCGAGCCCGUCCUGCCAGUGGCCUGUCUGGCGAGGAUGUUGGAACGUAUGUGGGCUCACCGCAGCCCAGUUAUCCCCUUUGGGCGACAGGUCUUUUUUCUUCUCCUGUUAGUGCGGUUUUUCUUAUUUGUGGCUUUUAGGCGUUGAUGCUUUGCCUUCGGGCCUUCAGCUCAUAUGGGUAGUCUUACAUGUAUAGGGUCACGCAUCCCCAACCAUGUAACGCACACACAUACCAGACCUACCAAUGCUUGCCGCUGCAUUGCACCAACCUACAUUUCACCUGCCGACGCAGCGGAAGUAAUCUCAUGCAAACAUCCGAAGUGACCACCACCACCACCGCCAUGGGCGCCAAGGCCGUACACGUCACCAGAGUCAAUGUUCCCACAAGGAUUGACAGCACCACCAGCCAACGACACUACCGCCGCCAACGACACUACUGCUACUGCCACCGCGGCUGCAGUCACGGAUGUCGCCUCUCGUCCACCCAGCGUAUUCUUGAGGUCUCUAGUUGCAAGCUUGCAGCACCGCGGCGGCAGCAGUGCAGUAGCUGGCCGCUGAAAAAGCCUCUCAAGAAGGUGGUCGAGCGCUUCGCGCGUAUUUGUAGUCGAUAUGUGUGUAUUGCCCAUCCGUCAUUCGAUUAAGUCCGCGUCCUCUUCUGUGGAUCCUAAAGAUCCCGAGGUGUUUUAUCACAGCGCAUAGUGUCGUACAUGCAUGUGCCGUAUGCAUGACUCACCCAAGAUUUGAGGCGUACAUCCAGAGGAUGGCGGUGGGGAUCUACCGUUGCAUUUACAACGAGGUAGAGCAUGCGGAGUGUAAUGGUGUACGACAUCCUUGCAAUGAAGUUCAAGGGAGCCAAUGUACGGCGAUGAUGUAUGUUGUUACACGGUGGUAUAGCUCCACCAGCGGCCCCCUUCCCCAAGGCAGCUCCCUGCUCAGGGGAGAGCCUGCUAGAGGGGCACCCUAAUCCGUUCACCCCAUCCGACUUCAGAAUGUAUUCGUUGGGUUCAGCAACUCAUCAUGAACAUCCAGUUAAAUCCAGCGGAUCAACGGCGCCUCAACUUCGUUUCUGAUUAGCUCGCAAGUUGAUAUUAUCACUUCCUAUACCGUCCACGAGAUGGGGAGCCACCUCCCAUUUCAACUCUCCUCAAACACCCGAGGAGCCGGCAGGCAGAUUUGAAUCCGAACGCUUCGGGAACAGAAGUCAGGCCUUAACCUCUGCCAGCCGCCUGCCUAUUUCGACAGAUGUACAAAUAUGUGCCACGUCACCUCAACUGAAUCAUCACUGAUGCUCUAAAUUUCCAGGACAGCACACGCUGACUUGACCACACACCAUAUUAUGUCCAUAUUAUGGAACUCCCUUUUCCUUACACCUCUUCUGGCCGGGGUGUGUGCACCAACCUCUCCCGAUCAGUAGGACCUGAAGUGGGGGCCCAUCGCGUUAAUGCAUAAUGAACUUCAUGCAUACCUCGUAUAUAAUAAGCCAGGUGUCUGUAUAUACAUUUGUGUACGCUGUUUUCAAAUGUAUGGUCCUAUUUAUGUAGGCCAGGCAGUACUGGUAACGCACACACCGAUGCCCCCAGAGAUUCCAGGAUCGAGAUUUAGUAGAGGCGGUAAUUUAUUCAAUGGUGCUAGAUUAUAGUGCCCCUAGUUGAUGGUUGGUGGUGAACUGGGACUUAUUAGACUAGUGAGGUGACCAGGAAUAGAGUUGAGCUGCCUUUCCAAUAGAUCCAUUGGAUGCCGGUGGUGGGUGCUGAACUUGAGUAAUCUAACGAGAAGUCGACUAGGGUGACUAGAUGAGGGUGCCCCAAAAUACCGGGGAAGGCAGGGCUUCGCCGGGUAGCGGCGACGGGUGAAGAUAUGACCCCCCUGUCCCACACAUCAUAUGGUUAUGGAAUGAAGGUAUACAGAUAUACAGAUAUGCCCUUAUAUCCUUUCCUUGUCUCUGGAUGUAGACACACCCACCUACGUAGACGCGCUCACACACGCACUGUGCUGUGUGAUUGGCUAUAUACUCCGGUGAGUGCGCACACCGAGCGAGGAUGGAAUCAACAUUGUCGAACACCACCGCUGCCAGUAGCUUCGUUGGUAUAUCUUCGCCGGGAGACAUUGGCUAUUGCAUUACAAACUUUAUGUUAUUAUUAAAGGGUUUAUACAGAGCCUUUCGAUUCACCUUCACCACCUAAAUAAAAUGAUUAUUUGGGACCCAGAAUGAAAGAAAAGUUCACGUCAUCGUAUAGAUGAGUUAAUUAUAAGGACGUGUUCACAUGUGGGCGAAUCAGGGUUGAUUCAUGCGAAUUGGACUCUGAAUUGGACCUGAUUGGACCCGAAUCGGAAUUGGGGUCCGGGGGGGCCUCUUCGGGUAUGAUUCGACGUGAUUCACAGUUUUCUUUCUCAAAACAAAGUUGUUUAACAAACCGUUUCUCAUAAUUACCAUUACAAUACUAUAGGAACAUUUUCCAAUUGUUAAUUCACGCAAAGCGCACCGAGCAUUUUUCACGAACUCCUGCAGCUAUGUAUGUACAAGCCUGGUGAUAAUUUUCGCCAUAGAAACGAUACUUAUACUGUUCUGUUCCUAGAAAAUGCUGGCUUGCCUUGGGUGAUGGGGCGUAGCCGCGGAGCUUCAGCUGGGCGCGGUGGCACCUCGCGCCGUGCAGCGAAUCGUAUGUGAACACAAUUCAGAAAGCCGCCCCGAAUCGGACUCCCAAUCAGACUCUCAAUUGGACUACAUGUGAACACACCCUAAGUUUAGGUGACCACACGAUCCACACAGCUACUUCAGCACACUCAAGAUAUGAAGGAAAUGGCUGGUAAAGCUCCCUUAAGACCUCAAAGAGGCCCCAUUUGGGUGUUGCGAAAUAAUUGCUAUCAAGGGCCAGCAGGCUCGGGCCGGCGGCGGGUCUUGAGGUGCUGGAACACGAUAAUAGACGCGACGGGUACGCCGCCGCAACUUCACCCUACCAUUCGCAAACGCUGCAAACAGGGAUAUUACGAUAACCAGCAGCAGACAACAAGCUGAUUACAUACUUACUCCGGCUAACCGGUCCUCAUAUAUUUUAGGCAAGCCCUUUUUUUCACAACAAAAACAUUUGUUGGCCAAGGCCUACACAUGUACAUAGACAGCAACCGGCGGUAGUUCGACACACGACCAAAGCAAGGCCAACAAAAGCAGAUUCAAGUUACCAUUUGCAGCCUUCUUAAGGAAACACGAGAUAGAACCAAAAAGAUAUAACGCAGCCAAACUAAUUAGUUUAAGCUUAGAAGCUUUUGGCUUUCCCGCAUAUGAAUGUGCCUUGAUGGAAUUCCAUCAAGGCACAUGCUUCCGGAAGGCAGUGGGAUCGCUCGUGCAUGAUUGUGUGUGUGGUUGUUACAUGAUUGAUGUAUGGUUGCAAUUCUAGCUCGUCUGUGGGAAGUCUUAUCGUCUAUAGAUCGUGCCAUUUCCUUUAUUAAUGGCACGAUUGAAAGUCGAUAAAAAAAAUAUACAGACGCAAGCGAGAAUCGCUGCUGGCUACAUCCAUCAGACUCACGCAGUAACAGGACGGAGAUGCAAUCGCUUGGGAAAAAGGGGAUGGCGACCGAAUGACUAGGUAAGCAAUACAACCCACUGUAACAACCACACCACCUAAUACAACCAAACACACAUGUGCAUUUCAUGGGUCCACAAUCCUUCGCAGAAGAAGGACGCAGAAGAUGACGCCGAAGAACGGGAACCACGCAUGCGAUACCGUGAAAGGUACUCGACAGAUGCGCCUAUCUUCACACAGAUAGGCCAACAACACUUCCAAAAACAAGCCAAUAUCGGUCAAUAGCAUUCAGAGAAUUUGAGAACAGGGCAAGCUGUUGAGAUGAGGAGUUGAAGUCUCGAUUGAUGGGCAGAGAUUCGCAUAAUGGACUGAUGACGACCAUUGUACCCUCUAUCUCUAUGGAAGUUCGGGUAAGAGGAUAGGUGGGAUUCCAGAAGACAAACCAUCAGCCUUGGAUUUGCAAGCAAGGGCCACAUUGCACCAGUCACAACAGCAAGUCGAUCUAGUGGGAGCUACGUACCUGGGCCUUCCCCCCAGUCCAUUAUUUAACGAGCUUUUGGGGCUGAAGCUCAGCAGCCUCCGGGCUUUUAAGGAUGGACUUCCCAACGACGUUGCUACUUUAAACUUCUUGCCACGAACCUCACUGCUGGGCUCCAAUAGACCACCUUUGCUAUACAUGCAUUCAUGGACGGCCGUCCAAUGACGCCCGAAUGAAGCAUCGCAACGUGAUACGCGUGGAUCAACACAUCUAUCGCAUUUUGCUCGCUCCGUUUCAGUCACUAAUAAACGGGUAGGAGAGCAGACGGGGAGACAAACAAACAAACCAACUGGCCGACUUCAGUAACAAUUAACUUCGAAAUGGGCCUUGCUUAGAUCACCAUAUGUAUGUACUGGCUGAUUAUUCAUCACGACAGCUACAGCACUGGUGCAAGAAAACGUGGUGGAGGUUCUACUUGUCCCUGGGCAUAAGAAAACUAGUGACGCACCGGAAAACAAUGAUGCUAUUCAAGUGACCAUAACAACAGCCGAAGACCGGAGUCUAAAACGGAUCGCAAGAAACUGUGGAAGUUGUCAGGAACUUAGGGAAUCACAUUAAGUAUUUGUGUACCGACGGCCUUGCGCCUUGCUGGUAGGCGGCUCGGUAGGCUAUCCAUGUGUGUUUCGGUGUUAGACCGUGAGGGGCGAUGUGAGGCGGCCCCGCGCCGCCUCACGCAGGCCCCUCAGCAGGGCGGAGAGCAGGUGGGAGCUCACCUCAACCACCUCCAUCACCUGAAGAUGAUCGGGUGAGGUGGUUGGGGAGUUGAGGUGGUCAUGUAUGGGUAUUUAGGUGGUUAGGUGGUCAACAGGGAAUGAAUACAUCUCCCACCACCAGGUGAUAGUGCUAUCAGGUGGUUGGUAAGGCGGAUAGUGAUGUUGCUGGUGGUGCUGGUUGGUAAGCUUUGGGACAUGUGCAGCAGCCGGGGCUGCAUGGCCGGCCAGGAGCUCCUCAAGUCAGGUGAGCGAGUGUAUGUGGUGGGCACAUGCGGCACAGGUAAGGCAGUCACAUUAUGACCCAAGUCUCGUUAUUGGAAAGGGAGCAGACUUGGACACUCCUCCUCAUGGGUACCAUGAUGCCUUCCCCGCUCUUUCUCCGCCCUCCUCCACGGCUACCAGCUAGCACUCCACGACUGAGGCUCUCCUCCCUAGACAGAAACCCCCUACCCCACUUGCUUCUCCCCAUUCGUACCUGGCCAGUCGUUGGAUCGUCGUCCCCCUCCGGGAUUCCCGCAAUCACCAUAACGGGGUUAGGCAGGUCCCCGGACAACACCACAACUGCGCAUUGCUCCGCGUCCAGCCCGAGGUCUGAAAGGAGGGAAGCCAGCGGGAGGAAGGGGACCAGAGGAAAGAGGGGUUUAGACAAAGGGCGGGAAAAGCAGCAGCAGCAGCAGGGGGAUGAAGACGAAGGAAUAGUAGGGAUGGCGGUGGAGUGGGGCCACACUGUCUGUCCCCCAUACCUCCCGAUUCCCCUCCCCCCCACCUCCGCUUUCCCCCCCCAACCCAUCACCUCCCCUCCAACCCCCUGCCAACCUACUCGGGUUUCGCCACGGCUCCAGCCCCCACUGUACGGACAACCGAAACACCUCGUCGGUUUGCAGUACAUCACGGAUGGAGGUCCAGGGGCCCCCUCCCCAGUACUUGGCCUGGCCGGGAUGCGGCAUCACAAGAGCCGCCUCAACAAGCAAGGACAAUGAGCUUGUAGCAUGGGACUCCUGGUACGCCUUGACUUCGGGGUCCGAAUGCGGCGGUGGCGAAGUGAGCACAAGGGUGCCGCCCUCGGUGGGAAUCUGAACGGGUGGGUGGAGGAAGGCCGGUAAACACAGAGUGAAGGUUCCAAAACGGGAUAACCGUUAAAUGGAAGCCGGAGUGGGGGGAAGGGCACUGGGAGGAAGGAUCGAAGGGAAAGGGGAGUGAGAAGUAAGGUUUGGGUGAGUCUUGCAGCUGGCCAUGUUGCAGUACCUUCGUUCACAACCCAAAACACCUUGGGUUCUCUAAACGCCCACACAGUCAAAACAGACGUCUGCCGUCUGAACAAACACAUCCGUUUCCAAACAUUCAAUUAGUCAUUUCUUCCACCUCCGCUGCACACACCCAUGCGCCCAUGCACACACCUGCACCUUCGAGCUGGUAGCCCCCCACAUUGCCGUAUUGUUCCCCAAGUUACGUCGGGGCUGAAGCUGGUCAAGACCGCGGGCCUUGCAUGUGGGACUGUUGUACACCCGGAUCGACCACCUGGGGGGAUUGGGGGGUUGACGAAAUUCAAUACGACGGAUAAAGGUAGUAAAGGGGAUGGAGAGAAGGUUUCCAUGAUGGGUUUUAGCCUGGCCUCACAAAGCGAAGUGCCGAGGGCUUGGUUCUAUGGUCCCCGCCUGAAGAGGCCAUUCCAGGAGCCCGUUGAGGCCGUGCAGGUGCUGGGGACGGGUCGGCCCUCCCCCAGCCCUCCUCCCCCCUUUUCGCCCUUAACUGCCUCCUUUUUCACACUUCCCUCGCUCCCCGCCCCACCCUUUCAGGAGGCAAUUAAGACGGGAAUCCAUGGCAAUGACGGCAUAAAUGAUGAUUUCGAAACCCUCCCUCCCUUCACCUUCCCUUGCCUCCGCUACCCCGGCUAUUGGGGUAUAACUUGACGGCAUCCUUCACUUCCAUACUCCAACGUUCACCCCAAACCCACAACCUCUCUCCACGCCCUGAAAACACCCACUCACUUCCACGUGGCCAUCUGUGCCUCCAUGAUGCCGUACGCCCACGCCACGGACGCCUGCACCAUGUGUCUUCCGGGCACCCCCUUAGUCACCUCCUUCCACGCCGGAUAGUCCACCAGCGGGAUCAGGGCCAGCACGCGGUCUUCGGGAAGGAAGGCGCGGGCGCUCUGAGUCUGUGGGGAGGGAGGGUGUGGGGAGAUCAGGAAGGAAAGAGCGAGGGGCGGGGAAGAACUGCAAGGAUACUAAUGAAUAUAAACUGUGACGUGCUGUUAUAUCACGACUACAACUGCUACAGAAAAGCACCGAUCGACAGGUGCCCAUCCCGAGGUAUGAUAUGCCCGGAAUACAUCACAUUUAAAGGGCGGGAAGGGUUUUCGAGGAGAGUCCGCAGAGCCAGAAUGGAACCGAUUACAAGGCAGAAGGAAAGGGCGACUAAGGGACAGAGCGCAUCAAGGCGGUGAAGUCUCUUCCCGUCCCCUUACCCUCCCAUGGCCUCAUCCUCUCCCUCAUCCCCUCAUUCUCGCUCUUUUCUUUCCUACCGCCGUCCCCUUCCCCUCCCAUGGUCUCAUCCUCUGCCCUCCUGUCGCCCGCAUGCGUUACCUGGUGAUUGUUGAGCAGCACAAACGCCUUCUUGGCGGGGCUGUCCGCCUUCUUGAUGUCGCUGAUGAGGCCGCUGCGGUCCAUGGUGAUCCACAUCAGAUCCUUACUAAUCAUGGCCAGGUAACCAAUGCCGUCAGAGGGGUGAUCGCGAAGAACCCUGAAGGGAUUGUGACAUACAAACGGAUGGACGGGUAGGGAGUCACACUGACUUACAUAUACGGGCAGGCAAAAGCCUCAAUUGAACCUCGUUUCAUAUCGCAUACAUGCAUAUAUACAUACGCAUAUUAUAGGCAGGCGGCUGGCAGAGGUUAAGGCCUGACUUCUGCUCCCGGCCGACCCGGGUUCAAAUCCGCCUGCCGGCUCCUCGGGUAUUUGAGGAGUGUUGACAUGGGAGGUGGCCUCAUAUGGACGAUGUGGGACGUGAUAAUAUCAACUUGCGAGGUAACCAGGAACUAAGUUGAGGCGCCAUUGAUCCGCUAGAUUUGGAUGGAUGCUGGUGUUGAGGUGCCGAACCCAACGAAUACAUUCUGAAGUCGGAUGGGGUGACGGAUUAGGGUGCCCCUCUAGCAGGGGAGAGCAGGGACUGCCCCGGGAAAGGGGGCCGCUGGCGAAGUUAACCACCCUGUAACUACAUACGCACUUGAUAAUGCCGGUGUAGUCUCCCUCGUAAAAGCCCUCGAGUGCCUUGUCACCGAACUUGAGGUACAGCGGUCCCAGCUUCGGGUGGCUGUUCCAGGGGUUGAAUUCGGUCCAGUCCACCACAUGGAUGCUCUGAUACGAGUUGACUUGGCCUUUAGGACCAGAGGCGGGAAAUACAUGCAAAUUUAGGACAAAGAUCAAAUUUGUAAAAUGCUGCAGAGAGAGCACAGUGGAGAGGUGGAUUGCGAGAUGGAGAGCGAGGAGAACAGUGAAAUGCAGAUCAAAGGGACACGAUCAUUGAUGACCUCACCAUAGGGAGGGAGAUGGAGGGGGGGGGGAGGAAAUGUGAGGGAGUGUUGCUGCAGGGGGAGAGUGGGGGAAAGAGAUUAUCCAUCCCCCACACGCACGGAUCCCACCUGCACCGCCAUCAGUGCCUCUCCUUAACGGAUGCCCACCCCACACACACACAAACCCGCACCCGUACGUACCUUCCCCCCUCAGCGGCCACACAGACAGGCUGUUGGCUGCCACCGCCUCCUGAAUGGUCCACACACGCCGCAUGUACGAGUUGUUGACCAACAGAGCCUUAACCGCUGACCGGCUCAGUAAACUAACACCCCCUGAAGUGGAGCACGUCAUUAGGCAAGGCCAGUCAAAGUCAAAGAUUGGCUGUACAUGCGCCUGGUGGUGAGAGAUGGUGCUCAGAUGGAGCCCACACAUGGCGGACUCCAUACCAUAUAUAUGUAACAUAUCGUCGUUUAAAUUCAAAUAACGUGAGGCACACAUCAUUGUGGCUGGCAGGAGUUAAGACUUGGUUUCUGCUCCCGGAGAAUCUGGGUUCAAAUCCGCCUGUCGAUCUCUCGAUGUGUGAGGGGUAUUGAAGUGUGAGGUGGCCCCCCAUCUUGUGAACGGUGCAGGACGUGAUUACAGCAUAUUGUAAGCUGGCCAGAAGUUGAGGCGCCGUUGAUCCGCUAGAUUUGGUUGGAUGUUGGUGGUGAGUUGCUGAACGCAACGAAUACAUUCUGAAAUUGGAUGGGGUGAAUGGAUUAGGGUGCCCCUCUAGCAGGGGAGAGCAGGGCAUUGCCUCGGGAAAGGGGGCCGCUGGUGAAGCUAUACCACCCUGUAACAACAUCACAGGUUUGAUCCAAGUCGAAUGCCCCCCAGGUCACCUGCCUCUUCCACUAGUAAGGUGGCAGCAAUUGCACGUGCAAAGCCAAAUCUCUCCAUACAAACAUAUGCAAACGUACACAAAGGGACUCACUGUACGAGUCCAUCUCGGAAUUGUACUGCUGUACGAUGCUGCGCGCCUCCUGGAGUAAAGAAGGUGUCCAAGGGUGAGGAGCCGCGACGUAGGGACAUAUAUACAUGCAUACAACACGUGCUUAAGCAGCGUCUGGUAGCUCAGGGGCUUCAUGCAGUGAGCGUACUCCAAGGGUUUUGAGAGGGGCAAAGUGUAGGAGCCUAGCUCACUUAUAACAUACGGUAAGGAAGAUGCUGACAAGAAUUUCCGCCAAACCCAAAAUACUUGUUGGCAUGGUGACCCUCCAGCCGAACCAACUAGCAAGAGAAGAGCAAAGGAUGGUGAGGUAGCGAAGCUACAGCAUUAGCCGCGGACUUAACCCUGCAAAGCCAGGAAGAGUACAACCGCCAAGAACUAUUGCGCAGCCCAGGUUCCAGGUUCGCAGCAAACGGGCAGCUUCAACCCACUGGCAGCAACACGCACCUUGGCGUUCAUGAUCUUGCCUGUCGCGUAGUCCACAACCGGGGCAAUAAUCACAUACACCUGACAUAGCAAGGAAAGGGAAAGGGCCCUCAAGAAUUAAACGAAAUAAAAAGGGGGAUAUCAAACUAGCAAGGGUAGGGCAUGUAGGUGUUGUAUCACGUCUUAUCGCAGUAAAAGAACCGAUGGGCGGAUAUCAAUCCCGUGAUACCCAGGAUACUACAGUAGGUAAGUAAGCAGUUAAACCGUAAGUGGGUGAGUAAGGACCGUAAAUGGGCGAGCAAAGGCUUUCUGUGAUUGAGAGAGGUCCGCAUUAGCACCCUUGCUGUCCUUAGCUAGCUUACUUGUCCGGCUGUGUAGAUUGCGGGGCUUUCCUUGAUGUAAUUCAUCUUCUCCUCCAGGUUCGCCAGGUCCUUGAGGGUGGAGGAGGGGGGGGGUAAGGUGCAUUGAGGGGGAAGUAAAGGCGGGAUGUGAGAUACAUGAUGAAGUGCAAAGACAUCGACUGCCAAUGUUAGCCAAGCAAUUCAGAUCCCAGAGGUCCCCUGCAACCUUGCACAGGGGGUCAAUUGAUUGGGACAAGGAAUCUCCCUUUUCUGAAGGGAUGCAUCAUGCAGGGUGAGAGACCUGCCCCUACAAUGCACCAACAUUCCCAGCUACCCAGACAGCCAGAGACAACCUAAACCAUACCUGCGGUACACACAUCUGAUCCACCCAGGCAUACUUGGCUUUUUUGUUGGUGUGCAGCCACAACAGCCAGGCGGCGACCUGGGGGGGGGAGCAGCAGGUAGCAGUAAUGUCAGAAGAUGUAUUUGUCAAAAAUAGCACAAAUAACAGCAGCAUCGGCAGCAGUGGAGGUGGCAGGUGGCGGUAAUAGUAGCGGUAAUACAAACGGUCGCAAACAGGUAGGCAAAGCAGAAGAUAUGGAAAGGACGGCAGCACGAUUUCUUCAGCGAUUACUCUGCGUCCAAGGAGGACCACUUUGCGAUGGCCAACAAUCACGCACCUCAAUUUGUAUGGCAUGGCCGUCCGCUAAGGACCAGUUGACAGGCACUGGCCCAUUAUCAGGCAGGUCGUGAACCGAAUAGCCCUCUCUGCCGCAAUCGGAUAUCCACGUCUUGU
rnacentral:lncRNA from 1 species